GUUAUUCAAAGCAGCAACACAAUAACCAUGACCCAAUUUAGAUGGAGAUACUAUUGGGAAUGCCUCUGCAAGUCAAUCCUUCCUCACUAGAAGGAUAAAGCAAAGUAUAUGGCAUCUUCACUGGUCCAUAACGAUUCCUCAGUGUCUCAUCGUUGUUCCUUUGAGUGAGUUUUUUCUCAAUUUCAGCCAGCUUCUUUCCAAACCUCUUGAAAGCCUCUUUUGGUUGUGAAUCAGAAGUCCAAUUAUCACCUUCAAUUCUCUGUCCAAGGUAUUGUUCAUCAGAAGCAUGUCUUGACAAGACUUCUAUAACAGUCAAGUUAGUUAGGAUGUCUUUCUUCGGUGGGAUUGUUCUCAAAAACGCCUUUUGAUAGUUCUUAGAAAGCUCAGCAUACUCAGCAGAUCCUUUCUUAGGCAUUAAUCUUCUGCUUUUUGUUGGUCGGUUAAGAAUGUAACCACCGUACGGAUAUUGUCCAAAAUUAACAGCCGCAUGAAGUGCCGAAGCAAUCCAUAUGAGGAUGGUGCAAGCCUCAAUCAACUCCUUACGGGUUUGCAUCUUAAACCACCAUUUAGCAUCUUUCAAGUCACCGUGACCUACCUCUACAAGUUCUUUCCAGAAUGCUUGGAGUUCAGAAUCUUGUGCAAUAUUUGCAUCUGACUUGUAGUAGAAAUACACAUAUUCUUCAACCCAUGACUUAAUUGCUGUCCAUAUCUCUAAUCCAUCAGCAGCAUAAGGGUAAUCUUUUAUCAGAAGGCGAAGGCCGUGUGGGGAAGUUGGAUCCUCAACAGCCACUCCUCUAGGUAACAAGAAAGGAAAAAAUCAUUAAUAUCAAAAUAAAAACUUUUGAUAUCAAUAUAUUAUUAACUGAAGUUUAAAAUUGCGGCAAAAUACAGUUGAUGCAGCUACAACCACUGACAAUUCACAUGAAAUUUUUUGAUGUCUCAUCUUAGAUCGUGGUUGUGAACACUUUUUCAAUCCUCGUUUCAACUACUGAAUAUAUUUCCAGGAUCUAAUGUUUUGUAAGGUUACCUUUUAAGUAGAUCAUUAGGCAAACCUUGAUCGGUGAAAACCCAGUCUUUAUAUAUUACCGCAGACAAUUCUAAAGAAUAACUUCCCAUCAAGAACGUCUUCUCAAUAACACCCUUUGCAUUGACCAAAACAUUCCUUGCAAGUGCAUUAAUGUUCAUUGUGUCACGAUAGUGCGGAAGUAAAAGCUUAUGAAUAGGAUGAACCACACUAAGAUGCCUAUUUGUUGCUAUGAUGAAUGGCUCAACAACUGCAUGAGUAUUCAACCUGUCACACAUGUCGAUAAUAAUGAAUAACUCAGACAUUUAAACUAUGUUUGGCUCUCUAAUCUUGGGAAUAGAAUUUGUACCAGUGGCUGAUAAGUUGGUGAUAGCAUGAGUCAUUUACAAUCACAUAAUUCUUGGCAAGUAGCCAAAUAGAAGAUUCAACACCUUCACUUGCAGGCAAGUAGAUAUCACUGAUAGGAUCAAAGCGAUCACCUUUUGGAUUCGGGCUACUUAGCUCGAUGGCUAAUGGCUUAAAAGUUCCAUCAUUUUGUAAGAAAAUGAUGGUUCUAGUAGCAUAUCCCAUUGUAUGAUCAUUGACUUCAUUUAUUUUGCUCAAAUAUGGAAAUAUUGAGUCUUGGUAAUCAAGUAUGUAAAGUCUCUUGUUAUGGAUAGCCUGUUCAAAAAACAUUUGAUUUAGUCAUUACAAUUGUUUGAAUUAAAAUGAACCUUUUUCGCAAAAUACUUCCUCCGUCUCAUUUUAAUCGUCAUUUUUGCAUUUUUUUUAUCUAUCUCAAAAUAAUUUUUAUUUUAAAAUAUUAAUACAAUAUUUAUCAAUUUUUUUAACUUUAAUAUACUCUUUUUUAUUGAAUUUUACUUCAUUUAACUAUUUUACUAACUACCAUUGAUAAAGGUGUUUUAGUAAAUGACACUAUUUACAAUUGAAAUCAAUCAACUAACCGCACACGACUCAAAUACUAUAAUUAAAAUGAGACGGAAGGAGUAGAAGUAACAAAAUCAUUUAGUCAUUACUUCUUCUACAGUGACCCCAUCCAUAUUUAGCUGCAACUGUUCUUUGGUUAUUGUGCUCGUAUUAUCACCGUAGUCUUGGCUAUUUAGCUUGCUCUUUGGUGGGAACUCCUACAUUAUAUAUAACAUGUAAUACUGAGAUUAACAAUUGAAAAUAUAGUAUGUAAAAUGGACAAAAUAGAGUUUAAUUUUCUGUUUGUAUAGAAAUCGUUAAACUAUGAAGUUUACCUGAAGUCUUUUGAUAAUGUGUGGAUUCACACCAGCAAUCAUCUCUCUUGUAAAUUCUUCAUCAGUCAUCCAUCCAGACUGAUUAACUGCUCAAAAUAAGAGCAUUGCAAAUGAUCCAUGAGAUUUCUUUCCAUAUUUUGUAUGAAUAUAAAUUACUAGGACUAAAAUCGUAGUAGUUCUAAUUCCCUGGGUACCUUGAAUCACUUCAGGCCGUGGAAACGUAAGUCCAGGUACUUCCUCAUCAUAGAAGGCAUGCACAUCAUUAAAGGUAUCAAACUCUGGCUUAUAAUUGCAUUCUAUUUCUAUCUCAGAUAUGAAAUCUUGAGAUGCUGAUUUCAGUAGGUUAUCAAGAAAUUCUGAAGACUUCUUGUGAUCAAAUGAUUCAUCUCUUGGAAUGUAAACAAAGCCGUUCCGACUCUCACUUUUAGGAUCUGUUCAUGUACAAAAUAGCAAAUAUGUAUUAGCUAGAAGAAUGACUUUAGAAUCAUUUUCAACACAAAAAAUAAUGCCAGCAUUAUUAAGAAAGUAAAAGAGAGUAUUUGAGAGAAGACAUAAAGAGAAAAAUGAAGUAAAAAUUGUGUUAUUCAAUUCAGUUUGUUACAAUGGAGAUGAACUCUAUUUAUAAGCUAAUUUCUAACAUAGCAUCUCUAACAAACUUAACAGCUGUACAAGCUUAUGUGGCAAGUUAGUUAGAGUUAGAAGUGGUUGCUUGCUCCUCAAGUAAUCUUCCUUCUUCUUCCAUUCUUAACAAUCAUAACAUACACUAUACUUUUAUAAAUAUCAAGGCGACAUUAAUUAAGUCUUAUUGAAAUACACCAGGGAUCACUUUCGUUUGUGAAGUAAUACCUUAAAAAAUAAUAUACCCAAGUGUUUAAAAAGAGUAUAAAAGUUUAUAACCUUUCUUAGCUGGUUCCCUGCCGGUUCUUCCCCUUCGAGGGUAAGGGAAAUUGCUCGAUCCCCCAAGAAUUUGACGCGCCAAUUGAGGUUUCGAGUCAGGCUCACCUAAAUCAUUGUAGACAUCGUAAUCAUAUAUUCUUUCCCAUUCCUUGCGCUCUCCUGUUCCAUCUCCUCUUAAAGUCUUCAAUUCUUCUUGUCUAUAGUACACUAAUGGAGCUGGUGUUUCACUUGGAAGGUAUGUCUAUAUUUUAAAUCAUAUGAAGGUGUCAGAUUUUGGGAACUAUAGUUUAUAUUUAACAUGCAAGAUAAAUAUGGUAUAUUCAUUACCUUGUUGGCAAAGAAGAUGCGUUCAGUUUUGUAGUUUUGAGCAUUGUAAAUCCAUGAGUUGCAAACAAAGUUGAUGGUUCCAUGGUUGGGAACAUCUUCAAGGGUCAAACUUACAAGAAAGAAUUCUCUUUGCUUGCGAUUCUUAAUAUAAAAUGCUCCUGGAAUUCCCAUGUCACUAUCCCAUUUAAAAUGAACAUCAAAUUCAGAUUGCCCUGCUACAUUCAAAGACGUUUCUUUUCCGACUUUACCUUUUCCACUUUCUACAAAUAAAAUAUGUCACAAUUUUGUUUUUCAAUUUCAGUAAAGGUUUAUAAAAAAAAAAAAUCAGUUAUGAUAAUUCUCAAAUGAAAAAUUAUAGCUAUUAAAAAUCUAAUUCUUUUUAUAAAAAAUUAACAAAUACUUGUAAGACAAUUUUUUAAAGAAAUUAUAAUAAUAAAAAAUGAAGAACAUGUGUAAUAUUUUAUCAAAAUUUUGUAAAAAAAAUAGUAAAAUCUAUCUUUGAAACACAUGUUUAUAUUUGACGUUCUCUAAACAUAGAAACCAAUUGUGAGUUUAAAAUAUGAGAACUUUUACUGUAUACUUGCAAAUUAUGUUUGUAGACAGUAGUGUGAGAGACUAAGUAAUUAUAAGCAAAAAAAAAUAAGUAAUUACCAUCAGCACUAGUAGAACUAAUCAACCUGAGAUCCACGGAACUGGCCAUAAUAUAGGUGUCAAUUAUAUAGCUAAUGAUACCAUGAACAAGAUUGAUAACACCUUUGAUUAAACCAGCGGGACUUGUAGCUGAAGUGAGGGAGUCUAUAUCAAACACAUUCUUUUGCAUCAAUAUCACUGUCCCCUUCACCAUUUGGCUUCUGUGAAAUGGAUUUGGAAACAUCUUUGCAACUUUGUGCACUUUCUGCUUUUCUGACAAAUGAAAGAAAACCUAGUGGCUUGCAAGUUUCUAUUCUAAUUUUGUUUACACUCUCACUCUUACUAUAUAUAUAUAUAUAUAUAUAUAUAUAUAUAGUAAGUCUUGCAAAUCAUGGGGGCUGCAUCCAGCACGUCAACGACCUAGGUCAAUACAGCAAGGUAAUUAAAAUCAAACCAGUCGGUUGAAACGGUACCUUUGAGUUUGGUUGGAUAUUGCUUUUCCUCUAGUUAAUAAUACUAGUUUGGUUCCUCUAGUUAACAUCUGUACCAAAAAAAAAAAUAUUUGUUUAACAUUUAAAUUAUUUUAAAAUAAAUUAAUAUAAAAAUAUUACAUGACAUUGAUUGAUUGGAUGAUGAGUAUAUAUCUAUUAAAAAUUGUAUAGGUGAUAGAGUGUUGAGUAGUUGAGAAUUAAUGAAGUAACGAUAUCAUAAGUAUAAAAGGCAAAAGGAUAAAAAUUGCGAGUAAAAUAAUAGUUUGGUUUAUUGUGUGUCAAUCAAAAUUUACACGUGAACUUAUAGAUAAGGUGACAUAACAUGUAAUUCUAUGUCAUGUUAAAAUUGAGAUUUUGCUUUAGAUCGAAAGAGAUCAGCAAAAUCGACAAUCGUUAAAUCGCAAUUAAAAUUGAUGGAUUUUAUCAAAAAUAUAAUAUUAAAUAUAUUUUAUAAAUGGUAUAUAGUGAUAAAUGACUUAGAUUAUAAUAAAUUGUAAGACCGCAAUCAAAAUCGUUGAAUUUUUCUUAUUUUAGAAUUAUACUAUGGGUUUGAGUCGUUAAAGAUGAAAAAAGUCACAAAAUCUUAAAUUUUAAGAUUUAAGUCGGUAUUUUAACAAGUCUUAACAUCAUGGCUUGCAAAUUCAACAUUGAUUGUUGUUAGAGUAAAUUACACUCCCCUCCCCUCAAAGAUGCUUGAAUUACAUUCCCCUCCCCUCUUAAGUUAAAAUAUACAAUCCCCUCCCCUCUUAUUCAAAACAUAUUAGAGAAAAUUUCACUCCCCUCCCCUAAGAGAAGCUUGAAUUACAUCCCCCUCCCCUCUUAUGUUAAAAUCUACACUUUACCCCCUCAAUAUUCUUUUUUAUUAUUUCUAAUAAUCUAGCAAAAAAUAAUAAUUUAACACACUUAAAAAAAUAGUAUUGCGAGUCUGUUUUAAUAUAAUAAAAAGUUGAAUACAUAUUUUUCGCUAUUUUUUAUUCACAAUUUCAUUAACAUGUAGUUUUAAACCCUAUUAUAAAAUAUUAAACAACCCAAAACAAAAUUAAAAUAUGUGAAAAAUUACUAAAAUCAUUAAGGCAUGAUUAUUUAGAAGUUAAUUUUAUACUCAGAUUUAUAAAAUCAAUAGCAAUAUAUUUAAAUUUAAUUAUCAUUGACAUUUAAACUAUAAAGAAAUGAAUUAAUUUUUCUUAAAUGGUGAUUCAAAAUUAAUAUAUAUUAUAAGAAUAUUUAAUUAUGUUCAAAUAGAUUAAAGUGUAGUGCAUAUUUAAUUAUUAAGGGAAUGGUUUGUAAUUCAAGCAUCUUAUAAGGGAGGGGAGUAUAAAUUUUAACAUUAGAAAAAAAUAUUGAGGGAGUAAAAUGUAUAUUUUAACUUAAGAGGGGAGGGGAGUGUAAUUCAAGCAUCUUUGAGGGGAGGGGAGUGUAAUUUUUUAUUGUUUUGUAUUGAUCCACAUGUUUAUUUAGAUGUAUCAUUUUUCCUAACAAAUCCAAAUGUUUAUAUUCAAGAUCAAAGCUAAUGUAUUAAAAACAAAAAAUAUCAAUUAUUGCUGGUCCUACCACGGUUUAAUGUCAAUAACUUAGUUUAGAAAUCACACUUGAAACCCAUUCAAUGUUAUCCACCACUAUAGUCCUUGUAUGAAAAUGCAUUUUCACAUCUACAUUUUCCCAUGGUAUGAAUGGGGAGACUUGGAGAUCAUCAUCAAGCAUUGACUCAAACACAAGGCUUGCACUGUUGGAGAAAAAUGCUAUUAUUAUCCUAAAUUAUUGUUAGUAAUUAUUCAUAUUACGCAGAUUGAUAUCCAAUCCCUCAACUUCAUUCACACACACACACAUAUAUAUAUAUAUGCACCAUGAAGUACACACCUCUCUAAGUGUGUCACGGUGUCCGACACCAGUGCCGGAGCCAGAAAAAAAUGUUUGGGUGGGCCGCUAAAAUAAACUAUAAACAAUAAUAUGUAAACAUAAAAUUAAAGUACUAAUAAGCAUUAAGCUUGAAGUUGAAAUUGCAAAGUUUGACUAAAAAGCUCGGGUGAAUGCUUUAAAAAAACAAAUUACAUAUUACUAAUGCUAUAAAUUAUGAUUUUUUUAUUUAUUUUAUAAUACAACUCUUAAUUGGAGGAAUUUUUUACAAAACAAUAUAAAAGAGAUUUGAAACCACCAAAAAUUAAAAGGUCUGUAAACCUCCGUUAACUAGCCAAGUAUAAGCAUAAAAAAAAAAAUCACAUAUGUCACUUUUGGAACCACCGAAAAUCUAAACGGUUGAAAAAUUGUUUAAAAUCUCGCAAAGCUGACUUAUGAUCGUCGAUUUUUUACUUUUUCCGGGUGGGCUGUGGCCUACCCCGGCCCUUAAAGGGCUCCGCCUCUAUCCGACACACGUCGAUAUUUGACAUUCAUAUGACACUCAUAUACAACACAUGUUGAACCAACUCAGUCUAGUGUCCCAAAAAUUAAUCAUUAUUUUAUUUUCUUCGACACACCUUGAACAUAUUUCUAAGGGUAUCUACAAGAUUAAAGAUGUGUGAAAUCAAUAUUGAUCAAUGAGGUGGUUAAAGAAAUUAAUAUUUUUAACAAAAUUUUAAUAUUUUUUGUUAAAGAAAUACAUUGCUCAAUUUACAUGUAUAUAUUUUGAUUCUCGCUUUAGCUAUUUUAUAAAUAAUACUAAUAUAUGAUUUGAUUAUAAGAAAUUAAUAAAUAUAUAUGUUGCGAUGCCAAAGUCUUAUGUUUUUUAAUUUUUACAUUGACGAUAUUAAUAUAUCCGUGUCAAUGUCAUGUGUCAAGUGUUCAUGUCGGAAUACAUGUCAUAAAGAGUGUGUGUAUAUAUAAUUCAAGAUCUUUAUUCAUAUAAGAUUUGCCGCGUUGUAGUUUUAGUUACUUCUUAGUUAAGUUUACUUGUUUGACUCAUAAGUUUAUUAUUAGUUGUUGAGGUAUGAAUUAUAUGUUAGUAUAUCAACUGUGAGUAAGAGUUCCAUAUUAAAAAGUGUAUGAUGAACGUAUUAUAAUUGAGAUGAUCUCUAAUUUUAAUGUCUUCAAAUUUUGGGUUAAAGUAUGUUGUCAACCACACAUGUAUCGAAAAUUUGCACUCCAAUUCUAUGAUAAAUGCUCAUCUUUCAUAAUCGACCAAUAUUCAUUCAUGUUAACUGUAUAUGUCAUCAUUCACAUUAUAAAUUUUCACUCAACUACUCCUUAGCUUGCCAGCGAACAUCUCUUCCAUGUCAGAAACCCAUCAAUAGCAGUUACACACCUAUAGAUAAGAUCCAUUAACCAAUAUCCAUGACAUUCAUACAUACUUAGUAAUUAAGAUUUAAGACCAUUGCAUUAUAGCAAUAGACAUAAGUCAGCAAUUCAAAUAAAGGUUAUAACCACAUUAUUGUACGUAAGUAACAUAACUAAGUGCAUGCUUGAUAUGCAGUGAAAUUGAAAGCAGACAAGAAAAUGCAGCAAUGAUAGGUUGACACUCUUAGGGUGUGUUUGGUUGUGGAGAGAGAGAAAGUGAUAAGAGAGAAGUAGGUGAGAGAGUUUGAGAAGAGAGAAAGAUGUGAGAAAUAAAGAUAGUGUUUGGUAUAAAAGAAAGAGAUAAGAAAUUGAGAAGAGAGAAGUGUUGAUUAUUUUUAAAAGUACAAAAAUACCCCUUAAAAUAAAAAUCUUUUCCUAAAACUACUCUAUUUUAUAUUUAAUUAAAUUUAUGAAUUGAUUAGUUUAAUUAGUUAUCUGGGUUAUUUUACUAAUAAUAAUAACAAGGUAAGUUAAUUAAUUUAAUUAUUAUUUAAAUAAGCCUAUUGUGAAAAAGAAAGAAAGAAUCACGUGACAACAUUGCAUAAAAGACAAAAAAAAUGUGUUGUUCUCUUAAAUUAAAGGGCAUAAAAGACAAAAUUAAAGCAACAAAAGAGUAACUUCUCUUCCGUUUCUUCGCUAAUUAGGGGAGAACAAAAAAUGCAUGGGACCCACCAAUUUUGUCCCUCUUCUCUCUUUCUCACCUUUGUCAAACUAGAGAAAUGCCACACUUCUCUCCUCUUUCUCUCCUUAGUCUCUCUCUUCUACAUUUCUCCACUACUAAAGAGAGUUUUAAUGUAUACACUCUUUUGCAUUACUUUAAAAAAAUUAAAGUUAACCAAAUAUAUAGUUUAUGUGACCACGUUUUUUUAGUUACGUGGCCACUAUUUUUAUGACAUACAUGCUCAUAAUAUAUUACUCAUGUUUAAUUAAACUAAAUAGAUCUUUUUUGGGACUAAAUAGAUCUUAUAUCUUAUAUCAUAAGCAAACACUUGGAUUUUUCCACUGUAGGGCCCACAUGGUACUUAAGCAAUUGCCAAGUCAAAAUAUAUAUGUUUACUUAAACUAAAUAAAUCUUAUCUCUUACCACUAUCGGGCCCACAUGGUACUUAACGCAAUUGCCAAGUCUUUGAUGCAUCCCCUCAAAAACAAUCUUGAUGCAUUAAAUGGAUGCUUGUAUUUUUUCCUUUUAUAGAAAAACAAAGUCUUAAAUUAAUUGGCACCACGCAGAAAGUUUGGAAAGCUCUUGACACACAAUCAUUUUGGGUUCUUGACGUUUGGUAGAAUAGGAGUGCAUGACAUAGCAACUGUGAAAUCAUUGGUAUAACUUUUAGGUGGCCAGAUAAUAUAAAAAACUAAACUUGAUCAUAAGCAAACACUUUCACAAUAAUUUUUACUUCCAUAAAAAAAGGUUUGAACAGCCUUUGAAUCAAUGACUUCUAAGAUGUAAAUCGAUGCCUAUUAUUCGUUGAACUUUGAAGGAACCAACGGGUAGCACUUGGAUGACAUAGAGUUGGGUGACAUUGACCAAUCACAAUGUCAUAAUGCUUGUGUUUCUCUCUCUUUCACAAGUAUUGUGACAUUAUAAUUGACUAAUGUCACUAAUGUCAUCCAACUCUAUAUCACCCAAAUACUAUCCUGAAACCAACCUUGUGAGUGAAGCUGAGUGAAAAAAAUAUUAAACUUUAUGAUAAGCAAACACACGUUCAAAAUAUAUUUUUUACCUCUCCUUCCAAUUUAUUUACUUUUUUUUACUUUAUCAUAUGGAGCUUUUGUUAAGUACAAGGUGGGUCCUAUAUAUUAUUCGAGUGAUGGGAGUGGUGUAAAAUUGGUCUUCUAUCAACUAGAUCACUCCCAUACAAACUGACGAAAAUAUCUCUAACGUAACUUAAAUCAAUCUGAAAGGGAGCGUGAGUUAACUCACACUGGGCUUGCGUUCAGGACCAGAACAUCAUAAACAUCUUUUUCAAUAAUUUUCUUCAUUCCUUCAUUCAUACAUACAUCCAUUUCUGUCAAAAAUACAUGUUUUCAUCAUUCAUUUAAUGAUUCAUUCAUUCACUCAUAAUUUAAAUAAAAAAAAUAAACGAAAAUUAACAAAAAUGUCAUAAAAAAACGCAAACGCGCAAAUGUAAAUAUAUAUUGCAUCCAUAUCUACCAAAGUGUAAAAAAUACAUCUAAAUAUACACAAAUGUUAGGAAAACACUAUAUAUAAAAAAAAAAUCUACUCCUAUGGACUAUGGCUCCUAGUCCUCCGCGGAACCGGCUCCUCCUGAAGCAUGCGAUACUCCGACCAGAUUCCCUCCAUAAUUUCAUCAUUAAAAAUGCUAAAAACAAACAUAUUUUCAUGUGUUAAAUAUGUCUUUAGUCCUUACAUUUUGCGCCCCUUUGAAGAAUAGUUCCUACAUUUCAUUAAAUGUUUUUAAAAUCCUCACAUUUUCUCUCUGUUAUCAAAAUUAGUCCUUGCUGUUAAUUCUCCAACGGAAUGCUGAUGUGGCAGUUAGUGGGUCCCAAUUAUUUUAAGGUUAAAUAUGUUUUUUGUCUGUACAUUUUGCGUGACUUUGAAAAUUAGUUUUUACAUUUCAAUAAAUGUUUUUAAAAUCCCUAAAAUAAUAAGGACUAUUCUUCAAAGUCACGCAAAAUGUAGGGACCAAAAACAUAAUUAACCUUAAAAUAAUUGGGACCCAGUAACUACCACAUCAACAUUCUAUUAGAGAAUCAACAACAAGGACUAAUUUUGAUAACGGAGAUAAAAUGUGAGGAUUUUAAAAACAUUUAAUGAAAUGUAAGGACUAUUCUUCAAAGUCACGCAAAAUGUAGGGACGAAAAACAUAAUUAUCCCUAAAAUAAUUGGGACCCAUUAACUGCCACAUCAGCAUUCCGUUAGAGAAUUAACAAUAGGGACUAAUUUUGAUAACGGAAAUAAAAUGUGAGGAUUUUAAAAACAUUUAAUGAAAUGUAAGGACUAUUCUUCAAAGGGAAGCAAAAUGUAAGCACUAAAAACACAUUUAACCCUAUUUUGAUUGAGACAUUUUAUCAAACACCUAGAGUUCAACAUAAUUUCUAACAAUUCCUAACUCUAACCUAACUCUAACGUACCAUAUUUCAAUCAAACCUACUCUAAUCAACUUCUAAAAAACAAUUUAUAACUUAAUUUAUCAUUAACAAUAAAAAUAUCAAACAUGCAAAUCAACUCUAAAACUUAAAAUUUCACAAUUUCAUCCAAAAAAAAAAAAACUAACAUUUAAACCCAAAAAACCCAAUGCAAAAGGUUAGAUAGCACUUGUGAUGGAAGUAGAAUUUGAUAUUGAUUUGAUUGAGUUCGGUGAAAAUCGCACAAAGUGGGAGAAAUUUCAUAAAAAAUGAGUUUGAAACACAAUGGUUAUAUUUUUGUCUGUUGUCGUUCUAUAAUAACACGCAAUGUGAGUUAAGUCACGCUGGGUUACAACGUAUGUGAGUUAAUUCAUGUUGAAUGUACCGGGCGUGACUUAUGUCACGAACGUGGGGGUACUUUCGUCCAUUCAGUUGGGAGCGAGUAUUUAUUGAUGGGAGAAGAGCAAUUUUCUAAAAACUUUGGGUGUGGUGGAAGAUUCUAAGUGAGGGUUGUAUGUUCUGUUAUGUUAAAAUAACGGAUAACUGAUAAGUUUGCUGAUAGCUGAUAGUUUAUAGCUGAUAGAUGUUGGUUGAUGGCUGAUAACUUAUAGUUUAUAGUUAAUGACUAUUGACUGAUGUUGAUAAGCUAGUUAAAGUGUGCUAAAAUUAACGGUUCAAUUAACUGAUAAAUAUAAAUUGACAUAAAAUGAAUUUUUUUUAUUCAUAAUACUUUUUUGAGAGGACCAAAGCCCAAUUUAAUUGAAAAAUUUAAUAAUUAGAAUUUAUAAAAAAAAAAAUCUGAAAAUAAAAUGUUUACUAGACUUUCCACCCGUGCUGCCGCACGGGUCAUAUACAUUGUAGAUAUAGUAGACAAAAACAAAUCUCAAUGCAUAUCAAAGAGAAUGAAAUAUGUGGUCCCAAAUAUAUGCAGAUGUUGGAAUUCGAACCUCAGACACCACGCUUAUUCACCAAAAAAAUAUUAAUUUUUAUCAAUCGUGUGUUACUUCAUUCCUUUGUUAAAAUUAUAUGUCAAUAUUAUAUUAUUGGUAUGUUACUUCAUAUUUUUCUUUUUUUUUUUGAAAAAAUGUUACUUCAUUCUUUUGUAAAAAUUAUAUGUUAAUGUUAUAUUAUGUACCUAAAAAUAGUUCAUUCUUAACCUCAACAUGUAAAAUGUUUUAUUUAAAUAAUUUUCCUUUUAUCGAAUAUUUGGCCUUUACCGUAAAUGAUACCCUUUAACUGUUUGUUGAAAUGUUUCUUCCACCUGUUUAUAUAGAUUGCAAAAUUCAGGUGCAUUUUGUGGUAAAUAUUUAACAAAGAGAGUUCAAUUCUAAUUUGGAUGAAAAGUGUAAUAUUAACAAAAAAAAAUGUUGCUAUAAUCUUUCAAAACCCUUUUAUUCCAAUAGGGCGAUUUGUUUUGUUGAAGAAAUAGGGCGAUUUGUGUUUUGAAGAAAUAGGGGAAAUAAAGCGAUGCCGAUUUGCUUUGUUCAUGAAAAUAGGAGAUUAGGUGUGAGCAUUAGCGUUGUUCAUGAAAAUAGAAGAUUAGGUGUGAGCAUUAGGGUUAAAACGGUAAAAUUAUGCAACAGGGUUUAGGUUAAAAUUAGGGCUCAUGAAAAUAUGAGAUUAGGUGUGAGCAUUAGGGUUGUUCAUGAAAAUAUAAGAUUAGGUGUGAGCAUUAGGGUUAAAACGGUAAAAUUAUGCAACAGGGUUUAGGUUAAAAUUAGGGCGCAUGAAAAUAUGAGAUUAGGUGUGAGCAUUAGGGUUGUUCAUGAAAAUAUAAGAUUAGGUGUGAGCAUUAGGGUUAAAACGGUAAAAUUAUGAAAUAUGAUUUAGGUUAAAAUUAGGGCUUACGGGUUACCUUUAAUAUAUAAGAAGAUUAGGUGAGAGCAAUAGGAUUGUUCAUGAAAAUAGGAGAUUAGGUGUGAACAUUAGAGUUAAAACAGUAAAAUUAUGCAAUAGAGUUUAGGUUAAAAUUAGGGCUUACUUGUUAACUUUAAUAUAUAACUUUAAUAUAUAAGAAGAUAAGCCCUUAACUUUGCCAAAUCCCCAAAUUGAUUCAACCAAAUUCUUCCUCCCCAAAUUGAAUCAUCAUGCAUCAUUCCUUCAUUAUAUGUCAAUUAACCGGUUGGUAUGAAGUAGAAAAUCGAGCGAUGUUGCAUUAUUUCAUUUACCGAUACAUGCUUAAGCAAAGACCAAGAAAAGAGAACAUGGCAAUAGAGAUGGAAUGGUUCAUUACCUUUUUAGAUUGAAGAAUGGAUUGGGGAGUUACGAUUUUUUUAAAGAGAAAACUAGUUACAAACCCGUGCUUCGCACGGGUUCAAUAACGUUUUUGAUAAAAAAAAAUCGAAAGAAGAUAUGUUAAAACGACGGAACAUUAUGAUUCAUCAUAAAAUAUGUAUGGACUGGUUCCAAAGCAUUAUAAAGAUCUGCUGUAGAAAAAGGGCAUGUUCUAUUUUGUUCAAAAGAUUAUGAAAACAACAUUAUAAUUAACAUGAUACUAAUUUGAACCAAUGAAGAAACCAACAAUGUGCAGAUUAACGUUACAUAAUAGUUAGGUUUAUAAAAGAGACUCCAAGUGUCAAAGACUAACUAAAAAGAGAUUUUUGCCAAUAUUUACUUCAGACAAAAUGAAAAGAACAAAUGACAUCCCAAAGUCAAAAUAGUUUACGAUUACAGACCAAAGCGAUACGUCAAAAUAGUAGAAGUUCAAAUAGUUCAGCAGCAAAUAUCUACUUUAGAACAACUCGAACGUGCAAGUUCUUCGGUGACUUUUCGAGACCAAAUAUGAGCUUACCACCUUCUAUCAUCACACGUUCUCUGCAGAAAUUGAUCCAUAGCCCACCCAAGUAUUUUUCAUAGCUUGCUCUUUCGGCGGUAAUGAGGCGACACUUAUACUUUCUCUGUAUGCGAAUAUAGUUACAUAUAAUUUAUAAAAUAAAGGUAGCUUAACUGAUUUAAGCUAAAGAAAAUGUAUCAUGACUUCUAAUUUAUCUUCCUAUAAAGUCUAGAUAAAUACAUGUAUGUGCAUUAUAUGAACCCCGUUGACCAAUUAACAUUGUUGAAACAAAUGGAAAUUAAGCAUCACUCCCGCAUGUGCAUCUAUAGCUAGCACCAUUUGACAUUGAUGUCUUCGAACAUUUGGUGCAACUCUUAUAAUACCAUCCAAACUGGUUAGGAUUGAAUUUAGUUGUUUUCCAAAUAGUGAUGAAGUAUGUAUCCUAACCCAAAUUAUGCACAUGAAAUAAAGAAUAAUGCAAUAUGUAUUUUUAACUUGUGCAUCAAAAAACUCAAAGCAUGUUCGUGCAUAAAAAAAGCAGACCAUGACUAAGUUUAUAAAUUCAGUAAUUGGCCUAACCUGAGGCAGAUUGAAAAAAUCGUUGUACAAAGUACGUUGAGAAGAAGCCGAACUCUAACUUAAGUUAUGACUGAUACUUUGACUCUGAGCUUGAGAAGUGUUAAGGUCACGACAACAAUUCAAGAAACAUGGUCAAAAAACAAUCAAAUCAAAUUGUGAAAUAAUAAGUUACUCUAAUACUAUAUUUUGAAAUCAUAAUGCAAACUUACUAAGUCUUAAACUUCUCAACAACCGGAUAAUGUAGGUUGAUGAGCAGCCUCGAACCUGACCAAUUGUUACAUAUAUUUGGGUUGCCAAUGACUACAAAAUGGAAGAACUCAAGGUAAAUAGAUGGUAAAUGAUCAAGCUACAGAGUAUUUUUCCCAUAGUGUUACAUCAACUAUAUUCCCACUGCAUAAGGAAAGACAUCUUUCAGGUCAUUAUCAAACUUAUACAAAAUUCUAUCAUCUGACGUUGACAAAUUAGAAAAUAAUACCUUUUAUCUUUCAACACAAUGUUCGUACACGGUUUCUUUCUAGUCCCAAUUGGUGUUGUCUUGACAAUCUCAUGAAGAAGCCCGAUGAUUUCUUAAAAAAAAAUUACAUCUAUAAUAAUAUUAUAAUCGGAGAAAACAAAGAAAUAAAUUAAAGCACAUAACUAUAUCAUAUAAAAUGUCAGAUUUGAAUUUUCCAUCUUGAAUUUCCUUAAAUGACUUAAAACGAAAUUCAUGAGUAAGAACGUUAGUUAACUUGUCAUACUUCUGCACCUUUGUAUCAGAACCAAAAACAACCCUAAAGAGAUUAAAUACAAUGUCCUUAUCAAACACAUGACAAUUAUACAAAGUAUAAGUCUUGUUUUCCUCGAUCAAAGCCUUUCAAUGCUCCAAUUCUCUAUACCGAGUUAUUACAUGAACUCGAUCACCCUAAAUUCGAGAAAGAAACCAAAAAAUGUAAAUAAAUCAAAAUGUACACUAAUAAGUAACAUUGAUAAAUCAUAAAGGAAAUUACAACAAAUCUUAACUAACUCAUCUAAUCUUUGCAUCACAAAUAAUGAGCUUCAUAUGUUGAUUCUCAUUACUACCAUUUACAAUCCAAGAAUCCAGCACUCCAAAUCCUAUUUUCCAAAUGUCCAAAUCAUUUUUUAGAUCCUUAAUGUAGUCAUAAUCCCUUGACAUCGAAAGUCCUAUAUAAAGAUACAAUAAUACAUCAUUUAAUUUUAUUCCCUUUGUUCAUUCUGAUAUCGAAAGAAGCUAACAUAUCCUAUGUGAUCAAUUUUUGUAUCAUCAAAUCAACCUGAUCUUAAAUGCACAAAUUUCUGAAUCAUCAACUUUUUGGACGUCAAUGAUAUGACCAAAACAAAUUUCACCAAUCAACUUUUGUACGGCUCAAUCAUAUAGGAAAGAAUAAACCAAAUAUGAAAAUUGUUAUGGCUUUAUGAUUACUCACAAAAACUAAAAUAACCCACAUACAUCAAUUUUUUUUCAACCACAGUACCAGAAGCUAAAAUAACAAUUGUGUCAAAACCUUAUCAUGAGCUAAAAUUCAAUCAUCAUGAUUUAUCAAUGUUACUUAUUAGUGUACAUUUUGGUGUCUUUCAAAAAGAUAAGAAUUUAUAUUAUAUGAUAUUAUAUUUGUUACAUUGUUGGUGCCAUGGAAACAUAUAUGUUUAGUUUUUUCGAAUAAGAAGAAGAUAUGCAUAGUUUGUUAUAAUAUAAGGGUGCAAAAUAUAUAUAUAAGUAUAAUUUUUCUAGGCAUCUAGACCUUUUUUGAAGAUAAGAAUAAAAAUAAUCAUACGCAUUAUGCAACGUCAAAAAAAAUUAUACGCAGUAGCGUAACAAAAAAACAGACACAUAUAAAGUAUUACUCUAAGCGCUAAUAUGUGUGUUCGUAUAUAUUUGCGAGGUUGAAGAAAGAAAAUAAAAAUAUUUGGUAUCAUUAAAUGACAGCGUGAAUAAAAAUAUUUGUAAGGUUGUGAUGAUUAAACAAUAUUGAAUUUAAAUGUAUAAGUGAUAAAAAGAUAAUAAAAUUCCUUUGAAAAAAAAGGUAAUAAAAUUAAAUGGGACCUCCUUAAAAAAAAUUAAAUGGAACGAUUCCAAAAAAAAUUAAAUGGAAGAAAAAAUCAUAUUGAAAUAUAAUAUUAAAAAAUAAAAGAAAAGGUUCCCAGUGUGAGUUGAAAAGAUGUGCUUUUGAAAUAAAUUGUCGAGAAGUAGUUUUUUAAAGUAACAUUCAACAACUUUUGGCCAAAGCUCAUUCCAUUCAAUUUUAUGCAUUAAAAAAAAAUUACUUUUUGUAGUAAGUACUUAAUUGAUAUUGUGUUUGUGUUUGACCUAACUUCUCCUUAAAAAUGUAGAAAAGUUGGAAAAAAAGCCGGGUCAAACGAUACCUUAUUCUCCUACAACGGCAAUGUAGAAGCAACUUAAUUUUGGACAAAAAAUUGAAAAAUAGUUAAAAACAUAAAAAUUGGAAAUAAAAUAUUUGGUAUCAUUUAAUGACAGCGUGAAUAAAAAUAUUUGUGGAGUUGUGAUGAUUAAACAAUAUUGAAAUUAAAUAUAUAUGCGAUAAAAAGAUAAUAAAAUUAAAUGGAACAUUCUUAAAAAAUUAAAUGGAACGGUUCAAAAAAAAAAGUUAAAUGGAAGGAAAAAAACAUAUUGAAAUAUAAUAUUAAACAAUAAAAGAAAAGGUUCCCAGCGUGAGUUAAAAAGAGGUGCUUGUGAAAUAAAUUGUCGAGAAGUAGUUUUUUUAAAGUAACAUUGAACAAAUUUUGGCCAAAGCUCAUUCCAUUCAAUUUUAUGCAUUCAAAAAAAUACAUUUUUUUAGUAAGUAAAUAGCGUGAGUUAAAAAGAGGUGCUUGUGAAAUAAAUUAUCGAGAAGUAGUUUUUAAAGUAACAUUCAAUAAUUUUUGGCCAAAGCUCAUUCCAUUCAAUUUUAUAUUCAAAAAAAUUUCUUUUUUUUAGUAAGUAAUUAAUUGAUACUAUGUUUGACCUAACUUCUCCUUAAAAAUGUAGAAAAGUUGAAAAAAUAAAAACCGGGUCAAGCGAUACCUUAAUCUUCUACAACGACAAUGUAGAAGCAACUGAAUUUGGGAUAAAAAAUUAAAAAAUAGUUAAAGUUAUCAAAAAUAUAAAAAUUAUAAAAUAAUUAAAAAAAUUGUGAGGGGCAAAAUGGGAAAUGCACCCAUAUAAUGGUGAGGUGGCAACAACACAAUUCCACCAAUUAGAAAAUUACAAAAAUACCCCUCCUAGGGGCAAAAUGGGAAAUUUAUAGAGCAUCAACUUUAAUAGUAGUAAGUAUAUAGAUAAGAAGAUGAAUGUGCAUCAUCAUCUUAGAAUGACAAAACAAUUAUUCUUUUUCUUUUUAUGGAGGAACGAUGGAUGCUUCAAUUUGGGGAGGAAGAAGGAGGAAGGAUUUUGUGUGAAUCAAUUUGGGGAUUUUGCAAAGGUAGGGUUCUUCAAUUAUAAACAUUUUAUUUUCAGAUUUUUUUUUUUUUAUAAAUUCUAAUUAUUAAAAUUUUUAAUUUAAUUUUACUAUUAAUGAUGUGGAAAUGAUGUGUCUAAUAAUGGUAUCAUGUUAGCAAUGUAAUAUAAUGUCAUUAAUGAACGCGCUACAUCAUUCAAAAAAAAAAGGAGGACAAUAAAUUUUUGUUGACAUUUUAAAUAGGAGAUCAAAAUGUUGGUUUUAGAAAAUGGAGUAUAAAAAAUUAACAAAAUUGAGAAAUGGAACAAAAGAUAAUAAACUAUAAGUUCAAAUGUUAUUUAAAAUAGCGUCUGAAAAAUAAGUUAUAUUAGUUCGUUAUGAAAAGAGACAGAUGUCAAACAGGACUUUUUGAUCAAACGACUUAUAAGCUAUAAACUCUUCUCUAUAAGCUACCUCUUUGCCCAUAGCAAACAGACCCGUGAGUGUGGGGGGAGGAGGAUGGUUUUGUCCAAUAACACCACCAAUAGGCUUGCGGAUAAUUAUAGAUGGAGGAAGGGGGUAUGAGUAUGAUAGUUCCGGAAACACUUGGAGGGAGUAGGUAGGAAAUAGUUGGAUGCAGUAGGGAUUAGUAGAACAUGAAGAAGCAGAUGUGUUGAAUAAAGGAAGAAGGGAGAAAGCAACUAGUGAUCAAUGAUUGUGUUGAUUUAUAAUGAGAGGCUUGGAGAGAUCGAAAAGGAAAAUGAUUAACUAGUUGGUGCGCCAAAAAAAGGUAGAUGUCAGGGUGUGCUUGGAGUGGAGAUUCUUAAAAAAUGUUGCUUUGACAAUAAUAUAUAUUCUAAAUGUGAUAUAAUGGCAAAGACGAGGUUGUGCGGGAAUCUUUUGAUGGUUAGAAAUACUUUGUGAGAAGGAGAAUGGUGUUCGAUGGAUGAUUUAAUACGCGUGUAGUUCGGAAAGGGGGAAGGGGAAUAAAUUUGGAAGCUUCUUUGGGACAACAGUUAGAAAUGAAUAUUUUCAAUAAGGGAGGUGGACUUGGUGGAUGUGACCCCUCUAGAUCGUAGAUUUACUUGGUAUAAUUUAAAUGGGAGUGCGAUGAGUCAUAUUGAUAAAGGUCAAAUUAAAAGAAAAAAUGUUACAAUAAAACACAGUAUUUAUUUAAGGGGAAAAUAUUUUUUUUAUAAUGUCGAAGUUACAUGCUAACAUGAUACGACACUGUUUUAAUUCGAAGGUGUGUUAAAACCUAGCAGCAGAUCAAAGGUACAGUACAACCACAAACCCAAGGUUACUUGCUUUCCAAGGCCACAAAAGGGACCUUUAACUCUGCUAUACUCUAUUUUGUGUAAAAUAGAGUGCACAUCGAUCUUCCCCUCAGAUAUACACUAUUUUGUGCUUCAAUAAAAAUUGAAGUGUUUCAAUUAUAAAAAUUUGUGAAGCGAAAACAAAGUAUUAACCGUUAAAAUUGUGAAGCGAAAACAAUGUAUUAACCGUUAACUAUGUGAAAUGAAAACAGAGAGAAUUGAUAUAAAUCUCGUAUUCAUAUCGCAUAUUCUGUGAUUUAACUAUGUGUACAAGAAGGUUUAAUAUUAACUAACUGUGAUAGAUUCUAGAUGACUCCUACAUUUCUAAUAUUAACUUCACUUGUUCUGUACAUUCUACAUUGUUACAGAAUUUGCCAAAUUUUCAGAAAAUUACAGAAUCUGUCCAUUAUACCUUGUUACUGAUGUAAAAGCUUGUCAAGUGUUGAUUCAUCAAUUUUUAUCUCUUAAGAAACAGAGCUUUAAGUGUGAGUGGAUGCACCUCACUUAAGAGCUUUUGAACAAGCAUUUGUUCACCAUUUCUCUGAGAAUUGUAUAUAUGUCGCUUGUUGCUCUAGGGCCUGUUUGAGUAAGAGUCAGAGGCAUAUAGCAGUAAAGAUAUUAUCAGAAGGCAUCAUCAGAUCCUAUUUUACAGCACUUGAUAUGUUUUUCAUCUCUUAAUCAUUUGAGAGUGAAAUAUCAUUUAUGGACUAAUCUUUGAACCAGCAGGCAGGAUUUCGGAAGCAAGUAUUUGAGGCUUUUGUGAGCAAUUGUUUGGUGCCUAAAGAGUAACCUUCGAAUAUCACUCCUUCCACAUUUUUUUCUCCUUUUCAGCUGUUGCUUUUGCCUUCUGUCGAACCAAGCAAAGUGUUCAUGUGCUCUCCACCAAAUCCAAUAUGCAUAAGCUCUUCAAGUAAAGACCUACUCAUAAACCAAAUUAUUUUGCAGUACCAUAAAAUGGAACAGAGUCAAUAAACUAAAUUUAUUCCCUAAGUUAUCGGUAUAAUGAGUGCGAGGAAGAUUAUGUACCUCAUAUCAUAUGUUUCAUCUAAUUCGAAGUUUGAUGGCAGAGUUCCAAAGAUGUCUAGCUUUAAUUUGUUUGAUGGAGGAAUUGUUUCUUCUAGAUCAUCUGAUUCAAAAUUUGUUGGAGGAAUUGUUUCUUCUCGAUGAUUGGAUUGAAAAUUUGAUGAAGAUGCAGAUGCAGUUUCUUCUUGAUCAUGAGAUUCAAAAAUUGUUGAAGGAAUAGUUUCUUCCUUAUAUAUCCAGUGAAAUCCACACUCUUUUAUCGAUACUUCAUCAUAUAGAUCUUCUUCAAUAAAGAAUCUAAAUGUAAGCUUUGGAUUGCAACUAGUGCUGUUCACAUCAUUAAUGGAUUUUAUUUCUUCAACUGCUGCCAUUAUCUGCUUGCAACUUGCUUGAUCAUACCAAGAAACCAAAUGAUCCGAUAUCAUGUGGAUUGAUGGAUCGAAACGCAAUAACCAACUGAAGAAAUUUGCUCUUGUGAAACUUGUUAUAUAGAUUCUUUCACCUGAACUAUUGUCCAAAUAGCACUCACAUCCAAAAUCCACAUCAUAUCCCAUAUGGCCUUGAGAAAGAACCAAGUAGUACGAAAAUCCCUGUAAAUUAGACGGAAGCUCAAGAGUGACACAAACUUGUGUAGAAGAGUAAUGGAACCAAUUUUCCAUGCCAGGCAUAGCAGGUAAAAAGUACCAAAUAAUUUCAUCAUCAUCAUAUAAAGAUGGUCCAGUUUCAAUUCUAUCCAUAGCAUCUUUCAAAACUGUUUGGUAUGAAUGUGGUUCCAAAUUUUUGCAGUUAAGGAGAUAAAUAAAACAAGGAUUGGGUUCCUCAUAUGGUUCAAUCGUUGAACUCAACACUUUCUCAAGAGAUUCACAAUUCGAGACAACCAAAACUGGAAUGAACUGUGAAAGUGCCGGAAUAGAUUGAAUCAUUUUACAAUCGUAAACAUCAACACGUUCAAGUCGGGGAAGAUACUUAAUGGUUUCAGGCAAGCUUCUAAUGUCCAUACCAUCCAGUGUUAAAGACUUUAACGACGAUAGUAAGGAGAUACUAUCUGGGAAUUCAGACAAUAUAGGAAUAUAAAUAAAGGUUAAUUCUUUUACACUCUGGAAGGCAGGACUAGAAAAUAAUUUAUCUAAGGUGAUAAAAGGGUCAUCUUCACGAUUCUGUGGACUCGAAAGCGAAAUAUGAUCGGCAAAGUUUUCUGGAAGAUCCACAAGACAAUCACUGAUUGGAAAGACAAACCGUUUAAGGUUUUGUUUAUGCAAUAUUGACGAUGGAAGUUCAUUCCGAUCCCACUCUGAUAAACACAAAUCCAAACCAUCAACGGAUGAAAAUGUGACUGAGAACUCUUUGAGAUUGAUGCAAUCCCUAGCUUCCAAUUUCCGGAGCGCUGGUGAACAAGUGUUACUCGAAAGGCUCUUAAGCGAUGUACACUCGAAUACAUUUAAAACUUCAAGCUUUUGGAGAAGGAAAAUUGAUGAAUCAACUUCAGGCAUGCUUUCACAAUAACGAAGUAUUACAUGUUUUAGAUUUGGGGAACCCGACACAUUUGGACACUCUAUCAGCUUUUUGGAGCCACCGAGGUCAAGUAUCUCUAAAUUUGGCAAAUCCUAUAACAAUAUACAAUUGGUCAAACAAGUUAGUGCAUUUUCUUAAAUUCUAUAGAUUUCACAACCAAGAAGGGGGAAUAAGUAUAAAGGCUCACAUGCAUUUUUUGUUUUCCUAUUUUGAUAAAACCACAAUUUUGGUCAGCCAUUUCUAAUUAUGCAAUUUUGAUCACCUAUUUUCUAAUUACGCAAUUUUGGUCCCUAAUUUUUAGAAAUUGGGAGUAUAUAUGUAAAAGAGUCUUGCUAAUGAAUGCUCACCAUCAUUUUCCAUUAUAAAAUACUUAAAACUUUUAACAAAACCAAAAAAAAUACAAGGAUCAUACUUACCAGUACUCCAUUCCAAAGUUUUUCCACAUGGCUUCCUUUCAAUGAAAGCUCCACAAGCAUUUCAGGACAAAAGGUGGAAGGCAAAGAUUGCAAUGGAUAGCCAUCCCAUUGAAAAUAUCUUAAAUUUUCUGGCAAUAAAUCAAGACCAUGUGGAAGGUUUAUAGAUUUAAUUCCCUUGUUGUCUUGAAAAGCAAGUAACCUUAGAUUUACCAUCUUUUCAAAUGAUUCAGGUCUUAAAUUAAUAUGUGUGAAUUCAGUAGCAUCUAAAAAUAUGGAUUCAACAUUCUCAGAUCCCUGUAAAAAAGUAAAUCUCAACGUUAGUAUUUCCGUAGGAAGUUGCAUUUUGUAUAUAAAGAUCAUAUGAAUAGGAAGGCAAGUGAGGGCAUCUCUUACUCUAUUAUUUUUCAAUACAUUACAAACUUCCUUAGGAUCACAUAAUCUACUGCGUUGUCCGGGAUUCUUAAGUGAUUCUUCACGAACAAUUUGUUUUCCUGUUUCUUGUAUCAAGUCAUGCAUUUGUAUGCAAUUUUCAAAGUCAACGCUUAUAAGAGCCUUGUCUAAAAGAUUACUUAUCCCUAUAUCAGCAAAGAAACCACACUCAUUUAAUAUUUUUGUUAUUCUAUUCCUUUCAUGUCCUUUGAAAAAGCACGCAAUGUCUAAAAAUAUAUCUUUCUCUUUAUCAUCCAAUUCAUUAUAACUCAAUCUGAAUAUAAAAUCAAUUUCAGUGUUUGGAAUUUCUUUCAGUUUAGCCAGUGCACAAUCCCAUUCAAUUUCACUUUUACAACGAAGUAAUGAUCCCAAUACUUUCAAAGCUAAAGGAUUUCCUUUGGCAUAAUCAACUGCUCUUUUUGAGAGCUCCACAUAUCCAUCCUUAGGUGAGACUUUUCCAAAAGCAUUCAAGCUGAAAAGCUGGAGGGAAUUUUGGGAAUUCAUCUUCUUAACUUCAUAAAUUUUUUCAAUCCCUCCACUUAUCAAGACAUGCUUAUCCCUAGUCGUCACAAUGACUGUGCUACCAGAUCCUAGCCAACCAUGUCCUACUCCAAUCAAGUUUUGCAGAAGUUCUGAAUUAUGUACAUCAUCUAUUACAAUGAAAGAUUUCAUGCGUUUGAGUCUUCUCAUGAUCAUUGAUGGUAUUAAUUUGGAAGUAUCAAUAUCAAGAUCUUCCCUGAGUAACUUGGAAAGAAGUUUGUUGCAUGUGUAAUUGAUCCCAUGUCUCUUUGAUACUUCUGUUACCUUUUCUAAGAAGCAACUGCCUUCAUAUUUAAAAGAGACCCUUUGAAACAUAGCAGCAGCAAGGGUUGUCUUACCUGUGCCUCCCAUACCCCAAAGUCCAAUGAUUUGAACUUCUGUUAGAUCAGAUUUUAUUAAAGAUUGAAUGCUCCAAUAGUUUUCAUCAAGUAUGAAAUUACAUGGAAGAUCAUUUGUAUACUGUUGAUUUAAUUUUCCUAAUACAGCUCUAGUAAUGGCUUCAAUCAUUUCAGAUUCAGUCCUAACAUGUGCAAAAAAAAAAAAAAAAAGUUAAUACAUAUCAUAUGAAUGCCAACCAAAGGUAAAAUCCAAUUCUUCAUCUGAAUCUUAGAAUUAAAAUAUUAGGAAAAACUAACAAAAUACUCAAACAUUCACACAAUUCAUUUUCAUUUAUAUGCAUUUACAGAACAUACAUGUAUUGAAUUGGGCUUGAUCCUUAAGUGUACUUAAAUUAACAUUUUUGUUGAUCAAAGAUAAUUUUCAACCAAAUAGUAUGUCAGGAAAGGCUGUUACCAGACCAAAAUUAUAAUCGACGUAAUUCUCAAUAUAAAAAUAUCAUCAACAUUAAUGAUUAAAAAUAUAAAGCACAUGGGAAUAAACAUGUAUUUACAAAUGAUUAUUUUACUUUAUUAGAUCCUACAUAGUCUCUUUAGUUUCUGUUGUGAAUCCGGUUGAAACUCACACCAAUGAAAUAAACAAUGAUGUGUGGAGCAAGUGAUAGUGGUAAUCAAUGAGAACAAAUGGUUUCCAAGCAAACAACAACAAAGCAGCCCUAGACUAGUGUAUAGCAAAACCACACUAAGAGAUAACAAAGCAUAAACAAGAUAAGCAAGAAAGGAAGAACAAAACACCGAGAAGAUUGUUGACCCAGUUCAGCCAAUAUGGCCUAAUCUGGGGGAGAGAGCAGCUCUCCAAUCCAAUAUGAGAAAGUGUUACAAAAGGUUACAAGAAACUCUAGCCUUCAAGCUUUACACAAGACAAACCCUAGAUUCUACCCUUUGGUGUUUCCCCACUCUCACAAGAUGAACCCUAAAAAAGAGAAGUCACUAGAGGAAGCUUUUGAUCCUUCCAACUAAUGAACUCCUCACUACCCAAGGUGAUUACAAUGUUUUUCCCAACCCAAGAGACACUCUCAACAAAGACACUCAACCCUUUGGUUCCCUCCUUUGCUAUCCAAGUUCUAUCUCUAAGCUCUUCCAAGCUCUCUCUCAAAAAAGCACAAGAACACAAUAUAUACUAGUCUUCCUCUGAAGAAAUUGUGCCACGAUUUCCCACAAUCGUGUCACGAUUUGCAUCUGACCCAAGGUUGACAAGUCCUUAUUAGUGAUACUUAACGAGCAAGUUUCUGAAUCGUGUCACGAUUUCCCAAGAUCGUGCCACGAUUUGGCGUCCUGCAAACUAGCUCACGGCACCUUGAAAUCGUGUCACGAUGCCAAAAUCGUGUCAUGAUUUCUCUGUUCUUCCAGACCACAAAUUUGAAGCCAAUAACAACAGUUUCUUUAGUUUGUUAGUCUCUUAGUCUUAACUUGUUGUUGUCGUCGUUGUCUAUUAUGAUCAUGUUGAGUUUAUUGUCUUUCUAGUUCCUACCCACCGUGUAUUUUUUCGUGUGAACUAAGUAGGUAUCAUAUACGCACAAUUGCAAAGAAUAAUCUUUCAAGUUGCAUAUGAUUAUAAUAGAUGGUAAAACUGUCCUUCAAAAAAUUUAUUUAAUGAUGUUGCAUUUCAUGAUUUAAGAUAUUCGGUGAUUCUUUCCUUUUCAUAUUAGUAACAUAUUUUACUAAAAAUACAAGGGAAUCUAGUUACCCAAGAGUAACAUAUUCUGUCCUUCAAAAUUGAUUUAAGUUGUUAUUUUCUAGUUUGCACUCAACUUGAAUAUGCUUCUAAACCUUAUGAUUUUUUAGCGAUUUAUUUUUUUUGCGUUUUCAUCAUAGUCAAUAGAUCAUAUAGCGUCAAUCUUCACUCAAUUGCGAUCAAUUAGCAAAUUUGAUAGGUUUUGAUGAUGAUGGAUAAUUGAAAGGUGGGGAUUCCGCAUUCAGAUGGAUGAGUGGGUUGAGAUUGGUGGUUCGGUUAGGUAAUCAGGGUUAUGUAAAACAAAAUGUUAAAUGAGCAAUAAUUCGGUAGUUAUCUAACGGAGGUAGAAAAUCGAAAUUUUUAAAAUGAACAUCCGAUAGUUAUCUACCGGAUGUACAAAAUAGAUUUUUUUUUUCUUUUUAAAAUGAACAUCCGGUAGUUAUCUACCGGCUGUACAAAAUGAUAUUUUUUUAUAUGAACAUCUGAUAGUUAUCUACUUGACGUGUUAUUAAGGACAAUUUCAUAAUUUUAAGAGGUCUAAAGAGAUAUGAGAGGGGGGGCCUAAAAAGAACCUUCCUUGUUAGUUUACCUAGAAGCAAUAUAAUUAAUGCAAAAUUACCAUAGGGUUCAUUCUCAAGACACCAAAAACACAUUACCUCGUGCAUUUUUAUACGUUAGAUUUUUUUUUUGUUAAACCUUUGUUUCUAAGGGAAGGUGCCUCUUUUUUUUUUUUUUUUUUUUAUAUUUUUUAUAAUUUCUUUUAACCCUAUUGUUGAAAUAAAUAAAUAAUUUUUCAUCUCCCUUUCUUUCUCUGGCCCUCCAUCAUAUACUUUCUUUCUUUCAUCUUUGUGUUCUCUUUACCUGCUUUGGUUGUUUUUUUUCCAUAUCAUUUUUUUUUUGUGCUUUAUAUAUAUAGGAAUAGUACUAUAUUAUUAGAGUUUUGCGUCGGGGGUUUACUAGUAUAAAUUCCAUACUGAAGUUUUAUUGCAUAAGAUUUUCUAUGAUAUAAUAGGAAUUUUUUUACUGAAAUAUUCUUAUUUCUUUCAUUGUAUUCUUAUGUGAUUAGGUGCUUUUAGAUGUGAACAAUGAAUUGUAACAAUUUCCUUUAAAAAAUAAAGAAUUGUAACAAUCUUUUAGAUAUUUAUUAAUUAAUUAUCGAUUUUAAUCACAGAACCAUGAUUUAGAGGUUUCUUCGGUUCGAUCUCCGAUCUGAUUUUUACAACAUUGAUAUUAAUUUGACGGGCAGACCGAUAAAAUUUAAUUUUAAUGUAUGCAAAAACAGAAAAACCUGUAUGUGGUGGAAUGAAAACCAGACAAAUUAGCUGCUUGAAAAAGAGCAUUCUUCCAAUUUUGCAUCAUCUUAUCAUCAUUUUUGCCUUGUUUCUUGUGUUUAAUCAACGCAGUGCCAUAACUACCAGUCUGCUUCCGCACGUGUGAAGGGUCAACAUGGUAGAACACUGGAAUAACAACAACCUUGUCAUCUUCAUUUUUGUUACAACACUCCAUUAUUUCAACAAGUUCGUUCAAACACCAUGUUGAAGAGGCAUAGUUUUCCGAGAACACCACAAGAAAUAUAGUGGAUUGUUUGAUUGCUUUCACUAGUUCUACCCAAACUUCAUCUCCUUUCUCGAUCCUGUAGUCUAUGUAGGUAUAAAUCUUGCUUCGGCACAAAUCAGCGUAAAGAUGGCUUGUGAAUCCAGCGCGAGUGUCAUCACCUCUAAAGCUGAUGAAAACAUCAUAUUUCUUCAUAGGCAUAGUAGCAGCAUGAGAAGAAGAAGAAGAAGAAGAAGAAGAAGAAGAAGAAGAAGAAGAAGCCAUAUAAUCUAUGAGUUAUUGUCCUUAGAAUGUGGGAAUACCCACAUGUAUAAAAGCACAUUUUCAUAAUGUGUGUGGACCCUUCUUUAAGCACUUUGCAGAAAAAUGGGAUGAUAAAGUGGAACACCAUGAGUGAUGCCUUUACUUUUUCUUUUGAUUUAUAGCAUAUGAUUUAUUCCUUUUUUUUUGGCAGUAUUUUUUUUAUAGUAAGGUUAGCAGUUACCGGAUGGAAUAUGGGAUUUCUUAGAAUUCCUUCUUUUUUUAGUGGUGGCCGGGGUUCGAAUUUCGGACCUUGCAUAUUUUAUGCAUUGUCCUUAUCAACUGAGCUAAGCUCACGAGGACUUAGAAUUCCUUCGAUGUUUCUUUAAAAGUAUUUAUUUUUGUUGAAUGAAAUUUUAUGUUUGUUUUGAUCCGAUAAAAGUGAAUAUCCAGUAAAAAUUGCAUUUAUCUAGUAUGUUUUACUGUUUUUAUGUUAUGUGAUCUAUUUGUUUCUUCUAUUUAUGUAGUGAUAAUUUUAAUUUUUUUUUUUUUUUUUUUGUGCUUUAGUUAGGAAAGAGGAAUGGGUUCUGAUGGAAUCAAAGCUAAUUUGAGAUUUUGACAUUUGAGGAUUAGAAUUUUAUUCUCUUAUAUUUAGGAAUCAAAGCCAAUUUGUCUUGAAGAAUUUUAUCUUGAAGAAUAAAUGUGUGAAAAAUUUGAGAAUUUUAUUCUUUUAUCGUGUGAAGAAUAAUUCUAAUAUGGAAUUGAAGAUAAUAUUUUGGCCAUCUCAACAAACAAGAACAUUAAUGUGAAAAAAUCCGAAUUUAAAAAAUAUGUAGGUUGUAGGAAUUACAUUUUAGUUCAUAAUCAAUCCAAAAAGAGACUCUGUAUCCGAUGUAAUCUAUCAAUUUGAAUGAAUGAAUAUCAUUUAUUUUUGUCAAAAAAAAGAACAUUAAUGUGAUUAAUAACGGCAGACCUUGGUAGAUGAUGGAUAUAGAACACGAGGAUAAUGAUAAUUUAUCUCAUGUGCAUAAAACACUAAGGGUGUGUUUGGAUUGAGGGUUUAGGAGGCGAAGGAGGGAGGAAUUUACAUUUUUUUUAAUUACGGACUAUAUAACAUGUUUUUCUAAAAUAAAUUAAGUGUGAUUGAAGUAUUAUACGAUCGUUUAUCAAGUUAAUAUGUUAAUUUUUUUAAAAACAUUUCAUAGUGUCCGUAUUUUAAAAAUGAAAAACCACCAAAUUAAGUGGUCGAGUUUAUUAUGACGUUGGUAGUCUGUUACGGCUAACCUUAAUGGUUUUGGGUCUUUUAGCAACACUUAUGAAGUGUUACAAAUUUAUUUCUUGCCUGUGAUUCAUCGAAGAGGCAUUCCACAAAGUUCAUUUAAUUAUCUUACCAUCAUUUAAUCUCUUCAUGAAUUACAUGUUCCCCGCAGAUUCAUUGUCUUUUACCCCAUUUCUCUUAAUAUAUUAUCUAUUUAGUGAGAAAUAAAAAAAAAAUUGUGAUACUACUCCUAAUUAAAAGUUAAUAUACUAAUUUGUUUAAUGAAAUAGACGAAUAACCAUGUUAUCAUGGAACAUGUUCCUUCCUUAAAAAUAAAACCUUGUUAUGAUGGUGUUGCAAGAAUUUUCUCUACUUUUGGCACAUCCGUUAUAUAGAUUCGAAGAUAACCCGUAAUCAAUAUAUAGGAGGCAAUGCUAGAACAUCAAUCAUUCAUACCAUGAGCCCUACAUGCAUGGAGUUAUGUUGAACAAACCAAAAACACCCUCCCAUUUGAAAGGUGUGCUAAAGAAGUGGCAACUAGUUCUAGAACGGUUGUAUUUGACUUUAAUGAUUAUUUAAUCAGUGAUACAAGAUAGACCUAAAUGAGAAAAGCACUAUUCACAGUUUCUUAAAUUUGUCUAUUUAAACCCAUGUUUAAUCGUCGACAAUUAAGUACCUUCAAAAUAUGUUUUAGGUGAAUAGUUUUUACAAUCAUGCCUAAUCAGUUUUGAUAAGAAAGGCUCAUUAUAAUUAUAAAAAUAAAAAAAAAAAUUAAAUAGCUUGGAUAUAACAGCGAAAUUGCUAGGAAUUUUAGCUAGAGUUUUACUGCAAAAUUGUUGUGACGAUAUAUCCUAGCGAUAUAGUUACGACACAUAAACUUUUGAACAAUAUUUUACUAUAAUUUAAUUGGUAAUUAGCUACAAUUUUUUCAUAUAUUAUUUUCAUUUUAGCUAGUAAAUAUUUUGCCAGAUCAUUUUCCGUUCAAUGCAUGCUAUGACAGCUAAUUCAUAAUUAUUCUCUAGCUAAAUGUAUUUGCGCUAGAGAUUAGCUACAAAUUUGCUUAGAUUUCAAUCUUGCAGCUAAUGGCAGAUUUUCUUGUAGUGCACGCAUAAUGAUUUUGAUUUAUUAUAUUGCCUAACUAUAAUUUAUCAUGUCAUUUUUUGUGCCGAUCAAGAUUCACUUCAAUCAAUAUUUUACCACAUUCACACAUUCGAAAUAUCUACAGUAGUUGGAUCAAGAUCAAAAGAUCAUGAUCUAACGACCGCUGAUAUGCCAAAGAUGAAUGUAGAAAAAAUAUUAAAUACUGAGGCUGAAUUAAAAUAUUAGGAAGAACAAGAACAAGACAAAUACAAUCUAUGUAUAGUAUACCAUAUAUUUUGCAAAUUAAACAGUGAGAUUUGUGGUCACAACUACAAACUAAAUAGGAAAUAAUUUGAAAUGAACCUAAAAAUAAGUGGUUUCCCUAGAGAAAGUCGAAGAUUUAAAAUCAAGGCCGCAAAGGAAACCUGUAAUUUCAAACCAUGAAGGCACUAAAUGUAGGUGGCAAUGACACGAAAUCUAACCAUUUUGAAGUUCUAACUCCCUUCUUAGUAGUGGCGGAGCCUUUCAUGGGCUGGGGUGGGCCACGGCCCACCCGAAAAAAUUAAAAAAUCAACAAUUAUAGGUCUAUUUUGUGAGAUUUUAUGCAAUUUUGUGUCGAUUUUAUGUUUUGGUUGAUCCAAAUUCUUGCAAAGUGGUGUAGUGGCCCACCCGAAAAUUUAAAUAAUUCAAUUAUAGUUUUAUUUUGCGAGAAUUUAUACAAUUUUAUGUCGAUUUUAGGUUUCGGAUGAUCCAAAUUCCCGCAAAUUGGUGUAGUGGCCCACCCGAAAAAUUUAAAUAAUUCAAUUAAAGGUCUAAUUUGCGAGACUUUAAACAAUUUUUCAAUAGUUACUUUUAGUGGCCCACCCUGACAUUUUUUUUCUGGCUCCGCCACUGCUUCUUAGCCAUUAUUUCAUUAGUUAAAUUUACUUUGAAAUCCAGAAGUCCUAGCUCAACUGGCAAAAUGCCGAAAUUGUUAGGCCGGAUGUCAUGACCGGGGUUCGAACCCCGGUACCUCCACUUGUGUGUGUGAGUUUAUAAUGGCUUUGCCAUUUCGUCUAUCUACCAAAAAAAAAAAUUACUUUGAAAAUUGAGAUUCACUUUGUAGCCAUGAAACGGUUUUAUAACAGAGUGAAUUUGAGAUUCACUUUGAUAUAUAUAUAUAUAUAUAUAUAUAUAUAUAUAUAUAUAUAUAUAUGUAGUUUCUUUGGAAACAAAUAGGUCAUGGAAGGAAAUGGGAGAUGCAGAGAAGAGCCGGUCGAUAGAAAAAGACUAUUGUUUUUUGGUAUUGUCGAUCUUACUAACAUCUUGUUUUAAUUUUUUUUUACUCUUUCAAUUAUUUAAAUAUUUAGUAUGUAUAUUUUUAUCAUUGAAUUAGAUUUUAUCCUUUAUUUAGUAGAAAAUUAAUUUCAGUAUAAAUAUCAUAAAUUAAUUUUUAUUCGAAUUUGUAGUGGUAAAUAAAAAUAAACGAAUUAAAUUUAAUAAAUAGUAUUAGGUUCUAGUGAAAAACACAAAACUGUUGGUAAAAGGCAUGUUUUUUUUGCUACUUUUAUUCAUGACGUUUACGCACCGGAUAAACCGUAGGUAGAACUUAAAACUUUUGGUGACAGUCACUUGAACUUUUCCUCUCAGACACAACCCUUGAAAUUGGGCGUACGUAAUUGACGCCUUUUUCUAGUAUUGAAGGACUUCUAUGGACAAAUAUUAUCUUUCUGUUGAUGUCAAAUUUCUUGAAGUGAUAUGUUGGGGGUAUAAGUGUGAAUAGUUUGUUGGAACAAAAUGUGUUUCACAAUGAACCUUAAUGAGUUUUGAUGAUAACAUGGUAUUAAAAAUUGUCAAUUGGUUAUUACUAAUUAUUGUUCAAGUGUACAGGACCAAAGGCUAGUCAAGUAAUUUCAACAGGUCUUGGAAGAACAAUGAAAAGCAAAAGAAUUCCAAGCAUCUGAAGAAAACUGCUCCUGAAGUUGAAGUGCUUCUGAAGUGAUGACGUCAUCAGAAGCAAGGUUUUCAUCAGAAGCUAUAUCUUCACCAGAAGCUACAUUUGAUCCUUUAAUCAAUCUGAAGAUUCAAAGUAGCUGGUUCUCAAUUCAAUCUUAUCUAAGAAGAACGAAGAAUUGAAAGGGAUGUACCAACGGUCAUAUGGAUAGCACUGAGCAUUUGUCCCUCGUUAACAGAGUUGACAAAGUACAAGUGUACAACCACUACCUCCACUACUCUGUUUUUGUCCACGCUACAAGACAAGACAACAGCUAUGCCUGCAUAAUUUGUGUCCUCAAGAUGGGAAUGAAUUUGAAGCUUAUUCUUCAAAGGAGUACACUCAAAUCAGGCAAAGGAUUACUGGUGGAUGAUCAAAGGAUUUCAAACGACUCUUUAGACGUUCUGAUUAUCUCAACGUCUCUUUCACGCCUCUAUAUAAAGGAGUGAAGACUUGAAGAUUAAAGAUAGAGAUAUACAAGUUCAAAAGCGCCAAAACUCUGUCAAAUUGAUUCUACAAAGCACACUGAAUUUCUGCACUGAUUUGAUACAUCUUAGAAAUUCAAAGUCUAGAGUCUUUAUUGUAUUGUAUUGAGAACACCACUGAUUGUAUAUCAAGUGUUCAAGUCAAACUCAAUUCUCUGUAUUUUUGUUUGAUCAGAAGUCUCUUGCCUGCGUGCUUGAGCAUUAGAAGUCUCUUGCUUAGUGCUUGAGCAUUGGAAGACUCUUGCGUGUGUGCUUGAGCAUUUUUGUGAAGUCUCAUACUUAGAAAGUAUUGAGCAUUUGUAAUCUUUGUGAUUAUAGUGAAAUCUCCUUGGAAGUGCAAGGGGGACUGGACUACUUCCGUGUUGUGGAAGGAACCAGGAUAACUGCUUGUGUCUUUGUCUUUCUUUUCUCUGCUCUGCUCUGUUCUUUUCCGCUGCAUAUCUAAUUCUGAUCAUUUCAUCAGAAGCACUCACAAACUGCUUCUGAAGGUUUAUCAGAAGAAGAUUUUUAGAGAGAAAAAGAAAACACAAUUCAACCCCCCCUUCUUGUGUUUUUCUCACCUUCAUAGUUUAGUCUCACAUCGACUAUAAAUUAAUUAAAUGUAGGAUAUAUAACUUAUAAGAGUGGCGACUCAUGCCUAAUGUCUUAAGGUUUUGGGGUGGAGAAGUUGUGUCCAAUCUCUUGAUGGUCCUGAUCAUUUACCAAUUGUUUCUCUUAGCGCUCUCCCGGACUCUGCAACAAUAUCUUGAAAAACCAAAUGGUUAUAAAAUCGUUAACUUGCAUUGCUUUUUCAGCACUGUCUUGUUUUUGCCAUGCCAUAUUGCAAAUUUACACUACUAGAUUUGCACAAACCUUGGUGUUAUUAAUUAACUUUUUCCAAACAUAAACUCUUGUAUUUCAUAUCACAUGUCUAACACAUACAAGAGGUACACACAUCAUGAGUAUUUCUUAUUGAUGUAAAGUAAACCAUAAAUACCAACAAACAAACAAACAAACAAACAAACAUAACAACAUGACCAUGAUGAGGUAAUUUGACUACUUCACACAUUUUAUUUAAAGCAACAGAACAAACAAUGAAACUCAUUAAAUGGAGAUACUAUUAGGAAUGCCUCUGCCAGUCAAUCCUUCCUCACUAGAAGGAUAAAGCAGAGUGUAUGGCAUCUUCACAGGCCCGUAUCGGUUUCUCAAUGACUCAUCAUUGUUCCUUUUGAUGAGCUUUGCCUCAAUUUCAGCCAACUUCCUUCCAAACCUCUUGAAAGCUUCUAAUGGCUGUGAAUCAAAAGUCCAAGCCUCACCUUCAUUUCUCUGUCCAAGGUAUUGCUCAUCAGAAGCAUGCCUUGACAAGACCUCUAUGAUUGUAAGGUCAGUUAGGGUAUCAUUUUUUGGUGUGAUUGUCCUCAGAUACGCCUUCUGAAAGUUCUUAGAAAGCUCGUCAUACUCAGCAGACCCUUUCUUAGGCAUGUGUCUCCGGCUCUUAGUUGGUCGGUUAAGUAUAUAUCCUCCAUAUGGGUAUUGACCAAAAUUAACAGCUGCAUGAUGUGCUGAAGCAAUCCAUAUGAGGAUAGUGCAAGCUUCAAUCAACUCUGUACAAGUUUGCAUCUUAAACCACCAUGUAGCAUUCUUCAAAUCACCAUGACCCACCUCUACAACUUCUCUCCAAAAUGCUUGCAGUUCAGAAUCUUGCGCAACAGCAACAUCUGACUUGUAGUAGAAAUUCACAUAUUCUUCAACCCAUGACUUGAUAGCAUCCCAUAUCUCUAGUCCAUCAGCAGCAUAAGGGUAGUCCUCUAUCAGAAGGCGAAUUCCAUGUGGGGAAGUUGGAUCCUCAACAGCCACUCCUCUAGAUAUAGCAUGCAAGGAAGAUAUCAUUAACAUAAAAAAUACUUUUGACAUCAAUAUCUUUUUUACCAAGAUUAUUAAAUUUCUAUUGUAGUCACAAUCCUAGCCAUUAUAGAGAAUUGCGGUAAAAUAUAGUUGAUGCCUUAUCUUAGAUCAUGGUUACUAGCAUUAUUUCAAUCCUUUUUUAACUAAUGAAUGAGUAGUAACUAAUUUUUUUUUGAAGGUUACCUUUUAAGUAGAUCAUUAGGUAGUCCUUGAUCUGGGAAAACCCAAUCCUUAUAUAAUACAGAAGACAGUUCUAUAGAAUGACUUCCCAAUAAGAAUGUUGAUUCUAUAAUACCCUCUGCAUUUACCAAGACACUCCUUGCAAGUGCAUUAAUGUUCAUUGUGUCACGAUAAUGUGGAAGCAGAAGUUUGUGAAUAGGGUGAACCACACUAAGAUGCCUAUUAGUUGCUAUGAUGAAUGGCUCAACAACAGCGUGCGUGUUCAACCUGUUACACAUGUAGAUAUUCAUGAAUCAAUCUUAGAUAUAUAAAAUUAAAUAUGUUUGAUUCUAUAAAAAUUCAUCAACAUAAUUGUACCAGUGGCUGACAAGUUGGUGAACAGAAGAGUCAUUUACAAUAACAUAAGCCUUGGCAAGGAGCCAAAUAGAAGAUUCAACACCUUCCUUUGCAGGCAAGUAAACAUCACUAACAGGACCAAAGCUAUCAGCCUGAGGAUGUGGGCUACUUAGCUCAAUGGCUAAUGGCUUCAAAGUUCCAUCAUUUUGUAAGAAAAUGAUAGUUCUAGUAGCAUAUGCCUUUGUUGUAUCAGCUGCAUUUAUUUUCCUCAGAUAUGGAUAUAUUGAGUCAUGGUGAUCAAGUAUGUAAAGCCUGUUGUUUUGGAUAGCCUAUUGAACAAAAUAUAAUUUAGUCAUUGCAAUUAUUUGAAUAAUAAAUAACCACAAAAUAACAUUGUCAAAGUUAAAUUAUAUGCAUAGUAUUAAUGUUAAACUAUGUCAUUACUUCUUCUACAGUGACCCCAUCCAUGUUUAGCUCUAACUGUUCUUCGGUUAUUGUGCUCGUAUUAUCACCAUAAUCGGUAUUUAGCUUGCUCUUUGGUGGGAACUCCUACAUUAUAUAUAACAAGUAAUACUGAAAUUAAGAUUGAAAAUAUAGUAUGUAAAGUGGACAAAAUAGAGUUUAAUUUUGUGUUUGUAAAGAAAUCGUUAAACUAUUAAGUUUACCUGAAUUCUUUUUAUAAUGUGUGGAUUCACACCAGCAAUCAUCUCCCUUGCAAAUUCUUCAUCAGUCAUCCACGCAGACUGAUUAACUGCUCAAAAUAAGAGCAUUGCAAAUGAUCUGUAAUAUUUUUAUUUAUUCUAUGAAAAUAUAUUGCUAGGACUAACUAAUAGAUACCUUGAAUCACUUUAGGCGGUGGAAACUUUAGGGCCGAUUCACCAUCAGUUCGGAAGAGUUCCUUGAAAAAUGGUAUGGGGCUAAGUUUGCUAAGUAUACUAGUAGGUAAUUUAAUCCCACCAUCAUAAAAUGAUCGCACAUCAUCAAAGCUAUUAAAUUCUGGCUUAUUGAGUUGUAAUGUAAUUGCAGAUUGUAAUUGAGGUAUGAAACUUUGAGAAGCUGAUUUGAGUAUGUAAACAAGAAAAUCUGAAGACUUCAAGUGACCAAAUGCUUCAUCUCUUGGAACGUAAACAAAGUCGUCCCGUCUCUCACUUUUAGGAUCUGUUCACAUACAAAAUUGAAGACACGCAUUAGCAAGUACUAGCAAAAAGAUCGAUAACUUUAAAGUCAUAAUAGAGAAAAUGUUUUGAUCACAGCACCAUUAAUUUAAUAUGGAACUUUAAAAUUAUAACCUUUUUUAGCUGGUUUCCUGCCGGUUCUGCCCCUUCGAGGGUAAGGCAAGGUGUCGGAUCCUCCAAUAACGGGACGAGCCAAGUGUGCGUACUUGUCAGGAUCACCCAAGUCAUUGUAAACAUCGUAGUCAUAGAUUCUAUCGUGUUCCUUGCGCUGACCCGUUCCAUCUCCUCUUAAAGUCUUCAAUUCUUCUUCUCUAUAGUAGACUAAUGGAGCUGGUGUUUCACUUGGAAGGUAUGUCUAUAUUUUUAUUUAUUUGAUGGUGUAAGAUUUCAGGAAAUAUAGUUCAUAUUUAAAGGUCUUGCUAACAAGUGCCCUAAUGUUAAGAUUAAAAUAUUGAAACCAGUUGAUAGCUUUCAUGUAGAAAAAAUUGUUUUUUGAUGUUCCAAUGUGUUAACAUUUCACUAUAUUUAACAUGCACGAUAAAUAUGGUAUAUUCAUUACCUUGUUGGCGAAGAAGAUGCGUUUCGUUUUAUACUUGUCAGCACUGUAAAUCCAUGAGUUGCAUACAAAGUUGAUGGUUCCAUGGUUUGGAAUAUCUUCAAGUGUCAAACUUACAAGGAAGAAUUCUCGUGUCAUGUUACUCUCAAUAUAAAAUGCUCCUGGAACUCCCAUGUCACUAUUCCAUUCAAAAUGAAUAUCAUAUGCAGACUGUCCUGCUCCCAAAAUUGGCAUGGAAGUAACAAAACCUUCAAUAAAUGUUUUCUCUCCGACUUUCCCUUUUCCGCUUCCUACAAAUAUGUUACAAGUUUGAUUUACAAUUUCAGCAAUGAUAAUACUCCCUCCGUCUCACAUCAGGUGUCACAUUUGAGUUUUACACAAUUAUUAAAAAAAUGAUUAAUAAUUUUGAUUUUAAUGAUAAAUAUGUAUCAUUUACUAACAUACUUUUAUUAAUUAUAAUUAGUGGAAUAUUUUUAAAUGAUUCAAAUACAAUAGAUACAGAUAUGUUAAAAGAAAAUAAUAAUAAAUAUUGUAUUAUUAGUGUUAUAAAAGGGACAAAUAAAUUAAGAAAAAAAACAUAUAAUUUAAGACGGAGGGGAAAAAACAUCUAAUUUGAAACGGGGGAGUAACAUUCAAGAUUAAUUUAUGUCAAAGUAACAAAUUACUCUUUUUGUGCCAAAAAAAUAUUAAUUCUUUCCACCUGAAUAAAGUGUUUUAUAUAGGAGUUGAUAGUUGAUUAUAUCUUUCAUGCUAUAAAUAAGUUUUUGGUCCCUUUAAAUAUCUCAAAUUUCAGUUUUUAUAGUUCAAAAUAUUUUCAGCAAAAUUUGGGUUUGCUAAAAAUAACUUAGAAGGAAAAACUUGCCAAAUUGUUUUAGAGAGACUAUAUAUAAAAUUUUAGAUAUUUAUACAGUAUCCCUAAAAAAAAAAAGAAAUUUAUACGGUAGAAUUAUUUUUUUUAACCCAUUUUGUAAUGAUAAAACAAAAGGGAAACUGAAUUGAAUCUUAUGGACUAAGGGUCAAAUAAUAGAGGAAAAAAAAAAUCAAAUUAUUGAUAAGUAUUAAUAAAAAAAUUAAACCUCACAAAGAUUAAUUUAAUGUAUCAAACUAAUAACUGAAGACUAACAUAUCAUAUGAUUUUCUAUGUAAAAUGUUACCAGAUCGAAAAUCAUAUGAUAUGUUAAUGAGGUAAAUCAAGACUAACUUCUGAUGUGUGUGUAUAAACUUCAAUUCAUUUGUAAACUUUAUUAAUGUUUACUCGUUAAAGCGUUAUUGAGCAGCGCAACACUGUCCAAAUACUAUAUGUGUUCAGUGUUGUAAAUUUAUGACGAGCAUUAUGUAGUCUUAGAAUGAGAAAUGAAUAAGUUUAUUACCAUCGGCAGUGGUAGCACUGAUCAACCUGAGAGCCACAGAACGGCCGACAAAGGCCCCGGCGGUGUCAAUUAGAGUGCCGGCGACACCACCAACAGCCUUGAUUCCAGUUUUGACCAAAUUAGUGGUGUUUUUAGUUGCACCAUUGAUGGCAUUGAUGUCGAAAACAUUUGUUUGCAUCAACACAACUGUGCCCUUCACCUUUUGGCCUCUCUUAAGCAUACUUUUGAACCCUGAAUACAUCUUAAUUUGCUGCUUAAAUUUUUUUUUUUGCAAAUUAAUGAGAGAAAAGUUUGUGGCUGGCAAGAUGCAACCAUCUCAUUAUUUAUAGGGCCAAAAUUAAGCUUCUGAUUAAGAACAAAUAAUUUUUUUUUAAUUGAUUAAUUGAUCAUUGACAUCGUGCAAAAACUAUUAGUAAUAGGCUAAUCGUGGAAUAUAAAAUAAUGAUGUAUUUUAUUAUAGAAAGAAGAUAACAAUAUGUGUUACACAAUCAUAUUAUGACAAAUGGAUUUUUGAACUAUAGUUAAUUAGAUUCUAACGCGUACACCAAUAGUAAUAGGCUAAUCGUGCAAAAAUUAUUUCCUGAUACGAGGUCGUCUUUCUUUCCAUUGUUAAUAAUAUCCCUUCUCACAACUCACAUUCACAUACCGUAACCAUGGUUCAAUUUAAUAAUAUUAAUAAUAAGAGGAUGUACAAGAGUUAAUUAAACUAUGCAAGUGCAACUCCUAUAUGAUUUUAAGAUGAACAUAACUCAACUCUUACAAAUAUGAUUUGUAAGGUGAGGGGUUUCCCACUUAUAAUAAACUCAUUUUAUCUUCAUUUAAUAUAGAACUUUUACACUGCUCAUAUAUGUUUAAGAAUGGACGACAGGAGUGUGACUCGAGUUGUAUGAAAAUAGAUGAUCAAAUAGAUUUUAUUACGACUAUAAUACAUAAUGAAGGUUGUCCCCGUGAGCAUACUCAGUUGAUAGGGACAUACAUAAUUAUAUGCAGGGGUUGGGGUUUGAACCCAGACACCCCACUCAUUCACCUUGAAAAAGGUGAAUUCUAGCCACUAGAUUAAAAAAAAAAAAAUUAAGAAUUCAUUUUCAGGUAUAGUUUUAUCAUCAAGUGUGAAACUAUUAAUAUAUGCAAUGUUAAAAUAUAAAAUAAAUUUGUUUUUAUUUUUUAUCGCAAGAUUUAUCAUUAAACUUUAUUUAGUUGUUUUGACUCAUUCCUUUUUCUAUAUUUUAGCUGUUUUAGUUGAAUGUAGUUCCGUUAGAACUAAAAUUUAAGUUUUUUUUUUUUUUUUUUUUUGGAAAGUUCCAUGAAAAAGAAAUUAGUUUUUUUUUUUUCUUUUUUUCUAGUACUGCAAACUUUAAAAAUAUAAUUUUUCUGAAUGCUUUUGUAUGAAUGAAUUUUGAGGAGUGUUAGAAACACUCUCUUUUUAACACCUACAUUGAUAUUUAAUUUACUCUUUUAUUGAAUGAAUUCAUUGAUAUUUACUAUUUUAUUGAAUAAAUUAAAUGUGUAUUAUACAUUUUAAAAUGAGUUUCACAUAAAAUGGUGGAUUCCAUAGAUUUCGUCAAAUAAAAUAGUGGAUGUUAGAAAGAAUGUUCAACUCUAUGGUCUAUUCACUAAUAUUUUCACACCCCACAAAAUAUUUCUAAUACAAAAUAUUUUGUCAAGAUUGAAUAAACUUUCAAAAAAACUUGAGCUAAAUUUUCCAGAAGAAAAAACUGUUGAUUGGAAUACACGGGGAAUUUUUUUUUGGAAUUUUAGUCACGCUUCAAAUGUGGUUAAACUGCCGAAUUUGUAAAACGUAAUACUUGGAAAAAGAUUUCCAAAAUUUUAUCCAUAGUUGCUAAAAAUCCUGAGGAAAAUUCAAUGAAUCUGCCGUUUAGUAUCAUUUCAAGAAACUUUUAAUCAAUUGUAAAAAACUUUUACUUACCAGAAAUAUUUUGUCCGAGUUAAAGUCAAAUGACAAAAAGAUAAAAUUAACAAUAGAAUUUUUUAUAGUUUGUAGGGAGGAGAUGUAUGAAUGCAGGGGUAAAGAUUAAAGUGAAUUUUUAUUUAAACUAUAGAGCAAAAGCAAAAGCCCGCGACAUGUGCAAUGAGGCUAAGGCUUUGUAGAGCAAGAGUGAUUUUUUAUUUUUUCACAAGAGUUGUUAGGGCAAUGAGGACUACCCUACUCUUCCUACCCCACAAAGUAUAUAACAUGUCUAAUUUAUUUCCAACGACUUUAAAUUAUUGAGGAAUAGGAGUUUAGUCCUUUCAUCAUUUCAGUUUUUGGGAUCGAAAAAUUGAAAAAGUCAAAAUUUGAAUUUUUUUUUUAAUGUACUAGUUUUUCUAGUCCAUACGAAGAGAUACAUAUCAUGUGAAAUUCACACAUAAGACUGUAAGAUUAUAAGUUUGAAGCGGACAAAGAUGUUCAAACUAAAAAUAUUGAUAUUAGUCAUUGAAAUAGACCAUGCAGACAAGAAAAUAUUAGUUUUUGAAAGAAAGAAAAAACAAUGUUACGAGGAACUCAAAUUUUGAGUUUUUGAUAAAUUAAAAAAUUUGAAAAAAUGGGAGUAUUUGUUAACAUUUCCCUAUAAAUGAAAACGAUAAAACCAAACAUUUUAAAAGAAUAUAGUAGUAUGAUUUUGAGGGGUAGGUAGAAUAAUUCUUCUGGAGCGAUAAUGCUAUGAGAAGAGCAACCAAUUGCAUAUACUUGGAUAUGGUUUGGAAGGAGCACAUUUUCCAACUCAUUAAUUAUUUUAGAGAGUGACUAAUUUUUUUUUUUGUUAGACAUGGUUACACGUAAGUACAAGUUUAGUUAGGGGUGCCCUACUUUCGUGUGGUGAAUUCGAUGAUUUUUGACUUUGGAUCGCGUGUUCAAUUUCAUCAUUCUUGGAGAGAAUGAGACUUUUUAUCUUGCACAACUCUCGAGUCUCCUUCUAAUUAACUUUAUAAACUUAUUUUUGAUCAUAUCUUUGGGGCUUGCAUACUUAGAAGUGUUUGUUUUGAUUUGUAGUUUUUCUUUGGGCUUCGACCAUCUUUUGUACCAAAACAAGAGAUUACUUUUUGCGUCCAAUGAGUUUCUCACGCACCAUAUUUUUUUUUUAAUACCCUUUAGAUUCUAUAAUUCAAACAGCACUUCAGCUUAUAUAAUCUGAAAACUUGUAUUUCCAAUAUUUACUUAACAUCGCUGAUUUACAAAACAUCAUUGACAUAUACUAUUAAGAAAACAUAAUUGAAAAUGACCAAAAAUUGAAACAAAAAUGUAGAGACAUAAAAACGAAUUCAAAUUCUCAUUAUAUUAAUAGAUCAUAUCUUGAAAGUACAUUUACAUUAACAUCAAAGCAUAUUACGCAAAAUUAUUAAACAUCUAAUAUUAAACAUAUGGUGCAAGAAGAUCAUGUAGGGGUAAAAAGAAUAUGAUGGAGGGGGAAGGAGGUUGGAGUAAGGUUUUUUUUUUUUUUUUUUAGGAUGAAGGAUACUUUGAUGGUCAACCUUACACCUAAACAUAUCAAAUUUACAUCCAAACAUAUGGUACAAAUUUGCAUAGUGGCACCAUCUUCGUUGAUCGCUCAUACGAUCGCUAAAAUAAAAGAGUAACCUUUUUGUAUAAAAGGUCAACGAUGGAAGCAUAUUAAUUGUGGAAGAAAACAGAAGGAGAAAAUGUGAAGAAUGAGAAUUUGUGAAGGAUUGGUGGGUAUUUACAGGAGGAACUUGUGAAGGAUGAUGCAUAGAGUGUAUAAGACCAUUGAUUACGGUCAAAAAACGUGGUAAACCUGGUUCGACCGGUCAAUGAAACUGAUAUGACCAAAGAAAAACUUGUUCAAUGAGUUAGUCUUGCUGAGCUGAUUCGAACUCUGAACUAGUUCAUAUUAGGUAAUUUGAACUCAUCCCAGGAAUGUUAUUAUAUAAUCCGAACUAAUUUAAGAUUGUGUUAAAAUUCAUACCUUAUAGGGUGAGGGAGAGUUUAAAUUAUAAAUUAUAUAAUUCAAACCAGUUCAAUACAUGUUCUUUUUGUGAUCUACAUUGCACCAACAGUUUCCUUUUAUGUUUUUUUUCUUUUUCUGUGUUCUGGUGUUGUGCCUUAUUGGCCUUUUUUUCCAAAACUGUGACACCAAUUUUUUAGGGCGAGAAUAGAAUUUGAUUGAUUCUCUUCAUUAAAUUCAAUGGAUUUCAUAAAUUUCUAAUUUUAAGGUCACACGGCUAAUACAUAUAUAACACAAAGUGUCGUCAGAGUCUUUUGGCAUUGGUGUCAUACUAAUCUUGUUUGAAUUCUCUACUCCGAUUAUUUUCUAUUACUUUGAGAAUUCAUGAAGUCAUUCAUAGACCUAUUUAACACAUAAUUGAUGCCUGUGUUUUAUAUUUACACUUUAUUAAAACUGUUGUAAAAGAAAAAAAAAACAGACAUAAUCAUAUUUUCGUUUUAUAGUUACGGUUUGCAAGCAUGAAUUCUCACCUCCGUUGAUCUCUUUAAAUUAAUUCGAAGCUUCAAUUCAAAGUGGGUAGAAGAAAUUGUAAACAGAGCAAGAGGUUUAGCUUGGAAUUCAGAAAAAAGUCUUGAAGCUUCACCCUUUCAUCAAUUCUUGAUUUUUUCUUCAAUUUGAUUAAGGGGGAUUACCACUAAAUGACUGUUUUAUCUUUAUCUAUUUUAUGAGCAUGUUGUUGCUUUAUGAAAUUUUUAGAGAUUCUUAGUUUAUGCAAUCUAUUUUAUGUGUUUCUGUCAAUCGCACUUUUGCUGCUGCGUAUUUAUCUGGUUUUGUGUUUGUGUCAGUUUCUGCAUAAUAUCUGCAUUCGUUUAGGUUUCCUUGUAGUUUCUUGUUUAAUGCAAUUACUACAUAAUUGCAUUUCUAUUUUUCAUGUUUCAUUAGUUAAUGUUAUUGCUCUUUUUAGAUUUUAUUUCUGCAUAAUACAUUCUUUAAUGAUUUCUACUUGGCUACUGGUUAGAACUAACAAUUAAAAAUAAAAGAUCUUAAAUAAGGGCAGGUCUUUAAAAAAUACCAUUAUAAUUUUCAACGUAACAUGCUUCUCUAUUUUACAUCUCUUUGUUAUAUAUAUUCAAAUUGGUGAGGUAUUUGAGAUUCUAGAGGGUGAUAAAUGCCUUCCUGAAGAACAAUUGCAAAGCUUAUAAAUGCCUUCCUGAAGAACAAUUACAUCUCCAAAUGUGGUCUUCCUGGAAACUCAGGUGGCAGACAAAUUAAAUCUUGUUCUGGUUUUGCUUGCAUGCAAUGUAAAUUUGAAUCCCUCUAAUAUCUCUUUUGUUUAGAACCUUCUCCUUAUGUCUAUGGUUUUUUUUUUUUUUUAAAUUUAUAAAGAUGAGCAUAUUUCUUAUUCAAAUUUACUAAUUUAGAGAAGGGUUCAUUGGAUUUGAAACUUGUUAUCAUACUUAUGCAUAUGUCAUCUUCAUUUAUUUGUGUGGAUUUACAGGGUUGUAUAUGGAUUUGUUAUGUUUGCAACUUAUUUUCUUUUAUUUUCAAUAGGCUACAUAUGCUUCUUGUACAGUUUCUUUGGAAACAAAUAGGUGAUGGAAAGAAAUGGGAGCUGCAGAGAAGAACCGAUCGAUGGCGGAAUUUUCAUGGAAAUAUAUGUGCUCUACCUAAUGGUCAGUGUAACAACUUGAAGGCACCAUGAUUUCUAGUCAUAGUUUAAAAUUGUUUGAUGUAAAAGGUCGAAACUAAAGCAUUAAGGUAAAAUAUAAUUCACUUUAACUGUUAUUACUUUUUGGGUAUUAACAGCAUUGCAACUGUUAUAUAAUCUUAGGAAAUCAAUAUUGUACAUUACUUUUUCAGCACUAUCAUCUUUUUAUCAUGCCAUAUCGCACUACUAGGUUUGCACAAACCUUGGGGUCAUUAAUUCAUUUUUUCCAAACUUAAACUAAUGCAUUUCAUUAUCAUAUCACAUGUAUUACACAUACAAGAGGUAAACACAUCUUAAGAACUUCUUAUUGAUGUAUAGUAAAACAUAAAAGCAAGCAAACAAACAAACAUACAUAAUAACAAGACCAUGACGAUGAGGGAAUUUGACAACUUCACACAUUUUAUUCAGAGCAAAGCAACAUACCAUCAAAUUCUUUAGAUGGAGAUACUAUUAGGAAUGCCUCUGCAAGUCAAUCCUUUCUCACUAGAAGGAUAAAGCAGAGUGUAUGGCAUAUUCACAGGCCCGUAUCGGUUUCUCAAUGACUCAUCAUUGUUCCUUUCAAUGAGCUUUACCUCAAUUUCAGCCAACUUCCUUCCAAACCUCUUGAAAGCUUCUAAUGGCUGUGAAUCUGAAGUCCAAACCUCGCCUUCAUUUCUCUGUCCAAGGUAUUGCUCAUCAGAAGCAUGCCUUGAUAAGACCUCUAAGAUCGUAAGGUCAGUGAGGGUAUCAUUUUUUGGUGUGAUUGUCCUUAGAUACACCUUUUGAAAGUUCUUAGAAAGCUCGGCAUACUCAGCAGACCCUUUCUCAGGCAUGUGUCUCCGGCUUUUAGUUGGUCGGUUAAGUAUAUAUCCUCCAUAUGGAUAUUGACCAAAAUUAACAGCUGCAUGAUGUGCUGAAGCAAUCCAUAUGAGGAUAGUGCAAGCUUCAAUCAACUCUGUACAAGUUUGCAUCUUAAACCACCAUGUAGCAUUCUUCAAAUCACCAUGACCCACCUCUACAACUUCUCUCCAAAAUGCUUGCAGUUCAGAAUCUUGCGCAACAGCAGCAUCUGACGUGUAGUAGAAACUCACAUAUUCUUCAACCCAUGACUUGAUAGCAUCCCAUAUCUCUAGUCCAUCAGCAGCAUAAGGGUAGUCCUCUAUCAGAAGGCGAAUUCCAUGUGGGGAAGUUGGAUCCUCAACAGCCACUCCUCUAGAUAACAAGCAAGGAAGAUAUCAUUAAUAUAAAAAAUUAAAAAGCUUGAGAUCAGUAUCUAUUUAACCAAGAUUUUAAAUUGGUUGUAGUAUGAUCUUAGUUAUUCUAGCGAAACGCGGUAAAAUACAGUUGAUGUGGCCUCAACCAACGGUGUUUGGACAUAAAAAAACCUUGAUUUCUCGUCUUACAUUGUGGUUACUAACAUUUUUUCCAAUCCUUUUUUUUUACUAAUUAAUUUAUGUGCAGGAUCUAAUAUUUUGUAAGGUUACCUUUUCAGUAAAUCAUUAGGAAGACCGUGCUCUAUGAAAACCCAAUCCUUAUAUAAUAGAGCAGACAAUUCUAAAGAAUAACGUCCCAUCAAGAAUGUCGAUUCUAUAAUACCCUCUGCAUUAACCAAGACAUUCCUUGCAAGUGCAUUAAUGUUCAUUGUGUCACGAUAAUGUGGAAGUAGAAGUUUGUGAAUAGGGUGAACCACACUAAGAUGCCUAUUUGUUGCUAUGAUGAAUGGCUCAACAACAGCAUGAGUGUUCAACCUGUUACACAUGUAGAUAUUAAUGAAUUACUCAUAGAUUGAUGAAAUUAAAUACGUUUGAUUCUAGAAAAACUCAUCAACAUAAUUCGUACCAGUGGCUGACAAGUUGAUGAAAACAGGAGUCAUUUACAACAACGUAAGCUUUGGCAAGUAGCCAAAUAGAAGCUUCAACACCUUCACUUGCAGGCAAGUAAACAUUACUAACAGGACCAUAACUAUCUUCUUGAGGAUGUGGCUUACUUAGCUCAAUGGCCAAUGGCUUCAAAGUUCCAUCAUUUUGUAAGAAAAUGAAGGUUCUCGUAGCAUAUGCCUUUGUAUCAGUUGAGUUUAUUUUCCUCAAAUAUGGAAAUAUUGGGUCAUGGUGAUCAAGUAUGUAAAGCCUGUUGUUUUGGAUAGCCUAUUCAAAAAAAUAUAAUUUAGUCAUUGUAAUUAUUUGAAUCAUAAAUAACCACAAAAUAACAUUGGCAAAGAUGUAUAUUCAUGGUAUUAAUGUUAAACUAUGUCAUUACUUCUUCUACAGUGACCCCAUCCAUGUUUAGCUGUAACUGUUCUUCGGUUAUUGUGCUCGUAUUAUCACCGUAGAGUUGGGUAUCUAGCUUGCUCUUUGGUGGGAACUCCUACAAUAAAUAUAGAAAGUAAUAAUGAAGUUAACAAUUAAAAAUAGGAAAAUGUUAUUUCUAGCGAAGGAAAUAUGGCUGCUCCUAAUUCUUGAAGAUUUCGUGAUGCUAUCUUUCGGGAAAUAUGGUCAAAAUAAAAAUUAAAUUUUCUGUUCGCAAAGAAAUCGUUAAACUAUCAAGUUUACCUGAAGUCUUUUGAUUAUGUGUGGAUUCACACCAGCAAUCAUCUCCCUUGCAAAUUCUCCAUCAGUCAUCCAUGCAGACUGAUUAACUGCUCAAAAUAAGAGCAUUUCAAAUGAUCCGUGAUAUUUUUAUUUAUUCUAUGAAAAUAUAUUGCUAGGACUGAACAUGUGUUUCUAAUAGAUACCUUCAACCACUUUAGGUCGUGGAAACUUUAGGGCCGAUUCACCAUCAGUUCUGAGGAGUUCCUGGAACACUGGUAUGGGGCUAAUUUUGCUAAGUGCAUUAGUAGGUAAUUCAAUUCCACCAUGAUAUAAUGAACGGACAUCUUCAAAAGUGUUAAACUCUGGCUGAUUGAAUUGUAAUGUAAGUGCAGAUCGUAAUUGAGGUAUAACAUUUUGAGAUGCUGAUUUCAGUAUAUAAACAAGAAAGUCUGAAGACUUCAAGUGGCCAAAUGAUUCAUCUCUUGGAAUGUAAACAAAGUCGCUCCGACUCUCACUUUUAUCAUCUGUAACAUACAAAUAGAAGACAUUAGCAACAAGAUCAAUAUCUUUAAAAUCAUAUAGAGGAAAUGUUUUGAUCAUAGGACCUUUAACUUAAGAUAGAGCAUAAAGUUUAUCACCUUUUUUAGCAUGUUUCCUGCCGGUUCUCCCCCUUCGAGGGUAAGGCAAGUUAUUGGAUCCUCCAACAACGGGACGAGCCAAGCUUUCUUUCUUGUCAGGAUCACCCAAGUCAUUGUAAACAUCGUAGUCAUAGAUCCUAUCCGAUUCUUUGCGCUCACCCGUUCCAUCUCCUCUUAAAGUCUUCAAUUCUUCUUGUCUGUAGUAGACUAAUGGAGCUGGUGUUUCGCUUGGAAGGUACGUCUAUAUUUAUAUUUAUUUAUCGGUGUCAAAUUUUGAGAAAUAUAAUUUGUAUUAGCAUGUUAAAGAAAUAUGAUUUUUUUUCAUUACCUUGUUCGUAAAGAAGAUGCGUUUCGUUUUAUACUUUUUAGCAUUGUAAAUCCAUGAGUUGCAAACAAAGUUGAUGGUUCCAUGGAUGGGAAUAUCUUCAAGCGUCAAACUUACAAGGAAGAAUUCUCCUAGCAUGAAAUUUUCAAUAUAAAAUGCUCCUGGAAUUCCCAUCUCACUGUCCCAUUCAAAAUGAACAUCAAAUGCAGAUUGCCCUGCUCCCAAAAUUGGUAUGGAGGUAACAAGACCUUCUAAAUAUGUUUUUUUUCCCACUUUACCUUUUCCACUUCCUACAAAUAUGUCAUAAUGCUUAAUUUAUGUCAAUAUAAACAACUUAAUCUUUUCUUAUGCUAAGUGCUAAAUUUAUGUUCACCCAAGUUGCUUAGAUUAUAUCAAAGUGAAAUAAUUCCUAAUUUCCUACAUAUAUUUUAGUAAUAGUUGAUUUAUUAUUUAAAAUAAGUUACGUCAAAGUGAUAAUCACAAAAAUAAAAAUAAAAAUUUAUAAUAAAACAAAAGGGAAAAUAAAUUGAAUCUUAAUGGACUCAGGAUCAAAUUCUUGUAAAAAUUAAAAUAUAAAGACAAUUUUCAUUUGGAUCCUUUGUAAAGCCAUUCAUUUAAAAACGAUAAACUUUGAAACUUAUAUCACCUGCAGAUUUAAAAAAUGGUGAGGCCUAGGUUGCCUUUGAAAACUCAUGGGCAAUUUACCUAAACCAAUCAAAAGUUUUCAUGUGUACUCCAUUAGAAUAAUAACAUUUAUUAUUUUAUUUUGCAAAAAUUUAGCAAGUAUUUUAUUAUUUGCAUAUUCACCCCAUCUUAAAUUAAUGAUUUUUUACAAUUUAAACCAUCACAAUAAUUAAAUUUCACCUCUAAUUCAAUCACUCUCCAAACCUCUUUUUUAGCUUGGCAAAAAUCAUUAAAAAUUAAAAUUAUCACCCCUGAGAAUCAAACCUGGAUGCUCCCACCUAUUUAAAAUGUACUCUGGAACCACUUGAUCAAUACAUUUUUUAUGAAAUAAUUUGGAAUUCAAAAUUAUGUUAUUAGUGAGCAAAUUAUUUUAUUUUUAUUUGCAGUGCCUUUAUAACCUAGCUUUAGUGAGAAAAAAAAAUCAUUUUAUGUGUGUAUAAUUAUGAAGUAGUAAAUUUUUCUUAAGAAAAAUGAAUUCAUUCAAUUGAUUUUUUAUAUUUUAAAUUUCAUUCUUUUUUAUAAAUUCAUACUUUUAUAUAGAUUCGAUGACCUACGACAAUGUUUCAUUUGUGAUCCACCGAAUUAUGAUUUAUUUUAGGUACUAUUUUUCAUUUGGAUCAGAUAAAUUGUUUAAAGGUAAUAAUUUUUUUUUUUGCAAGGUCUUAUAAGUUAUAACCUAGCUUUAGUAAAAAAAAUCAUUUUAUAUGUGUAUAUUUAUGAAAUAGUAAAUCUUUCUUAAAAAAAAUAAUUCAUUCAAUUGAUUUUUUAUAUUUUAAAUAUCAUUCUUUUAUAUAAAUUUAUAAUUUUAUAUAGAUUCGAUGAACUACAACAUUGUUUCAUUUGUGAUCAAACGAAUUAUGAUUUAUUUUAGGUACUAUCUUUCAUUUUGAUCAGAUAAAUUGUUCAAAGGUAUUAUUAUUAUUAUUUUUUUUGCAGUGUCUUAUAAGUUAUAACCCAGCUUUAGUAUAAAAAAAAUAAAUCAUUUUAUAUGUGUAUAUUUAUGAAAUAGUAAAUAUUUCUUAAAAAAAAAAAAAUGAAUUCAUUCAAUUGAUUUUUUUUAUAUUUUAAAUAUCAUCCUUUUAUAUAAAUUCAUACUUUUAUAUAGAUUCGAUGACUGAUGGGAUAAAACCGCAAGUGCACGAUUCUACCAGAAUUCAGGGCAUUACAAACGCAACAUGUGGCAUAAAAACAUUACUUUAUAUGUAUAUACUAUUGAUUUUCCUGUUCAUUUAAAAUAUUUUAUUUGCUUAAUUGCACUUUUGGACCCCUAUCUUUUCAAAAGUUGCGGUUAUGGAUCCCUAACUAAUUUAAAUACAAAACAGUCCCCUAUGUUUUGAUUCUUUAGCAGUUUUGGACCCCCAAGGCAAAAAAAAAAAAAUUUGACAAGUGGCACCUCACUUAGGGUGCCACGUCAGCGUUGACCGAGUCAACAAUGAAUUGGGGUCCAAAAUUGGCAAAAAAUCAGAACAUAGGGGGCUGUUUUGUAUUUAAAUUAGUUAGGGGUCCAUAAUCGCAACUUUUGAAAAGAUAGGGGUCCAAAAGUGCAAUUAAGCCUAUUUUAUUUACUAUUUUAUCCUUUAAUAAUAUUAUAUUAAAUUUGAAUUAGAAAAAUGAAAUCUCAUUAAAAUAGGAAAUAUACCACUACAACAGGAACAAUACUAUAUAUACUUUUUUUUUUUUUUUUUACAAAAUACUAUAUAUACUAUAUAUGAAGGGAAUAGAGACUUUGGGCUGAAUUUUUUAUAAUUUCAAUUAUACCCUUUAAACAAAUUUUCCUAUAUUAAUGUUCCAUUCUUGGUGGUAUUAAAAAAAGAUAAGAAUUUAUAUUAUAUUUGUUAAACUACUGUGUUGUUGUGGUAAAAGAUAAACAUGAUUUUUUUGGGUUUGUUACAAUUUUAAUUUCACAAAUAUUUGUACUUAUAAUUUUAAUCAAAAUCAAAAUUUCAUAUAAAAUACCGUUCAUAAUUUACACAUGUCACGUGCCCGUUUUUUCGCUAGUUAUAUAUAGUAUUUAUACUAUAUAUAAAGAAAACUAUCUCUUUCAGCACUUUUGGACAGGAUUUUUCUUUCCAAAAAUACCCUUAAUUUUUAAUACAAACAACACAUGUAACAAAUAAAUAAGAAUAAAUUUAAAUAUUAAAACAAAUGUAACAAACACGAUAUGUGUGUUUGGUUUUUUUCCUUUAUCAUUUAAAAAGUGUAACAAACUAUAUGAGUAUAUUUAAUAUUUGCUUUUUUUAUUAUCCCAAUUAUACCAUUAAAACAAAAUCCAUAAUCAUCAAUCAACAACAAGAAGAUCCAACAUUUUAAAAAAUAAAUAGAUAAAUUUAAAGGAAUUUUUUUAAGAUUCUUAUGUUGUUACAUAAUAUUUGGACAAGAUUCUAAUUCUCAUUAAUCUUUUCUCCCACGUCAAGAAUAUCUCUUUGCUUCUUCUGAUUCAUAUUCAUUCAUUCCUUAUUAUUCUAAUUUUUAACUCAAUUCAUCUUCCUAUAGAUUUGCAUCGUUUUUGCUGAACCAAGAAGGACUGUUAAGUAGAAGAAUUCCAGAAUCAUAGAUGUAAUCACAAUAGUUCUCAAUGACAAUGCUUAAAAAAAAUUGAUUUUUUUCCCAAUCUAUCUCUCUCAAUCCCGAUCUACUCUCUAUCCCCUUAAACCCUUUUUUCCUAAACUAUUCCUUACCUCUCAUGCUCUCUCUUCUCCAUCGGAUACCAUUUCCCCUUCUAUCAUCUUCAUUGCAUUCUCCUCUUUCUCUUUCAUUUUUGACUUCUCAAUAAAAAAUCAAUCGCAGCUUCAAUUUUUUAUUGUCGAAUUCGAAUUCGAAUUUGGGGUGCGUGGGUUCGAUUGAGAGAGAUAGGGAUCGAGAUGAUGGAUAUAUAGACAACGGUGUUGAUGGUGGUUUUGAAAAAGAGGUUUUGAUGGUGGUUAUCUGGAUUUUCUCUGGAUUUUUUUUUAUGAAGGUGAUGAAUGAGGGAAAGAAAGAAGAUGAAGUAUGGGAUAUAAUGCUAGAUGUUGUUGGUUCACAGUAAGAUACAGUGGACAUGCAUGAUCUAACAAUCUUUCUUUAUUAAAAAAGAUCAAACGGUUUAUAUUAAAAAAAAUAAUAGGAUCUAUAGUGGACCAGGGGGUUCACCAUAGAUAUUUGAGGUUAAAGUUAAUUUAUUUGCAAACUGUGGGAAAAGUGAAGGACUAAAACGUGAGUUUUAUUAAUUGUGAGACCAAAAUAAAACCAAAGAAUUAAAUAAGCCUUUUUUUUUACUAAAGCUAAGUUAUAACUUAUAAGACAUUGCAAAAAAAAAAAAUUAAUACCUUUAAACAAUUUAUCUGAUCCAAAUGAAAAAUAUUAUCUAAAAUAAAUCAUAAUUUGGUUGAUCACAAAUGAAACAUUGUUGUAGUUCAUCGAAUCUAUAUAAAAGUAUGAAUUUAUAUAAAAGAAAGAUAUUUACAAUAUAAAAAAUCAAUUGAAUGAAUUUAUUAUUAUUUUUUAAGAAAGAUUUACUAUUUCAUAAAUAUACACACAUAAAAUGAUUAUUAUUAUUUUUACUAAAGUUAAAUUAUAAGUCACUGCAAAAAAAAAAAUAAAAAAAAUUGCUCACUAAUAACAUAUUUUUGCAUUCCAAUUUAAUUCAUAAAAAAUGUAUUGGUCAAGUGGUUUGGGAAAACAUUUCAAAUAAGUGGGUGCAUUUAAGUUCGAUUCCCACGAGUGAUAAUUUUAAUUUUUAAUGAUUUUUGCCAAAUUGUUCAACUAAAUUUGAAUGAAUGCAUGAUCUUUGGCAUUAAAUUCCAAAUUUGAUAAAAAAAAAAGAGAGUGAUUGGAUUAGAGGAGAAAUUUAAUUAUUGUGAUGGUUUAAAUUGUAAAAAAUCAUUAAUUUAAGAUGGGGUGAAUAUGCAAAUAAUAAAAUACAUGCUAAAUUUGUGCAAAAUAAAAUAAUAAAUAUUAUUAUUCUAAUGGAGUACAAAUGGAAAAUUUUGAUUGGUUUGGGUAAAUUGUCCAUGAGUUUUUAAAGGUAAUUUAGAAAAAACCUUAAAAAAUUGGUCUGUUACUUGUUUAGCGUACAAUUUAGCGACCGAUUUCAAAGUUUGGUAAAAUGCAAAGUUCACUAAAAUUGUGAAAAUGCUACCACGUUUUUUUCCCCCUCAUCUCAAUUAUCUACUGAUGUGAAAUGUUAUAUGUUAUUAGGAAUUCUCUCAGGUACUUAUGGGUCUGUUUGGUUAACCCCAAAAAAGAGCUUUUAGCUUCUAGCUUAUAGCUUAUAAGCUCGUUUGAUAAAAAAAACUCUGUUUGGUAACACUUUUUUACCAUGAGCUUAUAGCUUAUUUCACGAGCUUAUAAGCUAUUUUUCAGAAGCUAUUCCAAGUAGCGUUUGAGCUUAUAGCUUAUAGCUUCUCACUUUUUCUUCCAAUUUUACCCUUAUUAUUUCAUUUAAAUUGUAUUUUUAUCCAUUAUAAUUUUUAUAAUAAGCUACGUAAUAAAGACUACUAUCCCUUUAUUCCAAUUUUUGUAUAUAUAUCAGCUGGCCUUUUUUUUUUUUUUUGAAAAAAUAUAUACCUUCGUUUUUUUUUUACGAAACAAAAUAUUAUUAUUCUAUUAGUGUUACUUUUUUUUUUUUUUUGAGAUAAGUGUUAUUUUCUUUAUUCUCUGUUAUUAUUAUUACUCUAUUAGUGCUACUUUUUUUUUUUGUUUUUGAGGUAAAUGUUAUUUUUUUUAUAAAGUGGAAACACUUAAAUGAUAAUAAAUAUAAGAUAAAAUUUUAGUGAAUAAAAUUUAAUUUAAUUUAUAAUACAUAGGAUAUAUUAAAUUAAUAAAUUUAAAGUAUUUUUUUAAAGAAAAAUUAGUUUACAAAAUUACAAAUACUUAAAUUAAUGAUAUAAUUUUUAUUAUGAAUUAAGAAUACCCUUUAUGUCAUUUUACAUUUAUCAGCUAGUUGAACCGCUAUUUUUACCAAACACUUCAGUUAGCUUAUCAGCUAUAAGCUAUCAGCUAGCUUAUCAGCUAAAAGCUAUCAGCUAACUUAUCAAUUAUCCGCUAUUUUUACUAAACAGAGCCUAUGUCCACCGAUGUGAAAGGCAAACCAAAGUUUACUAAAAUUUCAAAAUUGUCACUGUGUGCAUCUUUCCCAUUAGGUAUUUUCUGUGCCGAUGUGAAAACCCCUGUUGUAAGAUGUAUAUUUUCUAGUAGUGGUUAUGCCAGCUUGUAGCCUUAGAUCUCUCCAAGGAAGAAAAAAGCUACUAAAAAAACUUGAAUUAGUAAGAAGAACUUUAGAGGAAAAAAAUCUCCCUAAAUUUAGUGACCAAAGUAUAGGGAAAAAAAAUAUUUUUCCAUCACUAAUUUUCGUCCCAAUUUUAUUUGUUUUAUUUUUAUAGUGAAAAUUCUACCUCAUAUAUUAACAAAAGAAUAAAGUUUAAAGGAUCAUCAAAUCAUCAGCACAUUAUAUCUUCACCUAAAAUCAUAAGACACUUACUAUAUGAAUCACUUUUUAUAUGGCAUUUGUUAAGAUAGACUCAUUUAAUUUUUAGAAGUACUACUUUAACAAGUUAAAACUAAAAUAAUAUAUAAAACAAGGGUUUAAGUUAGCAACUUUUGCAGGCAUUUGUUAGAAUAUAUUCACUCAUUUUUUUAAGGGACAUCCACUCAUUUUUUUUUUAGAAGGACUAUAUGUUAGAAGUGAUAAUGAAAAAUUUGUUAAUUAUACACACAGUAAGGUGCAUGUUGCUAAAAUACUCCAAAAAGCUUCCCCCAAACACAUAUUUCAAGGUGCAAAGUUCAAAUUCUUUUAGGAGAGUUGUAAAAUGAUCAUUAGUGUCGAGUAGUAGUAUGAAAGAUUAAGAAGUAAUUACCAUCAACAUUGGUAGCACUAAUCAACCUGAGAGCCACUGAACGGCCAAAGGAGGAAGUGUAGGUAUCAAUUAUAGAGCUAGUGAUAUCACCAACAACAUUGAAUCCACCUUUGAUUAAACCAGUGGCACUUUGAGCUGCAGUGAUUUCGUUGAUAUCCAAUACAUUCUUAUGCAUCAAUAUCACUGUCCCCUUCACCUUUUGGCCUCUGUUAAAGAUACUUUUCACCCCUGAAUACAUCUUAGUAAUUUACUGCUUUUAAUUUUGUAUUCUUUUGCAAAUUAAUGAAAGAAAAGUUUGUGGUUUGCAUGUUGCAACCAUCUCAUUAUUUAUAGGGCCAAAUUAAUGUUCUGAUUCAAAACUAUAUUAUUUUUUUAGAGACUGAUUCAAAUCAUAUGAGUCAAUGUUCUUUCCAUAUUUUAUCCUCAUCCAAAAUAAUUGAUCUACUUGUAAAAAAAAAACAUUUACCAAAAUAAUUUAUCUUUUUCAAUUUGCAUGCAACAUUAACGACUUCUUUUCUACUGUACAAUGGAAUUAAUAUCAUCAAUUUCAACUCAAUAUCUUCAAUUUUUUAUAUAUAUGGUAAAAGUUAAUACAUGAUAAAAGUACUUCAUUAAAAGCAAUCUUCUCUUUACUUUUAACAUAGGUGCAGUUUUUUUUUUUGAAUGAACAUAGGUGCAGUGUUAAAAAAAAAUGGAGUAUUCCUUAAACGAAUUAGUUGUCUUUUUUUAUGUGACUAAAAUGAAGUCGUCUUUGUUUAAACAUACUCUUCUCACAGAAGAUAACCAUGGUUCAGUGCAAUAAUAAUAAUAAUAAUAAUAAUAUUAGCAAGAGGACGUUGAGGACUAUAAUUUGAGAGGUAGGUAGGCGAAUUUACCGGGGCAAUAAUGCAAUGAGAAGAGCACCCAAUUGCAGUGCUUGGCCCCAAAGAUGUUCAAAACUAGACUAUUAGUGUGUGAAGAGAAAAACAAAAGAAGAAAAACAUGAUUUCUCAGUAUGUCCAGUUAUAUUCAAAUUUGUUAUAAUACAAUGUCAAUUGUUGAUUGAAACUAGAGAUUAGUUCAGGUAGCAGAUGAUGUCCUCGAUUAUGAUUCUCUUUCUUUGCACGAUUGACGUUGAGGAAAGAAUUUUCUCCCUCAGCUACGGGUUCCUGAAAUUAUUUAGUAAAAUGUUAAAUAGAGUUGUGUUUUUGGCCAAGAAGUGUAUGUAAACUAAGAUAAAGAGAUAAUGAUAAAUGGAUAAAUUAGCGAAAAAAAUAGCUUGUGUUUGAUUGUGUGUUGACUGUUAACUCGGUCUAAAGUCUUCAAGGUUGAUGUACUAGCCAAUAGACUCGAGAAAGAAUCGACCAACCCUCUUUCGGCUAAAAUAACACUUGCAUAACCUUCUAUCGGCUCGGAAAAUUCUCCCAACCAAAUGUCAUUUUGUGUUGCGUUAUCACUUGAAUUUCGAGUGAUGAGAUGACGCAACGUAAUUGAAAUGGUUACGAACAAUAUCAUCAUUACGUCAUAAAAGUAGAAAAGUAGUCGUUGGGAUGAAUCAAUUUGAGAUCUUUUGUGUAAAAGUAUUUCAUUACUCUCAUUUUUUUUUGGGUAUAAUUACUCUCAUUUUAACGUCUUCUACUUAUAUAUAUGAUUAAAUUUUGAUACAUUAAUAUGAGAAGAGUACUUUAUUAAAAAUAAUUUUAUCUCUCUUUCAUUUAUACAUUGUUCUUCAUCCAUGUGAAUUAGUUAACUAAAUCGGUUAUUUAUGAGGGAGAGAGUAUUUUUCUUUUGAACUAUAAUAUUUAUUUUGUGUAAACCUUCUGAUUUUGGGAAAAUAAACCGCUUUUUUUUUUUUAAAUAAAACUCUAAACUCCAGUUUUCAGUACGUAGGUAAGUUUGAAAUCAUCAAUUGAUCAUUGACAUGCAAAAACUAUUAGCAUGAGGCUAAGCGUGGCAGAUAAAAUAACAAUGAAUUUGUUUAAAAAACAGUAAUAAAGUACUGAAGGUAAAAUACUUUAUCAUAAAAAAAUAUAAUAAUAAUAUAUGUUGAUUGAUCAUAUUUUGACAAAUAGAUCUAUUGAGCUAUUGUUAAUUACAUUCUUACGUGUAUACAAAUAAAAAUAUUCCCUGUACGAGGUUGUCUUUUUUGUUUUUGAUUUUGAUGGUACGAGGUCGUCUUUCUUUCUUUUGUUUAAACAUACUACUUUUCUCACAUAAGGUAACCAUGGUUCAAUGUAAUAAUAUCAAUAAUUGUACAAGAGUUAAUUUAACCGUGCGAUUAUUGCACAUUACGAUGCUCUCCAUUUUCAAUUGUCACUAUUUACUUGUUAACAAAAUUAAAAAUAGUAGAAGUAGGACUAUACUAGAUUCAAUAAUAUUUUAACUUUUAAAAAAUUAAAUUCAUUAGUUUUGACCGUUUCCUAAUACAAUAUAUUGAUAAAUCCUUAAUCAAUGUCUUAAAUACACUUUUUAGUAUUUUUCUUAAAUUAAAUAGUAGGUCAUAUCAGAUUUUUAAAAUGUCACAUUCAAACCUAAAUAAUAAACCUACGACACGCCACAUGCUAGACAUUGAUCUUAAAAAUUUUGGUAGAUUAGACUUAGAUUUUGCAAAAUUUAGUUCGGCCUAACCUAUUAUAUUUUGAAGAUUGCUCUAAUCCAUGUCCUAAUUAUUCAUCCCAUUAAUUCAGCUGUUCAAUAUUUUUCAACGGCAAUUACUGCUACGGGCAUUUUUAAGACCAGUUCAUUUACUUUUUAAAUUGUUUUAAUAGCAAUUUUCAUUAUUAUAUGUACCCCAUAUACGCUUCCCAUGACGUCCAACGCUGACAGCAGCAUGCAAGUGCACUUCACGUGAUCUUGUUCCUUAUUGCAUAGUUAGUUUUUUAUUUUCUAAUUUUACUAUACCGAACUCUAACAUUUUCACACUCAAAGUUCUUGCCCUGUCUCCCGUUUUUUUCUUUUCUUUUUUUAACAAAAACAACUUAUAUAUUUUCAUUCAUCAAAUCAAAUUGAAAGUAAUACAAGAUGGAAUUAAAUAAAAGAUAUGAUGCCGAAUAUACAUAGAUGUGAUAUAAGAUAGAAUAACGAGCAUAUAAUUAUAACACUUAAUAAUAUAUGAGUGACAUAAUUUGUUUGUGUUCAAGCUAAACUCAUCUUAAAGUUUUGAAACUGUUCUACUAAUAAUUUAACUGUGCGAUUGCGCAUUACGAUGCCCUCCAUUUUCAAUUGUGACUAUUUCCUUCAUCGCUCAUAUGAAUUAGCUGUUAAAAGGUAGGUCGUAUCAGACUUUCAAAAUGUCAUAUUUAAACCUAAAAAAUAAAUUUAUGAUAGACCGCAUGCUAGAUACAGGCCUUAAAUUUUUUAACAGAUUAUCCUUAAGUCUUGCAAAAUUUAGUUCGACCUGCCUAUUUCAAAAAUUGCUCAAAUCUAUUUCAUAAUUGUUCAUUCGCUUAAUUCAUUGGAAGUUAACUGUUGCUCGAUAUUUUUCAGCGGCAGUUCAGAUCGGUUUAUUCAUUUUUUAAGUUGAUGUAAAUAGAAAUAUGUACCCCAUAUUCGCUUCCCAUGACGUCCAAUGCUGAUAGAAGCAGCAUGCAAGUGCAAGUGUAUUAUAUUACCGUAUAGUCGCUUGAAAUGAAACCACACACUUCACGUGAUCUUAUUCUUUAUUGCAUUCGUUUUUUCUUCACUAAUUUUACUAUCCCAAAACUCUAACCUUUUCACACUCAAAGUUCUUGCCCUCUCUCCCUCUUUUUUGUUUGACCAAAAGCAACUUAUAUUUUUUCAUUCAUCAAAUCAAAUUGAAAGUAAUAUAAGAUAAAAUUAAAUAAAAGAUAUGAUAACAAGCAUACGAUUUUAACACCCUUAAUAAUAUAUGAGUGACAUAAUUUGUUUGUGUUCUUGCCAAAUUUAUCUUAAAGUUUGGAAAUUGUUCUACUUAUAUCUACAAUUGGACAAAAUACCGUCAAACUUCGAUUGAUUGCUAGAAUUAUCCAUGAUGUCUUCUGCCACUAACUUACAAUCUAGUUCAAUUUUCACGGUUGAUAAUCCUAAUUCUCGAACAUUCAUAGUGAUAUGUCCGGUGAAGAUGAGAUAAAUAUGGGGGUGGUUCUCUCCGGGAACUGCAUUUGUUCUCCGGAAAUUUUUCUUUAAGUUGUAAAUAGAUCAUUUAAGUUGUAUAUUUAUCGCACUCUUAUCCUUUUAAAGAUUUGUUUGAAACUUAAAAACUUAAAAAACUUCAUAUAGGUGUAUUAAAUUAACAAUUUAAAAGAUCUAUUUGAAUUUUUUAAAAAAAAAAAAACAAAAAAACUUAAAGGACAUAUUUAAACCUUAAAAAACUUAACUGAUCAACCUAAUAUUUUUGUCAAACUCAUAAAAAAGCGUUCAUGGCAUACGGUGUUUUCCUUCCAUAAAAAUAAAAAAUAAAAAAUAUCUGAAUGUAUUUUUGUUUUACAAAACUCACAUGGCAUGUUGUAGGAGAUUUGAGAUGUGUGUGGGGGUGGGUGUAAAAUUCCAUAAACCUGAUAAAUCAAAAUUGUUAAAAGUGAGAGUAAAUUGGAAUGGAAAAUUUAAAAAUUGUGGAAGUGGGGAACCACGUAAAAAUAAACUUUUCCAACUUAAACCAUAUGAUAAUUUCUUAAUCUGUCCUCUCAUGUUAUCAGCAGUACGCUUUUAAUAGUGUUUUAUAUUUGAAAUAUACUGCCAGAAAUACAUUUAUGAUAAUAUAAAUUGAUAGAUUUAAGCAAUAUAAGAAGAUUCAUAAAUUAUCAAAACAUGCGCAAUGCUAAAGCCCACAACAUGCAGAUGCACAAAGGAGGAUUCGAUUUGUAGUGCAAAGUUGUUGGGGCAAUGAAAAUCGGAUUUAAUUUGUAUGUAUAGAUAGUAUAAAACUUGUUUACACAUGUAUCAAAUCAAAUUACGCCAUUAAAAUAUUUAUGGAGAUAUUUAAACAAUUCACUUAUAAAAACGACACUUUAUUCUAAUUUGAUUGGAUGGAUAUAUAAAAAGAAAUUACACUACUUGUUCAGAAAAAAAAAAAGAAAUUACACUAUCGGUGCAUAGAAAUGACACUCAUGAAAAUUACCCUUCCUACCAAACAGUAUAUAAAGUCUCUAUAUUAUUGCCAACAACCAUAAAUUAUUGAGGAGGUAGAGGUUAGCCAUUUUAGCACGUUUGUGUUAUUGAGAUAACAAAAUUGAAAAAAGUCAAAAAUUGAGUUAUUUAAAAUGUAGUAGAUUUUGAAAGAAAGAAAAAAAGUUCCAAUGAACUCAAAUUUUUGAGUUUUUGAGAUAACCAAUUAAAAUUGUUCUUGGGACGUAAAACACGCUGAGUAUUAGGGGUGUUCAAAUCCAUACCAAUCCAAAAUAAAACCGCAAACUGAUCCAAAAAAACCGAAAACCGCAAAAAACCAAAUAUUUUUGGAUGUGUUUGGAUGUUGUUUUGGAAAAACCGCUAUGAUCGGAUCGGAUUUCGGAUUGCGUUUUCAAAACCAAACCGAACCGCAAAAGUAAAUUUUUAUACUUAUUUAUUAUUUUAUUAGUAUUAUAUAUUGCACUAAUAUAUUGCUUAUUGAUAUUUAAUCUUAUAUAUUGCAUUAAUUUAAUCUAUAUUAUUACUACUUCAUCUAUUUCAAAUAUAAUCAAUCAUUUUUAUUGUGUAAUGUUAACUUUUUAAAUAAAUUUGUGUCAUAUUUUGUAUCAAACCUAUUAUUUUAUUGUGUAUGAGUAAUAUUAAUAUUUAAAAAAAAAAUUACAUGUUACACUUUGGAUAUCCAAAAACCGAUCCAAAUUAAACCGCAUAUAUUUGGAUCGGAUCGGUUCGGAUUUUUUUAACAUAAUCAUCCAAACCGAACCGAACCGCACGUGAUUUUUAUUUUGGAUCGGUUGAUUUUUAACCUCAAAACCGAUCCAAACCGGACCGCGAACACCCCUACUGAGUAUGUAAGCUUAAUAUUGUUUUUCUUUUACAAAAAGUAAAUUUAAGGGGGUGUUUCUAUCAAGUAUAAUAUUUACAUUUAUGGGAAUACAUAGGUACGGAAUGAGUAUAUCCAUAUUUUUUAUAAGAUUGAGAAAUCAUUAUUCUUAGGUAUCUAAGGUUCUUAGGAAUGAAAUAACUUUUCUUAACUUUAAACAAUCUUACGAAAUUAUUCCCAAGGUAAAGGAUGGAAAAGUAGGUUCCCAUCAAAUUUUGUACACUUUUUUUCUAAAAGAAUAUAACUUGCAAUUCCCCUAGGAGUGUUCAAGAGUGUGCCAAACAUUUUUUUUUUUUUUUAAAUACCCAUGAAUAGAACUCCCGUCAUGAUAUCUUUAACUGUGAUUCCCUUUCUUCAAGCGAUUAAUGGUGAGGAUGGAACUUUGUUUUUAGGUUUUUUUUGCUACUAGACUAGUUGGAAAUGCAUGUAAAAUAACAACGGCAGAAAAAUAAAAGUGAUAAAAUAGGGAAAAUAGUUUGUGAUUGAUUGAUUAUGUGUUAAAUACAUUGUAUAGAGUAUGUACUUAUAGGCAAAACUAUUUCUACUGGCCACAAGAUAUUACCUACAGUGUUUAACCUUGUUCGACUAUUUUCACGAGUAAGCAUCAGCUUUCCCACGCUCGACUGUCAGCUUCCCAAUUAAUGGCAUGACAUGUUGACAAGGUCCAUAAUGUUUAGUACCUCAUUGUCCAGAUCUGCUUGAGCUUUGACUCAAUAUGAUGUCUUCAAGACAAUCGACCUACCCUUGUUUGGCUAGAAUAACACUUGCAUAGAUUUCCAUCGCUUGUCUAUUGAUUUCAGCUAACAUGACAUAUAUAAUUACUUUUAGGUGUAAACAUAUGCUUCCUUGCGUUGCAUUUUCGAUUGGCUUCCAAGUGAUUGGGAUGAUGCAACAUAAUCGAACUGAUUGCGCGUGAACAAUGCGAUCUUUUAUGAAUGGAUAUGAACUAAUAACCCUGUCAAUCCAAUAACUCCAACGGUUACCGCAGUUUUCUCAAUUGGUAUGGUGAUAUCUUCGCCUAUUUGAAAGACGAUCUUUACGUAUAAAUAACUUUUUAUAGACCUGGAUUAUUCCCCAACUUUUCACCCUUUGUCGUUCUUUUUAUGUGGCUUCCUAUCCACUAAAUAAUUCAUGACUAUUACUUUUUCUACCCUGCUGCCUUCUCGCGCGCCCUGCAAAAUUUACUAAAAUACCCCUGGUCCGGAUUACAUAAUCCGGAGCAAAUUGUUAGUGAUAUCCGAAAAACGAAAUUCGGACCAGAUGUUAUGCGUUUUUUUGUGUCUUUCUUUGAUGUCAAGGGUUUCUGUUGACCGUUAUAUGAACCCCACACAAGUUGCAAUGUUAUUCCAGGGUUCAUACGAACAGUCAAUAAUGACCAUGACACCACUAACACCCCAAAAAAACUAAAAACAUUUGAAGAAAAUGGAAGAAAAGAGGUGAAAUGAAGAAUGAAGGUAUUUGUUGAAGAUGGAAGCAUGUUUAUAGCCUAAAACAAGUCCUAGGUCAUUAGUACAGUAAAUGAAAACGUGUUAGUGGUUGUAACCGUCCAAACCCACAUUAAUGGCUCUCUUUCAAAAGAAUCCAAUGCUGAAGCUUUCAAGAUUUUACAUUCCGGAAUAACCUUAGCCCUACAGAAAGUGCCAACUUUUCCCUUGUUCACCAUUAUCGCAUUAAUCCGGAAAAUAUAUUCCGGAAAACAAAGGUGCAUUUCAGAUUUUAUUUUCUGGAAUGCAACAAUGUCAUGGCCAGUGGUCUGCACCACACAUUUUUGUCGAUGGUCAGGUAAUAAAAAACGUGUUUUAUCACGUUUUUUGACUGCAUUUAUGGUCUCCCAACCGUUUUUGCCCCUCCCUAUAAAUAACCUUCCAAACCCCACAAUUUCUCACACCAUCCUCUCUCACCCUCUCCUCCUCUUCUUCCUUCUAAAACCAUCGUUUUUCAUCGUUGGCCUUUCAUAGAUAAGGGUCUCGUUGAAAACUUUCAAGGUUUGUAUGAACGGUCAAUGUGGAUGGAACAGUGCUGCAACGAAGUGCGGUUCAUCUGAGGGUCAUGUGGGUCAGUGUGGUUCUUAGCUUGGCCUAUCUGGGCGUAAGUUUCAGCACCCCCACCUCCCUCAGGGACAUUGUUUUCUUCUUCCUGCCUUCCUCUUCCCUCCUCCUCCUCCGGUUUUCCUCCAUUAGGGAACCUACUGCUAUGUCCUAUCGCAUAGUAGUGAUUAGGAUCUUAGGAGAUUAGAAUUAGGCUCUUAGGAUAUUAGAAAUAGAUUUAGGAUCUUAUAUAAUAAGCUUAAAAAGCUUGAAAAUUAUUGUAAUGUAUAGUUCAUAUAUUAAUAAAAUGAGUUAUUUUUAUGUUUGUGUCCUUUUAUUUCUGUUUUUUAUUUUAUUUUACGAAUUGUAAAGCUUAAAAUUGCAAAAGUUAUGGUAAAAUAUUAUUCCGGAUUUUCAAAUCCGAUUUAAAAAUACAUUCCGGAAAACGAAAUUCGGACCAAGGGUAAAAUUGAAAAAAAAAAAAAAAAAGGGUGUGCAAGGAAAGAUAUAGGGUGGAAUAGGUAAAACUCACAAUUCAUUUUGGUGCGUCCUUCAACCCUCAAACCCAAUAGUCAGAGAGCUUUGCCAAUGAUUAUUCUCUAGUUUUACACCCGAUAAUUUUCUUAAUCUUGUCAUUUUCAAGAUAAAAGACCACUAAUUCAGAAAACGAGAAUGAGAAGGGAAGUGGCAAACGAACUUUGACUCGUAAAGGCAAAUUAAAGCAUGACAAUGUCUAGAUAGGGGAAACUUAAAUUCCUAACAUUUCAUGGGAAGGUAAUAAUUGUCUCAAUCGAUUUCCAGAACUAACACUUCCUUCAUUUACUAAGUAAUUUCUUAUCCUUGUUUUUAAGAGUCUUUGUGCAAUUUUAUUUAAGGAUUUUUAGAAAAUUCUAAGGAGGUGCUGAUAGUUUAGUGAAGAGUCUAUGAUGUUUAGAGAAACCAUUUUAAGUCUUGUAUUUUCCUACCUAGACAACUCUAUAAAUGUCAUAAGUCUUUUUGUUAUAGACGCUAUGAGUUGAUUUUAUCACUAUGACUAGAAAAACUCAUUGGAUUAGUAUUGAAUGAUCAACUUCAAUGAUGUUGUUUGAACUAUAUGUAAUCGAUGAUGUCCUCUAUUAAUGCAAUCUGAAAUAUGCUUAUAAGGUAUACCUUGUGCUUAAUGAUUUUCAAUGCCUGAUAAACUCUGAAUUGAUUUUAAUUUAUAGUUCACAAUCAACACUUGUUUUUGUAACACGAACUAGGUAGUGUUCUUUAAUCAAUUUAUCUAGACAUAAGGUAUUAAUUAGUAUGGUCGGUAGUUUAACUGUCAAUGAAUCUUUUGAUAAAAUUAGUUUCACCUAAGAAAUUAGGGUUCUAUUUUAGAUAAAUGGGACGUCGAGGCAAGAAAUUGGUCGUGGUCUAUUUCUUUAAACUGUUGUGAACAUAGAAAUCAAAUUGUUAUUGUCUAGGAACUAGUAUUAUCAAAGAAAAUCUUUCUAUAAUUUAAUUUGCGAAACCAAAUCUUACGAAAACUCCCCCCAAUUUAACUUUUUAAUAAGUAUUGUUUAAUUGUCAAGUAUAAACAAUAAUAUUUGUGGAGAGGGAUCUUUAUAAACACUAUUACUUGAUCUGCCAAAGAGUCCAUCAAGCUUUUGGCGCCAUUGUUAGGGAAUCGUUGAUGAUCUCAACAAGGUAGCUACGCUCUACUUACAUGAUUUGUUUUUUUUUGUAAUUUAUUAUAAAAACAUAAAAAUAUUUACUUUUGGCUCUUUAAUCUUAGUGUGUGUUGUGCUAAAUAAAUAUUCUUGAGUGUUGUUAUGCGAGGUGGAAGCUCAGGUACCUUGUUAUUUGAUUCUGAGGUUGAGAAGAUUACAAGAGAAAACCAGAAAGAUUCUUUUUCUAUCUCAGUACCCCUCAAAUAAUCUAAAAAUACUAUCAGAGGGAGAACAUAGGCAUGGUUAGAGAUGGUUUAGCAAAGGAAACUCAAGUUUGAGUUUUCCCCCCAAAAUCCUAAAAUACUCUUUUUUUCCUUAUUCUUUUUUUUCUUCCAGAAUUAAUGAACGAUGGUGUGCAAGUCCUAUAUUUCACCACUUAUAUGUCACGCAGGUUCUAUUGUAACUUCUUUCAUUUAUUACUUUCGUUGUUCUUUUGCUUGAUCUAUUCUUUUUUCCAUGUCUAUUCUCUGUUCCGAUUUGUUUUGAUUUUGUGAUCGAUAUUAUCUCUACUGUUACUUCUUUCGGUUAUUGUAUCCCUUGGUGUUUGAUUAUGUUUCACAUUGAUAAACUUAAUAGUGUUUUUACUUUUUACUUGUUGAAGAGCUUACAUUUGUGUCUAUAGAGUUCUAUUGGAAGUAAAUUGUUUAUUUUUAUGUUUUCUUAUAUUUUUGUUUGUUUUUGUAUUCAACUUGGCUAUUGUAAUCACACCUCUGUUUCCGGUAGCUGAAUUAUUAUUGUCUAAAUUUGAUCAAAGGCAACCUAGCAAUUGAAUAAUCGAGCCUUGUCGGAAAGUGUCAUUGUCACCACUCAAUGGAUGAGAAACCAACAAAAAAGCCGGAUUAUUAGAAGAAUGAAUGUGAAAGAAUUGUUACCAAUCAUGGAAGUCAUGGGAGGUACAUAAAGUUCAACAAGAUCACAAAAGAAUAGCGUGAGAAGGAGAAAAAAGUUGUGCGAGAAAUCAGAGAGAAUUGAGGAAAAACUCAGUUGAUACCAUAUUUGAACCAUAUGAGACAAUUGAUUCCUGAAAUAAAAACAUUAAGGCUGCAUUUGAUACAAGAGGACUAGAAUGUUACAAGGUACAAACAGACACAAUAAUUCUUAUUGAUGUAAAGUAAAACAUUAACAAUAAAACAAACAUACAUAAUAACAUGAUCGUAAGUAGGAAGUGAGGGAAUGGAAUUCCUUCACAUCUGUUAUUCAAAGCAGCAACACAACAACCAUGAUCCACUUUAGAUGGAGAUACUAUUAGGAAUGCCUCGGCAAGUCAAUCCUUCCUCACUAGAAGGAUAAAGUAGAGUAUAUGGCAUCUUCACUGGUCCGUACCGAUUUCUCAAUGUCUCAUCAUUGUUCCUUUGAGUGAGUUUCUGUUCAAUUUCAGCCAACUUCUUUCCAAACCUCUUGAAGGCUUCUUUUGGUUGUGAAUCUGAAGUCCAAUUGUCACCUUCAAUUCUAUCUCCAAGGUAUUGCUCAUCAGAAGCAUGCCUUGACAAGACCUCUAUAAUGGUCAAGUCAGUAAGUGUAUCAUUCUUUGGUGUGAUUGUCCUCAAAUAAGACUUCUGGUAGUCCUUAGCAAGCUCAUCAUACUCAGGUGAUCCUUUCUCAGGCAUGAAUCUUCUACUCUUUGUUGGCCGGUUAAGGAUAUAUCCUCCAUAUGGAUAUUGUCCGAAAUUAACAGCUGCAUGAAGUGCUGAAGCAAUCCAUAUAAGGAUGGUGGAAGCUUCGAUCAACUCUUCACGGGUUUGCAUCUUAAACCACCAUGUGGCAUUCUUCAGGUCACCAUGACCAACCUCUACAAGUUCCUUCCAGAAUGCUUGGAGUUCAGCAUCUUGUGCAAUGGCAGCAUCAGACUUGUAAUAGAAAUUCACAUAUUCACCAACCCAUGACUUAAUGGCAGCCCAUAUUUCUAGUCCAUCAGAAGCAUAAGGAUAAUCCUCUAUCAGAAGGCGGAGACCGGUAGGAGAGGCUGGAUCCUCAACAGCUACUCCUCUAAAUAACAAGCAAGGAAGAAAUAUUAACAUACAAAAAAUAUGUUCUAUGGAGUUAUUAUUAAUUAAAGUGAUUUUAAUGAUCAUUUUACAACUGUUUUAGAGGAGAUUUAAGCCCGUAUAACAGAAAUUAUUAGUUAGAGUUUGUUGAUAAAAAAUUGACAGACCAAAGAUGUAAGGUUACCUUUUGAUUAGAUCGUUAGGUAGUCCUUGCUCAAUGAAAUUCCAAUCCUUGUAAACAACAGCAGACAUUUCCAAAGCAUAAUUUCCCCACAAGAAGGUUGAUUCUAUAAUACCCUCUGCAUUGACCAAGACAUUUCGUGCAAGUGCAUUUAUGUUCAUUGUGUCACGGUAGUGAGGAAGUAAAAGUUUAUGAAUAGGGUGAACCACACUAAGAUGCCUGUUUGUUGCUAUGAUGAAUGGCUCAACAACAGCGUGGGUGUUCAACCUGUCACACAUGUCGAUAUUCAUGAAUUAAUCAUAGAUAGGUUAAUUAUGUUUGAUUGUGUAUACGUGAUUAAUGAGAUUCAUACCAAUGGCUGACAAGUUGAUGAUAGCAGGAGUCAUUUACAACAACAAAAGCCUUGGCAAGGAGCCAAAUUGAAGCUUCAACACCUUCACUUGCGGGCAAGUAAACAUUGCUAACAGGACCAAAACUAUCACCUUGAGGGUGUGGCCUGCUUAGUUCAAUGGCCAGUGGCUUCAAAGUUCCAUCAUCUUGCAAGAAAAGUAUGGUUCUGGUAGCAUAGGCCUUUGUCUCGGUUGCAUUUAUUUUCCUCAAAUAUGGAAAGAGUGGGUCGUGGUGAUCAAGUAUGUACAAUCUAUUGUCUUGGAUAGCCUGUAUGACAAAAUAAAAUUUAGCUACUGUGGUUUACUUGAAUAAAAAAAAUUCAAUCAUGGAGAAAAAUAUUAAUCAAACUAAGUCCAUGAGGUGUCAACCCAGUGGUUAAAGUCGACCUUAUAACCUCAAGGGAUAGAUUUCAAAUUUUCUCCCGGACGAAAUUCACGAACGCCACUUUGGAAAAAAAUAGAACUGAUCAAAUAUGUCAUUACCUGUUCUACGGUGACCCCACCCAUGUUUGGCUCCAAGUUUUCUUUGGUUAUGGUGCUGGUAUUAUCACCAAAUUUUUGGCUAUCUAGCUUGCUCUUUGGUGGAAACUCCUGUAUUAAAUUUAGCAAGCAAUAAUGUCACCAAUUACAAAAAUAACAUAAUGUUUACAAAAUAGUCUUAGUUUUAUUUUUUUAAUUUCUUAACAAAGUUAAACUAUUAGCUUUACCGAAAGUUUUUUGAUGAUGUGUGGGUUCACCCCAGCAAUCAUCUCCCUUGCAAAUUCCUCAUCAGUCUGCCAUGCAGAAUGGUCCACUGUUCAUAUUAAGAAAUUUUCAAAAGAUCCAUUAGAUUUCUUUAUAUGAUUUUGUAUAAAUAUAUUACUGCAAGGACUAGGUAUUAUGAUUAAUAUAUACCUUGAAUCACUUUUGGUGGUGGAAACUUAAGUGCUUGUUCACCAUCAGAUCGGAAAAGUUCCUUGAACAAUGGUAUUGGACUAAUCUGGCUUAGUACAUCAGUAGGAAGCUUAAUUCCACCCUCGUAGAGAGAGCGCACAUCUUGAAAGGUGUUAAACUCAGGGUUAUUGAGUUGUAAUGUAACUACAGAUCUCAGUUGAGGUAUGACAUUUUGAGAUGCUGAUUUGAGUAUGUAAACAAGAAAGUCUGAUGACUUUGUGUGUCCAAAAGAUUCAUCUCUUGGAAGGUAAACAGUGGGACUUCGAGUCUCACUCUUAGGAUCUGUUCAAAUAUAUAAUAACAAUAUAUGUUUUAGAAACAAUACCAAAAUCUUUAGAAUCAUAAGCAGGGUAAACAUUUGGAUCAACCAAAAAAACACAUGUUUAGUCCAAAAUCUGACAGAAGUGUUUGUGGCCUAACCUGUUUUAGUUUUUCUUCUGCCAGUUCUUCCCCUUCGAGGGUAAGGGAAAUCGCUUGAUCCCCCAAGAAUUUGACGCGCCAAUUGAGGUUUCGAGUCAGGCUCACCCAAAUCAUUGUAGACAUCGUAAUCAUAUAUUCUUUCCCAUUCCUUGCGCUCUCCAGUUCCAUCUCCUCUUAAAGUCUUCAAUUCUUCUUGUCUGUAGUACACUAAUGGAGCCGGUGUUUCACUUGGAAGGUAUGUCUACAUAAAUUUAAUCAUUCAAAAUAUCAAGUUUUAGGAAAUAGGCUUAAUAUUCAGCAAGCUAUAUAGUUAUUAUGAUAAAGUGGAUUUGUGAUUUGAGACAUCAGAAAGAGAUUGGGAGUUGCAAGUUCUCAACUCCCUCUACUCGCAUUUCUAAAAACUAAUUACUAAUAUUUGUCGUUAUAAUAGAAAUAACAAGCUACAUGUGUAAUAGAAUUUUUAUUCUUACCUUGUUGGCAAAGAAGAUGCGGUCGGUUUUGUACUUUUUAGAAUUGUAAAUCCAUGAGUUGCAGACAAAGUGGAUGGAUCCAUGGUUUGGAACAUCUUCAAGUGUCAAACUCACAAGGAAGAAUUCACCUUGCAUAAAAUUAUCGAUGUAAAAAGCUCCGGGAAUUCCCAUGUUACUGUCCCAUUCAAAAUGAAUACUGAAAGCAUUUUGUUUGUCUCCCAAUGUUGGUAUGGAGGUAAGAAGACCUUCCAGAAAUGUUUCCUUUCCCACUUUUCCUUUUCCAGCAGCUAUAUUAAAAAUGUCAAAUAUUAUUAGUUUCUCAAUUUCACUAAUCCAUGAUUUUCAAAGUUUAAUUUUAUUCUUUUACAGAUCCAUUUUUCUUUUUACAUGAUCAUCAUCCAUCUUGCCUGAGUUAUAUCGAAGGGAAAUAAUUUCAAUAUUUUAGUGGUAAUUGAUUGUACCUGAUCAUUUAUAACCAAUAUUCUACAUCAAAAUCUCCAUUGCACAUUUUUAAUUUAAUAAAAAAAACAAAAGGGAAAAUAAGGUAAAUCUUAAUGGAUUGAUGUAUCAAAAACUCUUCUUGAAUAAUAGGCUGGCUUGGUGGUGUGGUGGAAGAGUUAUGGAGUAAUUAAUGCAGUCUGAGUUCAAUUCUUACAUCUAGCAAAAACUAACAACCGACAUAAUACUCAUUCGAUAUUAUUUAUAAGAAAUAAUGAAUUUUUUGAUUUAUUGAAUAAUUAAUGUAUAUGAUAUAUAUUCUAGAUCGAAUACAUAAAUUAUUCAAUGAAUCUAAAAAAUUAAUUAUUUCUUAUAAAUAGGAUUGGAUGAAGUAAUAUUUAUUGCUUAAAAAAAUAAAACUCCUCAAUAUUUUGUUGUUAAAUCAGAGAUAUCCUCCACGUGCAAAUGUCUGUCACUUAUGUUAUGUCACACAAUGUUGGUAAAAGAGUCUAAGUAAAGAGAUCAUAGAAGUAUGAAAAGAAGCAAUUUUAAAUAGAAAAAGAUAGUAGAAUUUACAAUUUUAAAAAUCUAAUAAGACAGAAGUUCAAAUAUAAAGUAUAUAGAUGGGGAUGUCAAAUUUUAAAUAGCUUAUGGUACAAGAUUAAUUUAAAAAAUUUAAGUGAGCAUGUGCACCCAUCACGUAGAUCCAUACAUACCAAAUGACAAAGAUAAAGUCCAAAACAGUUGCCAAACGCCAAAUAUCACACUUAUUUGCAUUAUAUAUACUUCUUUUUUUACAAAACCAUUAGAUAUACUCCCUUUAAUAUACAUUGGAUAUAAGUUUUUAUAUAGUCAUUUUUUAUUCCAAUAGUACUAUUUUUUCCAUAUCAUUUUAUUACUUAAUCAAAUGUCCAAAUUAUUUUAAAUAGUUACUUAAAUAAUUUCAUAAUUUCUUUAUUUUAAUUAAGAAGAGACAACGAUGAAAUUUUUGUCUGUCAAGUAAGGAUAUAGUUUUGCAGUUAAUAAAAGAAUAUAAACACAAUUUUUUUCUUUUCAUAAAUUUCAUCAAAGAAGGUAAUCAAUCUUAUUCAGAAUCCGUCGAUCAGACACUAAAUGUGAUACCUCUCUCAAUCAAGAUUCUAAAAUCAUUCUCGUCCGUUAGAUCCAAUUACUUCCAUUGGUGUACACAUAAUUUAAAUAAGUUAUAUCAAUCAAUUAAUUAAAAUGCCUAUUUCUUGUAUGAAUUAAACAUAGUGAGAAAGGUCCUCGUGAACUAGCUCAAUUGAUAGAGACAUAUAAUAUAAUAUAUGCAGGGGUUGAAGUCCGAACCCUAAACAUCCGACUUCUCCAUAUUUAAAAUGUGUGAGCUCCCGUCACUGGGUUAAUUGACAAAAAGAAAAAUAGAGUGAGAAAGAGAAAUGAGUUAUUACCAUCAGCACUUGUAGCACUAAUCAACCUGAGAGCUAUAGAACGUCCCAAGAAGGAAGUGGCAGUAUCAAGUAUAUUGCCAGCAACAUCACCAACAAUACCAAAGGCACCACCAAUGAUACCAGUAGGGCUUUUAGCAGCAGUGAGGGCGUUGAUAUCCAAAGUAUUCUUUUGCAUCAACACCACAGUUCCCUUCAACUUUUGGCCUCUAUCAAAGAGACCUGUUACACCAGAAAACAUCUUUGAAUAUGCUUUAAAUGUAUUACACUAUAUAUGGUAAAUGAAAGAAAGGCUUGUGUCUUGUAACCAUAGGGGUGGUUAGUAUUUAUAGUAGUUGAUGAGAUUAGGAUCACAAUGUUAUAGUUCAAAUGAGGUGAUAUUUUUAUUCAACUACUCAUUUACAACAUGGUGGAAUGCAAUUGGUCACGUCUUAUGCUAAUUUUUUAUUAUGAGUGAUUAUCUCGUGGUAUAUAAAAUAAUAAUAUAUCCGAUUGCAAAAUUAUUUUGGUAGUUGUUAUAUGUGCCAGCCUUGGCAUUAUGUUCAAUAAUAAUGACUCUGUUUGCUCUAUUGUUAAUUAUUACUACUAUCUUACGUGUCUGCAUUGGUUUUCUCGAGUUUUCUCAUAUUUUUUAAAGUGGGAAAAUCUCUACCCUUAAAAUUCAUUUCUUUCUUAUUUUAAUUUCAAAAUCUCUCCUCUUUUUUUUUUUUUUUUUUUUUUCUUUUUCUUUUUCUUUCUCUCAUACUAUCAAAUCAAGAUUAGGAUUGGACUUGAGAUACAUUUGCUUAGUCACAAACAUAAAAAUGAGUCAUUUAACACACACAAUGUAAUAAAAAAAAUUGAUUUGGUGUUGUGGUCUAAUUUAACACUUACUAUAUAAGUAUUUCUCCAUCCAAAGAUGGAUCCAAAAAUCUAUUAGCAAUUUUAGUUCACGGCCUAAUUUAUUCUCUUGUUUGGGAGUCUUUUGUAACAAUUUUUGUUUUUUUAUUUUGGGUUGACGGCAAGACCUUUGUCUUUUGAUGUAACUAUACUCUUUUUCCUUGUUCUUUUGGCACUUUCUGUGCUGGAAUAGCAGAUAUUUUUCAAAUAUAAGCAAUCAACGUUUGUUCUAGGGCGCUCUAUAUAUGGAUAAUGUUAUCAGCCACGUUUUUGACAUUUGCAUCAAUUUUUUUCUUUAUAAAUGAUGAAUAAGACAUGUAUUACUAAUGAUGGUUGAUAUUCCAGCUAUCAUGGAAUCCAAGUCGCCAUAGUACAAUGUUUUUAAAAUCCCAGCUAUGUUGGCAACCCAAAACAUCGUGUGUCAAAUGCGCCACAUCUUAUAUAUUAUUAAUAAUAAAAAAUACAAAAACGAAAAAAGUUGAGUUAAACUCAACAAAGCUAAUUAAAAUGAUAGGUAUGCAUACCAAACCUAUCUAAAAAAACCACUGAUAAUAAAACUAGGACAUAUAUACCACCAUUGAAAAUCUCCAAUUAGUUUACAAAUAUCAACGAAAAAACUUCUCCUUUUCCUCUUGUGACAUAGAUGAUCUCCAGUAGGUUUCUGCGUUUUUCCUCUUCAGUUUCGUGUUUUGCUGCUUGCGUUGGGGGUGUGAAAAUUAAACACUGAUGACUUGUGAAAAAAAGAAGCAUAAAGGGCUGCUGGACUAAAGUCUGAUAAUUGUUGGUCCCUCUAUUAUUUUUGUUAUAUACACCCCUCUAUAAACGAUUAUUGUUAUAUACACCCUCGUAUAAAAAAAUUAGGUCCCUAAAGGCAUGGGCCCUAGGCUGCCGCACCCCAUCCUAUAUCUAUGGCUGGCCCUGAAUGUUAUCGUUGUAAUAGAAGUGGUUUAAUAUAUAAAAUGAAAGACAUAAGGUAAAUAGGGUAAUGUUGCAUUAAAAAUGGAUGUUGGUAAGGCAUGUGGCAUUGAUAGGUCAUUUGAAAGAAAUUUUGAUGAAGAUGAGGUUAUGUCAGUAGUGAAUGAACUAGAUAAUGAUGUGUAUUAAAAUGGUGGAUUAUUCCAUUAUUGUUAACAAUGAAAUCACAUGACCAAUCAUACUCGGACGAGGCCUUCAUCGGAGAGAUUCUUUGUCUCAUUGUUUAUUCUGUGUGCAGAAGGCCUAUGUGCUCUUAUUAAGUAUGUCGAGGCUAGUGGAGAGCUUCAUGGGGUCAAAAUUUGUCGAAACACUUUGAUUAUUACUCGAAUUUUAUUUGCAGAUGACUACUUUCUAUUUUUCAGGGAAGGUGAAGCGCCGAGACUCAAAAUAUGAAGCAAAUUUUGAGGUUGUACAGAGCAACGUCUGGAUAUUACAGCUUAAAUGCCCAACAAUCCCUUCAAAAUGCUUUUACAACAACCUUAGGGGGGUCAGGCGGUGUUAUGCACAAUGAAGUACAUCGGACUACCCUCUAUGAUUGGUAGAAGAAGGAAUGUUACGUUCAGCUUUCUCAAAGAUAUGACUGGAGCAACAAGUAUUUGUGAAAGGAAGAUAUAAUGAUAAAAACAUGUACUGCAAGCAAUACCAUCUUAUGGAAUUAGAAUUUUCUUACUUUCUACCAUGUUCUUUGAUGCCAACGAAAAGAUUAUUAACACGUACGUACUGGUGGGGUCAUGGUGGUUCCACAAUUAGAGGUAUUGACUGGUUAUCAAGGGACAUGCUUGUUGUCUACAAAUUUUUUGGAGGUUUGGGGUUUAAAUACUUGACGUCAUUCAACUAAGCAAUGUUAGGAAAACAAGAUCGGAAAUUCCACACACACUUGGACUGUUUGGUAUCAAGACUGUUCAAGGCGCUCUAUUUUCCUCAUGGAAGCUAUCUAGACCGAAAGUGAUGACAGAGCACUAUAUGACAUUUUGGGCUAUGUUUUUAGUACUUUUAUUUGCAUUUGAAGACAUAUAAGUUGAGAGAUAGAGGAGUUGUUAAUGGUUUGGGAAACAUAUUGUAUUGUUUUCAAUCGAGCCGUUGUUCUUGAUGCUUGACAGUUUAAGGAACCUCUAGGGUAUGUUUUUUAAACAUCGUUGUUCCUUGAUUGAGGAACCUCUAGAUAUUUCAUGAAGUGUAAUUCCUUUAGAUGACAAUUUAAGAGUCACACGGGAUGUUGCAGUCAAAAGAUGUGAUCAUGGCUUUCAUAAUUGAGUUAUGGAUAAAACGACAUCUGUAGGAAUAUUCUCUCUAUAGUAAACCACCGUUUAUGUAAUUUUUAGGUUUUAAUUAAUAGGUACUUUGCAUUAAUCCAACAAAGAGGGAAGAGGGAAGAGGGGAUUCAAGGAUUCCCUAAUCACCGUUAUACAUCUAAAUCACACAAACAUAAUCUUUCUUUGGAUAGGGAAAUUUAACCAUGCAAAUCUUUUUUUCAUCUCUUUUCUAUUUUCUUUCUAAUAAGUUUUGCUAAUUACCGAAAAACUUGCUACUUUAUUAAUUGUUAUGAUUUGGUGCACUUGCCAAUUUCGUCCUUCAGAAAGCUUGGACAUAAAUCAAAGCUUUAGUUGGAGAAGAAUAUUUACCGCUAAGAGAGUAGUACAAAAAGUUGCUCGGUGGAAGAUCAGAUCGGGUACAAAGUUUCAAUUUUUUAUGCUUUGUGGGUAAAAGAUGGGACAAGUAUUCUAGGAGAUGGUCAACCUCUCAAGGUAAUUCAACAGGCUAAAGUGCACAAUCUCGUUGAUCAAGAAUUUCCCGUAUAGAACAAUCAUAUUGUAAACCAGUGUUUUGAUCAACUUAUAAAUGAGCUCAUUCUGAGUACUCCUUUAAUUGAGUCUGUUAAAGAAAGAUAAAUUAAUUUUUAAAUCAAAGAAAAAUGAACAUUACUCGGUAAAAAUUGUGUACAAGAUUUAUACAUAAAAUAGUGCAGGCAACUCAUAUUUAUGUCAGUAAGGUCAUUGGCUGGAAUUUAGAAGUUAAAGGUGCAUCCCAAAGUGAAGGAUUUCAUUUGGCUGAUUUAUCAAGGUUGCUUACCGACGCGUGUAAGGCUGAAAGAUCGAAGUCUCCAUUGUCUGUCUAUUUGUAUGAUGUGCACCGGUAACUAUGGGGAUGCAAUGCAUAUAUUGUUUGAUUCUCCGUAAAUAGGAUAUGUAUAUAUUUUUCUCAAGUGCAUUAAUUUUAUCAUUCAUAGCUCCAGCCCAGUUUAUAUUUUUAAAUGUUUCUUCAAUAGAUGAUUUGAUUCUCACAUAAUCAACGGCAACAAUAAAACUUUGAUUGUGUGGAAAGUUGUUUAGUGGAGACAUAUUGAGAAAUAUGUAUGAUAUCUAUAUAUAGAGGGACAGAUCGAUAACAUUUGCAAUCAUCUACAACAGGCCAUGUUACCCAAGAACAAUCAUCAAUAAAAGAAACAAACCACCUUGCCCCAUAAAUAUUAGAAACAACAAGAAAUAUUAGAAACAGGGGCCGAUCGGCAGACAUCAAAAUGAAUAAGAUCAAAUGGUUCAACACUUUUACGAAGAUUCAACGAAAAAAGUGGUAUGUGUACGCUUAUAAAAUGGAUAUAUAUAUCACAUUUAAAAGACUAAAUCGAUUGCAUUAAAAAACAAAGAUGGAAACAUAAACUUCAUUAGUUGAAAAUGAGGAUGACAAAGACGUUUGUGCUGAAGCCAAAUUUGAGAGGCAGAAUAAGACUCUGACUAAGACUGAAGUGCAGAAGACAACACCUUCUGAUCAAUUCGUGCAUCAUACAAAUAAUAUAGCCCUCCUUGUUCCUAAGCAACUCCAAUCGUCUUUCCCAUUACAAGAUCCUCGAAAGCACAAUGUGAAUCAAAAAAUAUUACUGCACAAAUAUUAUCCUUUAUAAGCUUACGAACAUAGAUAAGGUUAUUCCAAAGACAAGGAACAUGAAGCAUAUCUUUCAACUUAAAAGGUUCAAGGUUAAUUUCUCCACAACCAUCUACACGAGUAUGAGAACCAUAUGCAGCCGCAAAAAAGAAUGUCAUAUGAAGAAAUUUACUUCAAAAAGGCCAAGAACCAAUGUCAUAUGAUCAAUAGCACUAUAGUCAAUAAUAUAAUCAACAUUUCAAGCAAAAACCACAUAUAACUAUUUUCAGUCACAUUGGCUGAUAACUACAAAAGAAUCUCCUCAAAAGAACAACAAAAAGAAGAGGCUUCAAAUAACAAAAAAUAGGCAACAAGGUAAAAACCGUAAGUCGCAACAACGUAAAAUCACCAAAUAAAAGUCAAACUGAAUCACAAAGGGUCCUCAAAGAUGCUGGUAGUCACAAACAAGCACAAAACAACCGCUAUCAAUCAGUUAGUGUCAAGAGUACCCACGUAAAAUAGUAUCUUGGUCUUGGAUCAAGAUUUUGACCCCUUAAACGAACCAAUUAUGUGAAGACUAUAAUUUCUAGGAAUAAAUGGUGUCGAAUGGUGGUUCACAAGGUGGCAUGUGCAUCGCACUUGAUGGAGCUUCACUUUAGAUUGGGCCUCUGCUCUCAACUUCUCAAGUUCUUCUUCAAAAAGUAUUUGAGAACAAAUUUUUAUAGCCCUUUCGUUUAAAAAAUCUUUUUAGUUUUGCCAUAUUAGUUGAUGUAUGAUUCUUUAACUGUAUUUACAUUGGAAAAACAAUUGGCAGUGGAAAUAAAAUCAUUAUGAUCUAUUAUUGCUUUUUCAAUGUUAUCAUUUUUUUGUCAUGCUAUAUUGCAUAUUUGCAUUGAGAGCUUUUUUGUCAUGAAAUAAAAUAUGAAGUUUGCAUUUUAUAUACAAAGUAAAUCACACAACAAAAUAGAAACAUAGUAACUUUUAUUGAUGAAAUACAUUAUAACAAUCAAACAUGAUAGUUUUUAUUGAUAAAACACAUUACAGAAUUAAAAACAAACGUACAUAAUAACAUAACAUGACGAUAUACAUAGGGGGCGAGGGAAUUGGAUUCCUCCUCCUCUUUUAUUAAUAGCGACAACGCAACAACCACGACGUUUUUUAGAUAGAGACACUGUUGGGAAUGCCUCUGCAAGUCAAUCCUUCCUCACUAGAAGGAUAAAGCAGAGUGUAAGGCAUCUUCACUGGUCCGUUACGAUUCCUCAGUGUCUCAUCAUUGUUCCUUUGAAUGAGUUUUUGCUCAAUUUCAGCCAACUUCUUUCCAAACCUCUUAAAGGACUCUUUUGGCUGUGAAUCAGAAGUCCAGAGAUCACCUUCAAUUCUCUCUCCAAGGUAUUGCUCAUCAGAAGCAUGCCUUGACAAGACUUCUAUAAUGGUCAAGUCAGUAAGAGUAUCAUUCUUGGGUGUUAUUGUCCUCAGAUAAGACUUCUGGUAGUCCUUAGCAAGCUCAUCAUACUCAGGGGAUCCCUGCUCAGGCAUGAAUCUUCUACUUUUAGUUGGUCGGUUAACGAUAUAUCCUCCAUACGGAUAUUGUCCAAAAUUAACUGCUGCAUGAAGUGCUGAAGCAAUCCAUAUGAGGGUGGUGCAAGCUUCAAUCAACUCCUCACGAGUUUGCAUCUUAAACCACCAUGUAGCAUUCUUCAAGUCACCAUGACCGACCUCUACAAGUUCUUUCCAGAAUGCUUGGAGUUCAGAAUCUUGUGCAAUAGAUGCAUCUGACUUGUAGUAGAAAUUGACAUAUUCAUCAACCCAUGAUUUAAUAGCAGCCCAUAUUUCUAGUCCAUCUGAAGCAUAAGGGUAGUCCUCUAUUAGAAGUCGAAGACCAUAUGCUGAAGUAGGGUCCUCAACGGCCACUCCUCUAUAGAACAAGCAAAGGAAGAUAACAUUAACAUACAAAAAAAAAAGAUAGUUAGGAAAGUUACUUAGAGUUUGUUUGAUUGGUAGUUACUUUGUUGAUUCUCUACUAGCUCUAUACAUGGCUACAAAGUCAAACAUUUACCAUUGAACUGAAACCGUGUGGUAUUAUACUUGAGAUCAAUAUCUUUUUAAAAAACGGACUGAGUCAAGAUGUAAUGUUUUGUAAGGUUACCUUUUGAUUAGAUCAUUAGGUAGGCCUUGCUCAGUGAAAACCCAAUCCUUGUAAACGACAGAAGACAUUUCCAAAGCAUACUUUCCCCACAAGAAAGUUGACUCGAUAAUACCCUCGGCAUUGACCAACACAUUUCGUGCUAGUGCAUUUAUGUUCAUCGUGUCACGAUAAUGUGGAAGCAGAAGUUUAUGAAUAGGGUGAACCACACUUAGAUGCCUAUUUGUUGCUAUGACGAAUGGCUCAACUACAGCAUGAGUGUUCAACCUGUCACACAUUGUAGAUAAAUUUUCAUCAAAUUACUCAUAGAUGUAUAAAAUUUAUUUGAUUGUUUAAAUAUCAUAAACGAAAUUCAUACCAAUGGCUAACAAGUUGGUGAUAACAUGAAUCAUUUACAAUUACGUAAGCCUUGGCAAGGAGCCAAAUUGAAGCUUCAACACCUUCACUUGCAGGCAAGUAAACUUUGCUAACAGGACCAAAACUAUCACCUUGAGGGUGUGGCCUACUUAGUUCAAUGGCCAAUGGCUUCAAAGUUCCAUCAUCUUGCAAGAAAAGAAUGGUUCUAGUAGCAUAGGCCUUAGUCUCGGUUGCAUUUAUUUUCCUCAAAUAUGGAAAGAGUGGGUCGUGGUGAUCCAGUAUGAACAAUUUAUUAUUCUGGAUAGCCUGUUCCACAAAAUAAAAUUUAGCACUGUUGAAUUAUUUUUUUAGAGUAAAGUUGUUGAAUUGGGUAGAGAUUUACCUGUUCUACCGUGACCCCAACCAUGUUUGGCUGCAAAUGUUCUUUGGUUAUGGUGCUGGUAUUAUUACCAAAGAGUUGGGUAUCUAACUUGCUCUUUGGUGGAAACUCCUAAAAUAAAUGUACGAAGCUGUGGUUAAUUAAAACUUAUAAACAUGGCAUGAAAAGUGGGAAAAAUAGCAUUUGUUAGUUUUUCAGUAUUUUCUUAACAAUGUUAAACCAUUAACUUUACCAAGAGUUUUUUUAUGAUGUGUGGAUUCACCCCAGCAAUCAUCUCCCUUGCAAAUUCCUCAUCAGUCAUCCAUGCAGAAUGAUCGACUGUUCAAAAUUAAAAUUUCAAAAGAUCCAUGAACUUUAUUUCUCUGAUAUAUGUUAAUAGUAAUAGGAAUGUGUGACUAAUUAAUAUAAACCUUGAAUCACUUUUGGUGGUGGAAACUUAAGUGCCGCUUCACCAUCAGUUCGGAAAAGUUCCUUGAACAAUGGUAUUGGGCUAAGUUCACUUAGUAUAUCAGUAGGAAGCCUGAUUCCACCUUCAUAGAGCGAGCGCACAUCUUCAAAGGUGUUAAACUCAGGCUCAUGGAAUUGUAAUGUAACUAUAGAUCUUAAUCGAGGUAUGACAUUUUGAGAUGCAGAUUUGAGUAUGUGAACAAGAAAGUCUGAUGACUUUGUGUGUCCAAAUGAUUCAUCUCUUGGGAGGUAAACAGUGUCACUUCGACUCUCACUCUUAGGAUCUGUUCACAAAUACAAUAACAAUGUAUGUUUUAGAAUCAUAAGCAGAGUAAACAUUUGUAUCAACAAAAAGACUUAGUAAACAACAUCAGGGAUAAAAACAUUAGUUGUCAAGUAGAAUACAAUUUCACAUUUUAGUACCAUAUCACUUAAUUUUUGCCAGAAUUUCUUAAAAUAUAACAUACUCAAGUGUUAAGAUAGAACGUAAAGUUAUAACCUUUACGAGCUGCUUUCCUGCCGGUUCUCCCUCUUCGAGGGUAAGGGAGGGUGCUAGAUCCUCCAACAACAGGACGAGCCAAACUAGCGUUCUUGUCCACAUCACCCAAAUCAUUGUAGACAUCAUAAUCAUAUAUUCUUUCCCAUUCCUUACGCUCUCCAGUUCCAUCUCCUCUUAAAGUCUUCAAUUCUUCUUGUCUGUAGUAGACUAAAGGAGCUGGUGUUUCACUUGGAAGGUAUGUCUACAAAAUUGUAGUCAUUGAUUGUGUCAAGUUUUUGGAAAAGAGAAUUUAUAGUCUAAAAAAAUAUUUAACAAGUUAUACAUGUUGGAUAUAAUUUAUAAAUAUUCUUACCUUGUUGGCAAAGAAAAUGCGUUUAGUUUUGUAAUUUUUAGCGUUGUAAACCCAUGAGUUGCAAACAAAGUUGAUGGUUCCAUGGUUUGGAACAUCUUCAAGAGUCAAGCUGACAAGGAAGAAUUCACCACCUUGCAGAUAAUUCUCAAUAUAAAAAGCUCCUGGAGUUCCCAUGUCAUUGUCCCAUUCAAAUUCAAUACUGAAAGCAUUUUGUUUAUCUCCCAAUGUUGGCAAGGAGGUAAUAACACUUGCCAGAUACGUUUUCUCUCCCACUUUGCCUUUUCCGGUUUUUCCUAUACAAAAAUUGGACUCUCAAUUUCACUGAUGAUGAUUUUAAAUAGUAGUAACACGUUAUAGCUAUUCCAAAAUUUGAUGUUUUUUACAGCUCAAAUGUUCUUUAUACCUACUACAUAAUUUCUCAACAUCCACUUGCCCUUAAUUAUAUCAAAUUGAAACUAAAUUUUAAUAUUUUAGUGGUAAUUGAUAGUAACUGGUUAUUUAUGAAUAAUAUUUGGGUAUUGUUAAAAUAAGAUAAAGAAGUUGUUACCAUCAGCAACGGUAGCACUAAUCAGCCAGAGAGCCACAGAACGGCGGAACAAGGAGGUGGCAGUGUCAGCUACAGUACCGGCAGCAUCACCAACAAAAUCGAAGAAACUGUCAACUACACCACCGGCGCUUUGAGCUGCAGUGAGUUCGUUGAUGUCUAAGACAUUCUUUUGCAUCAACACCACAGUUCCCUUCACCUUUUGGUGCUUAUCAAAGAGACCUUUCACCAAUGAACUCAUCUUUAAUGCUUAAAUGUAUUACACUAUCUUUGGUAAAUGAAAGAAAAGCUUGUGUUUUGUUACCAAGGGGAUGCUUAGUAUUUAUAGUAGUUGAUAGGUGCAAGGUUAGUUCAAAAGAAAUAAUUGUUUAUUGUUCAUUAUUAUAUGUUUUUUACAUAAUUAAUUUACUAAAUAACAACACAUUUAAAUGAAGAUGGGUAAUAUAAGCUGGCACAUUACAUAAAUAACUCUUACCAAAAAAAAAAUUACAUCAAUAACUGAUAUCUACGUGUUUUUUUGUUUCUGUCACUUGAGUGCGAUAUUUUUUGUUCGUCAUCUUGAUGCAUUGUUGUUUGAUUUUUUGUUUUGUUGUGAUGUUCUUUUAAUUUAAAUUCAGUCAAUGACUUUAGCUCUAACAUUAAAAAUUUGGAGGGAUAAAUAUUAAGUUUACUUUGAUUUUGUGACUUUUAUAGACAUUUUGUUACUUUAUGUUAUUAAUUUGGUUUUUUCUAGAUUACCUUUGAAGAAUGGUGGGUAAUUUACCCACCAACCAAUGAAAAUGAGCAAUUUAUUGGUGGGGUCAAUAUAGUUCAUGGAUACCACUUAAAAAUGUGCUUAUGUGGCUAAUGUGUAUUGGUUGGGAUAAAUUACCCACCAUUCUUUCAUGGAUACCCUAGUUGUCACCUAUUAAUUUACAUGUUGUGGUUUUAUUCUCAUGUUUAACUUAAAUCAAUUCAGCUACUCAAUCUCCUAUAAUAUUUUCCACGUGUUCUAUUAAUUUGAACUGAUGACUGUUUUGGUUAGUAAGAAAAAGCACGUUUAAAUGCAAUUGGGGCACAAUCUUAUGCUAAUUUUUCGAUGAUUAUCUUGUUUUAUAUUAAUAAUAUAUUCGUAGGUUUCAUUAUUAUUUAGAUUGUUUUAUGUAUUGUUAAUUAGGUACUGACCUGUAUGCAUUGGUAGUUUCGAUCAGGGUUGAAAUAGAUGGCCGUUUGGGACCCCAUCUUAGGAGGGACAUAAAUAUUUUUAUAAUUAGAAAAGUAAAACCAUAUGUACUUAAAAAACUAUAAAAAAAUUUGUUAAUGUUAACGAGUGGUUCAAAGACACUUGUUAAUUAGGUUACUGGAAAUUAGAUCUCAAGUUCACAAAAGAACAAAUUUCUAUCCACUUUUCAAUUCACUCAAACUAACAAUGAAUCCUAAGAGAAAACAAUAAAAAAAACGUUUUGAUCCUUUUUCUAAUGAGAUCUCACUGUUAAAGGUGUUUGUAAAGUGUUUCACUUUUCCAAGAACCUCAUCCAAAGACAUUAAACCAUAAAGUUCCCUUUGAUUUUUCCUAAGUUUAUCUCUCUUGAAGCCACAUAUUAAAUUGAAGAAUGAAGCUUUUUAUAGAACUCAGACUUAGAUAAUGAUUUUGUUUGGAUAAUGCCACGAUUUCGAGCUCGAACACAGUAAUGCACUAAACCUUAUCCUCAAAGUGCGUCAUGAUUUUCUCCCUUCAGACUGCAAAAUAAUGCGAACCAAACCUCAAAAAGUCUAAACCAAAUUGCGUCAUGAAUUCUUCAAAUCGCGCCAUGAUUUUUGACGAACUUCAACAUUAACUUUGAGCCAAUUUUAAAUAUUUCUCAUCCUUAACUCUAAAUUGUUGGUGAUGUCAUUUUAACCAUCAACAACCUAAAUGCUAUCUCCAAUGAUAAAUUAUUCUUCAACAAAUUUAAUCAAGUUCAAGCAAUCCUUGAACCUUGAUAUAGACAAUAACUUGGUGAACACAUCUGUCGGAUUUUCUUCCGUAGCAACUUUCUCAAUCAUAAUCUAUUUCGAUUCAAUCAUGUCUCUAACGAAGUGCAAGCGAAUGUCAAUGUAUCUUCACAAUGUAUCACAAUACACUUGAAGAUAUGUCAAAUGGAUGACAUUUUGGCUUUGGCUAUCACAAUGUAUCUUCACACAUAUUUGAGCAAUUCCUAACUUAUAUAUUGUUGUAUAUUAAUAAUAUAUCCCUGUUCCAGAACUAAAACAGUAGUCUAAACUGUUUUUUAUGUCAUCUAAAGAUCGUACCCAAUCACUAUCAGAGUAACCUUGCAACUUGAAAAUUUUCCAUCGAUAGAACUUAAUGCCAUAAUUUAAGGUUCCCUUGACAUACCUCAACACUCUUUUUUCUCCUUUGAAAUGAGAUUCUUUAGCACAAUUCAUGAAUCUUGAAAGAACAUUUACAACAUACGAAAUAUUUGGUCUUGUAGUUGUAAGAUACAUUAAGCAUCCAAUUAAACUUCGGUUGAGUGUUUCAUCCACGUGUUCUUCUUCAACAUCCCUUGCAUCUCAAAUUCUCGAAUGAAAUUAAGCGCUUGCAUUCCCCUAAUUCUUUCAUCUCCUUCGUAUUCAGUUUUGAGGAAAUUUCAUAUUUCAAAUGCUGGUUUGAUGGUCAUAAUUUUGGUUAAGAUUUCUUCUGAGUCAUCAGCAAAGGAAGAACUUCGUAGUCCUCCUCAAGAGCUUCGCAGAGGUCAUUUGCCUCUAAAUACGCCUCCAUUCCUGCUGCCCAUAUAUGAUAGUUUUCACCAUCAAACACAGAUAAUGGUAGGGCUUUGUAGGGUGUUUCAGAAUCCAUCAGUUUGAUGAAUUGAGGAAUAAUGUUUAAGCUUUUACGGUAGCUUUCACUCACUUCACUCGCAAGUCCCUCCAAGAAGAAGGCUUUGAUACCAAUCUGUUGGUGAUUAUACGUAACUCAUAGAAUAGGAAGGGAAAAACUGAAAUAUUAUUGAAUUGAAAAAACUGUUGUCAAAUACAAAGUUGUAACUUAAAUAAAAAACAAAUAUUGAGUAACUAACUCAUGAUCUUUAGCCACUACUUUAUUAGCUAAUUAAAAACUGAAAUAUUAAAACAAAUUCUCUUAGAGACUUGGUCAAAUAGUGCAGCUGGAAGUAACAACUGAUGAUACACAUGUUCAACACCUUCUCAUCAUUUAUUCAAAGCAACAAACAACACAACAACCAUGGUGUUUUUUAGAUGGAGACACUGUUGGGAAUCCCUCUGCCAGUCAAUCCUGGUCCACUGGAAGGAUAAAGAAGAGUGUAUGGAAACUUCACAGGCCCAUACCUGUUUUUCAAUGACUCAUUAUUGUUCCUUUGAAUGAACUCUUCCUCAAUUUCAAUCAAUUUCUUUGCAAACUUUUUGUAGGCUUCUACUGGCUUUGGAUCAGAAGUCCAAAGAUCACCUUCAGUUCUUUGUCCAAGGUAUUCCUCAUUAGGAUCAUGCAUGGAUAAUACCAGCAUAGUAUUCAUAACUUCAAGGGUUUCAACCUUUGGUGUGAUUGUCGUCAAAUAUGUCUUCAUGUAGUCCUUAGCGAGCUCCUUAAACUCAUGUGAUCCUUUCACUGGCAUGAAUCUUAUGGUUUUAGUUGGUCGGUUAAGGAUGUACCCUCCAUACUGAUAUUGUCCAAAAUUAACAGCUGCAUGAAGUGCUGAAGCAAUCCAUAUGAGGGUGGUGCAAGUUUCAAUCAACUCUGUACGAGUUUCCAAUUUAACCCACUUAUCAGUCUUCAAGUCACCAUGACCUACUUCUACAAGUUCUUUCCAAAAUGCUUUGAGUUCCUCAUCAUCUUUAACAUCUUUAUCUGACUCGUAAUAGAAAUUGACAUAUUCAUCAACCCAUGACUUAAUAGCAGCCCAUAUCUCUAGUCCAUCUGAAGCAUAUGGAUAAUCCUCUAUCAGAAGACGCAGACCAUGUGGGGAAGAAUCAUCGUCAACAGCCAUUCCUCUAGAUAAAUAAACAAGAAAGGUAACAUUAAAACACACGCAAAAAAAUACGGAAGGGGUUAUUGUUAAUUAAAAUAGUAAUAACUAAUAACUAUUUUACAAUUGUCUGAGAAAGAGUUCGUACUCUGUCAAAUAGAAAUAUAAUAAUAGUUAGUUUGAGAUUUUUAAUUAGUAUGUAAUUAGUUUGUUAUUUGGUUGUUAGGUUUUAAGUUAUUGAUUCACUUGGGAAUAUAUAAAAUGUAUAUAUUUUAGAUUAAUAUCUUUCUAAUAAAUGGACUGAACCAUGAUGCAAUGUUUUGCUAAAUUACCUAUUUUUUAGAUCAGUAGGUAGUCCUUCUUCAGCGAAAACCCAAUCCUUGUAAACAACAGCUGACAUUUCCAUACAGUAUUUUUCAAACAAAAAUGUCGACUCUACAAUACCCCCUGCAUUGAUCAAGAUAUUUCGUGAUCGUGCAUUUAUGGUCAUCGUGCCACGAUAGUGUGGAACUAAAAGUUUAUGAAUAGGGUGAAGCACACUAAGAUGCCUAUUUGUUGCUAUGACGAAUGGCUCAACAACAGCAUGUGUUUUCAACCUGUGACACAAGUAAAUAUAUAUUCAUAAAAUUACUACUCAUUGAUAAAUCAAAUAUAUAAUUUUAUUAUAUCAAAAUGAUCUAGGAAAUUCUCACCAAUGGCUGACGAGUUGGUGACAACAUGAGUCAUUUACAACAGCGUACGCCUUUGCAAGGAGCCAAAUUAAAGGUUCAUCAUCUUUAGCAUCUUUAUUUGGGGGCACGUAAACAUUACUAACAGAACCAAAACUAUCACCAUUAGGAUGUGGCAAACUUAGCUCAAUGGCCAAUGGAUUCAAAGUUCCAUCAUCUUUAACAAAAAGAAUGGUUCUAGCAGCAUAGGUCUUUGCUUCAGUUUCAUUUACUUUCCUCAAAUAUGGAUAGAUUGCAUCGUGGUGAUCAAGUAUGUACAAUCUAUUGUCUUCGAUAGCCUGUUAGACAAAAAAAAAAAAAAAAAAAAAAAUUAGCCUCUGUAGUUCAAUUGAUUGAAAAAAUUAAUUUUAAUAGAGAAAUAAUAAUAAUAAAAUUAAUUCUUCAUUACCUCUUUUACUGUGACCCCAUUCAUGUUUGGCUCCAAGUGUUCUUUGGUUAUUGUGCUGGUAUUAUCACCAUAGAGUUUACUAUCUAACUUGCUCUUUCUUGGAAGCUCCUGCAACAAAUAUAGAAAGCAAUGAGGUUAAUUACAAAUUACUAUGUAUGUAUUAUAUAUGAAAAGUUGAAAUGAUAACCUUCUUUAUUUCUUUUGUACAUGCUUAAAAAUAUUACAAAUUUACCAGAAGUUUUUCGAUGGCAUUCGGAUUCACACCAGCAAUCAUCUGUCUUGCAAAUUCCUCAUCAGCCAUCCAUGCAUGAUAAUCCUCUACUCAUAGUAACAAAUUUUCAAAAGAAUCCAUGAGCUUUCUUUAUAUGAUUUUGUAUAUAGUUAAAUAUAUAUUGCGAUAACUUGGAAUUUCUGAACAAUAUAUAUAUAUAUACCUGCAAUCACUUGUGGUGUUGGAUACGUUGAACUUUUAGCCACUGAUUUAGCAUUAAUUGGGGAAAGUUCGUUGGACCUCGAUGUUUUGUUGAAUUUACUUAGUAUAUCAGUACCAUGGUUAAUUUGAAUAUUGAAGAGUGACAACACAUCUUGAAAGGUGUUAAACUCUUGACUGAAUAUUAAACUCUCAUCUGUGUGAAGUAAUUCAUCUCUUGGAAUGUAAAUUCUGCCAGUCCGACUCUCAGUCUUUGGAUCUGUUCAUAUUUAUGAUAACAAAAUUAUGUUUCAGCAACAAUACUAAAAUCUUUAGAAUCAUAAGUAGAGUAAACAUUUGGAUCAACCACAAGACAUGUUUGAAAGACUAUUAUUUUGAGACACAGGCACUACAAAAAUAGAGGACUACACACAAAUAUUUGUAGCCUUACCUUUCUUACUUGGUUCUCUACCAGAUCUUACCCUUCGAGGGUAAGGAAAACCGUCUGAUCCCUCCAAAGUGCUUGAUCCCCCAAGAACUGGACGACCCAAGCCAGCCUCUUUGUCUGGUUCACCCAAAUCAUUGUAGACAUCGUAGUCAUAGAUCCUAUCCCAUUCUUUGCGCUCACCCGUUCCAUCUCCUCUUAAAGUCUUCAACUCUUCUUGUCUGUAGUAGACUAAUGGAGCUGGUGUUUCACUUAGAAGGUAUGUCUACAUUUUUUUAUUUCAUAGUGUCAAAUUUUGAGAUAUAUAAAUAUAAUAUAUAUAUAACAUGUAAGAUAAAUAUGAAUAUGAUAGUUUUCAUUACCUUGUUGGUAAAGAAGAUGCGCUCAGAGUGAUAGUUUUUAGCAUUGUAAAUCCAUGAGUUGCAGUUAAAGUUGAUGGUUCCAUGAUUUGGAACAUCAUUAAGGGUCAAACUCACAAGGAAGAGUUCACUUUGAUUAAAAUUCUCGAUAAAAAAAGCCCCUGGGGAUGGAGCUCCCAACUUUUCAGUGUCCCAUUCAAACGUAAUAUUGAAAUGAAAUUGGGUUUCAUCCGAGGCAAUAAGACUUCCCAAAUAUGUUCGCUCUCCCACUUUUCCUUUUCCAUUUCCUACACAAAUUGCAGAAAGUAGAUCUUAAUUUCCAGAUAUACUACUAAUUUAAAUUACAUCUUUUUGUGCAAAUUUAUUACUACUAUCAACUUAUUAUGGUAAUUUUGUCAUAUUCCUAUAUUUAGGGAUGAAAGUGGUAAUAAUUAUAAUCAUUGUUCCUACUUUUUUGAGAAGAAAACAUCGAAGCCUAUAUCAACAAAGAUAUUCACAAAUUUUUAAACCGGGAGUUUCUACUCUACACUCGCAGAUUAAACUAUAGUGAAAUACUUGAUUUUUUAAUCAAUAAAUUAAUUAUCGGUUUAAUGAAAUAAAGAGUUAUUUAUCAACUUUAAUUUUAUAUUGUAUGAAAUAUCAUUGUAUAAGGGAAAAAAAAAUCACAUCAUUGUUUAUAAGAAUCAUAUUAAAUUAAGAGUAAAUGAUAGAAAAUAACUUUUUUUUUUCUUUCUAAAAAACACUUUUUUUUUUCAAAAACAACUAAACUAACAAUUCGUUUAAAGAUCUGAUGUAUCGAUCGAUGUACUCGAAUUCGUCUUACAAAUAUUGUUUUAACUUGUCAAUUUUACGAUAACAUUUCUAAACAUUUUUAUCCAAGACUUUUUAUUCUGUUAAAAUCUAGUUCUAAAGGGAAAUAGGCAUCGGUAAUAUGGAGUUUGAUCGAGAGGUAAGUAUAGUUUGAUAAAAAAUUGUUCCAUUCAGAAUUGAACUCACGUUCUCUUAAAUAUUUUAUCUAGUGGAACUCAUUAACCACUUUUCUUUUUGGCAAGUAGCCUAGUGGCAAGAAUUCACAUUUUUCAAUAUGAAUAAGUGGGGUUAUAGGGUUCGAACCCCACCCCCUGCAUAUAAUUAUGCAUGUCCCUGCCAACUGAGCUAUCCUCACGGAGACCACUCAUUAACCACUUUAACCUACCAAUUAACUAAAUUUAUUAUUGCAUAAGUUUUCUAUAACUUUUACUCUUUUUAACAUAAAAAAUGUGUUCAUUUGCAUUGUUACUCCCUCGGUCCAACAGUUUACAAAUAAUCAUGGAUAUUAAGAAAAGUUGUUGGAUAAAUAAAGUUGUCCCAAAUUGUUACCAAAUUGUAUUUGUGUUAAUGUUGAUUUUUCAUUUUUCAAAAUACAUUGAUAGUAUUAAUAAAACAAACAGUCUUAUAAUUAUGUACGGAUGGAGUAGUGGAUAUAGUUAGAUAAAGAAGUUAUUACCAUCAACCGUGGAAUCACUAAUCAAUCUGAGAGCCACAGAACGGCCUGGGAUGGAAGGAUCAGCAGCAUCUUUGUUUUGCUUAAGAAUCACAAUACCCUUAAGCUUUGUGACCUUGUUCCUAGCUGACACUGACACGAAUGAAGUCAUCUUUGAUGCUUAAAUGUAUUACACUAUCUUUGUCAAAUGAAAGAAAUGUUUGUGUCUUGUAACCAUUGGGGAUGCUUACUAUUUAUAGUACUUGAUGGGAUCACAAGGUUAGUUCAAAAAAGAUAAACUAUUCUUUGAUACACAGCUGUUCACGAUAUCAUAUUGAGAAAGACGCCAAUUAUUUUACCUAUUUUACUACUAGUGUAUCUCAACAAACAAGUAGGGAAAUCCAAUUAUUUUACUAUUCUUUUUUUUGAAGGAAUUAUUUACUAUUCUUGGAAUAGUGUGUACAUGCAAUUACUCCCUUCUAAUCUUUUUAUAUCAUCAUCUUACAUAAACUAUGAAUAUCAAAAGGAUUUUUCUAUCAAGUACUCAAAACGUUUUCAAUUAUAAGCAAAUUUAACUUUUUAUAUUCAAAAUGAUUUUUCUAUCAAAAACCAUGCUUAAACGUAUUACAAUAUCUUUGGCUAAUGAAAGAAAAGCUUGUGUCUUUUAACCAUAGGGUGGUUUGUAUUUAUGUAAAAUAUGAAGAAAAAAUAUAUAUAUAUCCGUUGAAUAAUUAUUUUGUUAUAAUAAGGUGUAUCAAGUGAGAGGAGUUUUUAUAAUGAGAGAUGAGAGGGUUGAGUUGUAACUCUUGGAAUUUCACCUCCUUCAUCUUGUUACGCGCGCCUUCUUUCUUCUCUCACAUAUGUUUCCAAUUCCUCACAAAUCCCAGACACCUUGAACCUUCCUCGCGACCGCUGCAAGGACUGUGUAUUUGCAUAAUCAACUCAACGUGCGUAGAUCCACCAUGACAAAUUUCCAUCCAUAUUUGUAUAAUCGGUUUCUAGCCACGGUUGAAGAUCGUCGAAUUGACUUCAGAAAAUCAGAUAUAAUCACUGAUUGAGUGACUGGGAAAAUUAAGCAAGAAGUAAUUAUGUGAUUGUCUCUUUGUUUGUGUGCAUAUAGAACAUUUAUCCGAUCUGUGAGUCGCAUCUAUUGAUGACUGUUAUUAGAGCUUUUGGGUCUAAUUUCAUGAAAAACUAAUAAUAUAAUUAAUUGUUACUUUAAAUCCCAAAUAAAAGUAAGUCCAAUCAUUUUAAAACGGAGGGAGUAAUAAAUUAAAAAUUUCAGGCAAAAAAUUGACAUAUAACCAAUCAUAUGCGAUCAAUGAAGAAGAAGAAAGAUAAAACUUAAAGAGAAGGUGUACCUUCUUUUUUUACUCAAUCCGUUUUAAAGCGAGUGUCGUUUUAGCAAAAAAAAAAUUGUUUCAAAAUGAAUGUCACUUUCAGUUUUCAAUGCAAUAAUAACUUUUUCUUUUCAAUUGUACCUUCAAUUAAUAUUAUAUACAUUACUUCCAAAGUAUUAUUUUUUCUUUAAUGAAAAACAAACUAAUAGUUGAUUAUGAUAAUUUGGUAAAAUAACAUCUUUUUUUUUUAAUUAAUGUAUUUCCUAAUAUAUUUAUAAAAACCUUAAACGACGUUCAUUUUAAAACAGAAUGAGUAAAAAACCAAAAUCAAACUAAUCCAUCAAAAUUAACACUUACGAAAAUCUAAAAUAAAAUUUUAAGAUGAGCAUUCCGAAUUGGGUUGCAACUUCUCUUUUUUUAAUUGUCUCCGGUUAUUAAAUUAUGGAAAGUUAAACAAGUAGGUGUAUGGUUGUCUUAUGUGCGAGAGAUUCCAAAGUCACAGCUGCUUUGGUGCUAUUUUUUUUUUUGGUUACAUGCUGCAUUAUGGUUAUUAAUAACUAUUUUUUUCCCCUAAUAAAUAAUAUGGUCAUUAAUAACUGUGCUUUGCUCUAUUAUUAAUUGUAUUAAUACGUGUGCGAGAUGGUAGAUCCGAAUUUUCCGGUCAUGAGAUACAAAACUGUUCACGUUCCCAUAUUGAGAAAAACGCCCAUUAUUUUUAGUUAAUAGUGUCACAACAAACACGUUAGGAAAGCCAAUUAUUUUUUUUUGUCUGCUUUGGAAAACCAAUUAUGAAUAGGUAUGUAACUAAAAUUAGGGUCAUGCUAACCGGUAUCAAGGUACUGGUUAAGGGUAUCAAAAAAGAAAGUUAUUACUAAAGAAAUUUUUUAACUUUUUAUGGAUUUAUUACAUAAUUUUUAAUACAAUAACUAUUAUAUAAUUUUCUUUUUUAAUAUCCUUAACUGGUGCUCCGGAGAAACCGAUUAGCAAUUUCCCUUAGAGGGUCAUGAUCUUAUGAGAUUAAGGAUAAGUUUCUCUCUGGUUUCAACCUCUUCUAGAUUUAAUAAAUAAAUUGACACAAUUUCUGAUACUUUAUUUUUAUAUUUGGUAUAGUAACAUUUGUUCUAUGAGUACAUGUUGGCAUUCCCUUAAGAGUUAAAACUGGUAAAAGGUUUAACGAUUGAAAAAUAUAGAGAAUUUGAAAUGAUAAAACUAUUAUUAGUGGUGAAGAUGCACAUGAAUUGGAAAUUGAAUACAUGUUUUUUGAGUAAAAAAUUGAAUACAUGCUCAAUUAAGUAAACUAUUAUUGAUAAUCAACAAUUGAUUUACAUUAUUUAAAAAAAAAAAUAUUGAUUUACGUAAUCGAAUACUAGUUUGAAUAAAAUUCGCCAAAAUUUGUUUUUUUUAUCUAGUAUUAAUGAAAAGUUUGGCUCUUUAGAUAAGCUCAUAGCAUAUAAGUUGUUGUGAAAGUGAUUUAAAAUUGGAUUUUUGAAAGUGCAAAAUUAGGGUCCGGUUUGGACAAAUCGAUGACUGAUUUUGAAUCAUUUUCCAGCCUUUGUAUUCGACAAUUUUCGGCGUCCGAUUGGUGAAAAUCGGCGGCCGAUUAUGCAAAACAGAUUUUUAUGGGUUAGAUUUAUUCCAAUUUUAUGCGGGAUACUUUUACUAUAAAUAUAGACCUUGUAUCAGAGUAAACAUUGAGAAAGGGGGUUGAAAACAAGGGUUAUGAAACAAACAACAAACUAGGGUUUAGAGAGAUUUCUCUAAGCGGGAGACACUAGAGUUUGAAUUGUUUUGAUUCACCUUGAACAAAACACUGUUAAGAUUGAGUCUCUUGGUCACAUGAAGAGAUUGAGACUUUAUGUAGAAUUAGGUUUGAAGACUAAUUCUUGUUACCUUUUGAUAUCUCUUUGUAAAGUUACUCAUCAUUAUAGUGGAACAGAAGGCUGCUCUCUCCCUCAGACUAGGUCAGUAUUGGACCGAACUUAGUAAACAAAUUUUGUGUGUUCUCUCUCUCUUUCUCUCUCUCUCUCUCUCUCUCUCUCUCUCUCUCUCUCUCUCUCUCUUUCUCUCUCUCUCUCUCUCUCAUUGUUUUCUACUUUACUUGUGUUUAUAAUUGUUACCCAUGUUGAUAUUGAUUGCUUAAUUAUUUUGCUCCACAAAUCAAGUAUUUUAUUGGUGCGAUUUUCAACAAAUUCACAACAUAAGUUAACUUAUUAUAAUGGAUAACAUAUAAGCUAGCUUAUAGAUGAAGCAGAUAGACUAUCUGAAUGAAUUUAUAUUGUUUGGUAAAAUUUGCAGUAGAACUAACUUAAAAAUGAUACAUUUAAUUAAUAAUUGAUUUUUUUUUUUCAAUUAAAAUUAUAGGGGUAAAAUUGAUAUAAAUAAUGAUAAGCUAUAUGCUUCAAACUACUAUAAACUAUAAACUAGUAAAAAUAGGUGAUAAAUUCAUGCAAAAGAGACACUUAUCAUUCUCUUAUAUGACCUUAUAAGAUAUGUAUAAGUUAUAAGAUGGAAAUAGGUCUUGCCAAACAGACUCCUAUCAUUCUCUUAGAAGGAAUUUUUUUAGGGAACUCUUAUAAGGAAUUGAAAUGAUGUUACAAAAAUCUGUAAACAUAUCUAAAACAUGACAAUGGCUCCGUCUAUGGUGGGAGACCUGAAUAGGUCUCAUACCGUAGGAGACAUAGUUUUUUUUUUCUUUUAAAAUGAAUAUGAAUCAUUGGAUAAGGGUUUGAUCAAAAUGUUUACUAUACACCUCCAAUACAAUUGUUUUCUAUUAUUCUAAACUUGUGUAUUUAUUCGACGUUGUUUUUGUUAGACAUAUAAUUAAGGACGACCAAAAUUAUGCAUGCAAACAUAUUUGCAGAUAAAAUUUACCCCGAGCUAGUACAUGACCAAUAUUUUAAUGGGUAUACACGAAUAAAAGAAAAUCAUAUUUUAAAUACUCGUAAGUUAAUAGAUGCACAUGCAGAUGAAAUAUUUAAUGAGAUUAUCUUCAAAAUAUUUAAUUACCUUUUUAUUAUUAAAAAAUACUUUUUUAUGUGUGUGGGCCUAAAUACUAUUUAUUUGAUAUUGUGACCGUAUUAAAAUUGCUCUUCUUGAAGACUAUGCGGUUAAUUAGUAAUGAGUGAUUGUAUGAAUUUUUCCGCUUACAAUAUUUUUUACUUUUGAAACAAAUGCAAACUACUAGAAAUACUCGAUUUUUCUGCGGAACUACCUGCGGAUUUAUGUGAAUAUUCCGCAGAAAACGGUUUUCCUGUGGAUUUUGUCAAGAAUUUAGGUUCCCAUGUAACAGCUUCGUGGGUAAUUGUUUCCUGAAGAUUUUAGGAUCCGCAGGAAGAGUGAAAAAAAUCCGCAGGAAACGUUGGGUUAGUGAUUAGGGAAUUUUCCUGCCCAUAAAAGCACUGUUUCUGCGAAUAUAUUCUCAGGUAUUUCCGCAGUAAAUGAAGCAGGAAAAUCCCCUAGACUCUUUUUCCACAGGAAAGUGAGCUAUUUAUUUAAAAAAAAAAUAAUGCACUUCAUUGCAUUGAACGAUAUAAAUAAUAGAAUAUACAAUUCUUAUAAAUUUCAGAAAUUAUAGAAGACACAGUUUCAUUAAUCAUGCAACAAAAUAAAAUUGAAAGUACCACAUGUCUCUUCAUAGUUGAACCUCCUAUACACAAUUGCUAAUGUCUCAUGCCUUCAAGUCUGUUCCACUCACACCACCUAAUAAACUUCCUAUAAUUACUAGCUAUCCUCCAAAUAUAAAGAUGUAUCGGAAAAGGAGCAUGAACCUCUUACCAACAUCUUCAAGAAGCUGCUAAUCCAAAUUCUUCAUCCAUGCAUUCAUCUAGGUUAGCCUUCUCUAGUACAUACUCAAUUUCAACUUGUCCAACAACCCAAAAAUUAAGAAAAAAAUAAUAGCAUAAGUUUCCUUCCUAAAUGAAAGGAUAUCUGAGAAAUUUCACCCAUAUACAAAACCCUGAUCAGCUUUGAGAAACUAUUAGGCUGAGAAAGACAAAGACAAAAGUGGCAAGUGCACCAAAUCAUUCAAGUAAUAAAGUAGUAAGUAAUCGUAUUUACUGGGGAUCAUUUUUUUUCUACUUGGCAAUUUACUAAACCUUUUAUUAAAAACUAUAAAUGAUGGAAAGUUUGGAAGUUUUAAUUGAUUAACUACAAAAAUAAAAAUGCAUAUUGUGACGAUUAAAAAUAGGACAGUUGAAAAUCUGUGACGGCUCCCCGAUUGUCGAGGACAUGUGUGUCGCUAGAGAAUUUCGUGUCAGUUCAAUAAAUGGUCAUUCCAACAGUCGCACAGGACAUUGCGACAAUUGGAAACCGCCCUUACUUGCGACAAUCGGAAACCGCCCUUAUAAUUAUCGCAAAGAACGCAAUGUUUAUAUUAGAAGGGCUAUUUUGCUUCAAACCAUCGUAGACAUGUGAUUUAUUUUUAUUUUCUACAUUUUCCAUUUUGAUUUUGAUAGUUUAUUCAAUAAGAAUUAAUCUUAAAUUAAAAUAAAAAAUAUUAAUAAAUACUAAAUGCAAAAAUAUAUAAUUAUAUAUGAUUAAAUCUCAUUCAUAUAAUCCUUUCAAGAAUAACAACAUUGAUUCCCUAAAAAAAAAAAAAAGAAUAACAACAUUGAUACAUACAUAAACUUGAUUAAAACAAUAAAUAAAAUAGUUUAACAUUCAAAAAGCCAAAACACUAGUGGAGUGGCUGAUUAUACAAAAGAACUACAUAAAAAUUAAUUGAUAAAAAUUAUCCCCUAGUGACUUUGCUCCAUGAUUCUCAAGGGAACGCCUGCCAUCUAGAAAUAAGCCAGUCCUUCACUCGUCCAUUUAGAAAUUAUACAAACAAAUGAAUACGUUGGUUGGAUUUGGAUACAUCAUGUGGGUUGAUUGUGUCGUAGGCCUUCACAGAGUGUGAGAGAUGUGCGUUGAAAUCUUCAGACUCCUUUCCUGAAAAUUAGUUAUCCUUCAUAGAAUUGAGGACACGAUUCUUAAUAUCAAACACCAUGGGGUUUGCAGGUUGGAACCUGAGAGACAUUUAAUCAUAGUUGGUCUUCUGCUAUCAUGUAAGAACUGCAAGUGCAUGAGAAUGCAUCAUGCGCAGUGCCCAAGAGUAUAAAACUAUAAUCAUAGGAUUUAUAAAAGAGAAUCACAUCAUUUUAGCAGAUUCUGAUUUAGUAUGUUUAAGAGAUAGCAGAUCAGAGUUUGACUUCAUAUAACCCUCUUUCUGUACAUAUUGCCUUAUAUAGUUUAUUGUAUUUAAGUCCUAGUUUAUUGUCAUUAAUUCUCCUUUGUUGUUUGGGAUCAGCUAGGCUUGACUUUAGGGAUUUUGAUAGGAAAACUCUGUAUAUAUGUAACACUGAUUUACAAUGAAAGAUAUGACAGUGAAACACUUUGGUUCCUGUCUUUAUAUGGCAUCAGAGCAAUUCUGAUCCUAAAUUAGAAACGUUUGCUGAAAAUGGCGGACAAAAAUGAUUCCACCAUAGAAGGUGGGAUCAAAGGAGAUCGAAAUGCAGAAACAAAAAUAGCUGGGAAGAAGACACCUUCUCCGUAUGAUCUGAGUUCGCACGACAAUCCAGGAAGCGUUAUCACCCAAGUCCAAUUACGUGGUGAAAACUACGAUGAAUGGGCUAAGGCGAUGAAGACCUCAUUACGGGCACGACGUAAAUGGGGGUUUGUCGAAGGAAACAUAAAACAACCUGAAGAAGGAUCGACAGAAAUGGAGGAUUGGUGGACCGUACAAUCUAUGCUCGUGUCUUGGAUCCUGAACACUAUAGAUCCAACUUUGCGAUCGACCAUCUCUUAUAUGGAGAAUGCAAAGGAAUUGUGGGAAGACAUCAAAGAACGAUUCUCAAUUGUGAAUGGACCUAGGAUCCAACAAUUGAAAUCGGAUCUGGCACAAUGUAAACAAGAAGGAAUGGCCAUGGUGAAUUACUAUGGAAAACUCAAGAUGCUUUGGGAUGAGUUGGUAAAUUACCAACAAAUCCCAAUCUGCACGUGCUCAGGAUGCAAAUGCGGCAUCAAGUCGAAAUUAGAGAAGCAAAGAGAAGAAGAAAGAGUGCAUCAGUUCUUGAUGGGACUAGAUGAUGUGUUGUAUGGAACAGUCCGCUCUAAUUUGCUUGCUACUGAUCCGCUGCCAUCGCUGAACAGAAUAUAUGCUACUUUGAUACAAGAGGAGCGUGUGAAAUCAAUUGCUAGGACCAAGGAAGAACGAGGAGAGGUCGUUGGCCUGGCCGUGCAAACUGCUGGAAGGGCUAGAGGACGUGGUGAUAUGAAGGAGAAGAAUGCGGUAUGUUCAUACUGCAAUCGAACAGGACAUGAUGCAUUAAGCUGUUUUCAGGUAGUUGGAUACCCUGAUUGGUGGGGAGAUAGGCCACGAAAUGAAACUAAGAUGGGUGCAGGUCGAGGAAAAGGACAACAACAAACCAGAGGUUCUAAUCAAGGACGUGGGAGAAGCACAAUUAUUCGUGCAAAUGCUGUCCAAACAAAUGAAGGAGGCCCGGUCGUGACAAAUGCAGAUGCAAGCGGGUUGACAGGUUUAAGUAGUGAGCAGUGGCAGACUUUGGUAGAGCUUCUAAACACUCAUAAGGGAAGCAAUACGGAAAGAAUGACAGGUAAAAAUACAAUAUGGAUUGUUGAUACAGGCGCUUCUAAUCACAUGACUGGAAAUGUGAGAUUUUUGCACAAAAUGAAGAGCGUGCAAGGAUGCCCGGUGGGUCUGCCAAAUGGAGAACAAGCUGCUGCUACUCAAGAAGAAAGUGUAAUUCUUGAAGGGGGCCUGCAACUUAACAACGUUCUAUAUGUGCCCGGAUUAAAUUGCAACUUGAUAUCUGUAUCCCAAUUGAUAGAUGAUAUGGAUUGUGUUUGUCAGUUCACUAACUCUCUAUGUAUUAUGCAGGACCGCACUUCGAAGACGCUGAUUGGAGUGGGUGAACGAAGAGAUGGGCUCUACCAUUUUAGAGGGAUUCGACAUGAGAAAGUCUGCAAAGUAGGAGACAUGUCUUUGUUGCAUCUUUGGCAUAAACGCAUGGGACAUCCUUCCAUGAAGAUUAGUCAGUUAAUUUCAAAUGUUGGUAAAAAUAAGAGUGUGAUUGAAAAUAAAGCCUGUGAUGUUUGUCAAAGGGCAAAGCAAACUAGGGAUAGUUUUCCUUUAAGUGAUCACAAAGCUAGUAGUAGUUUUGAACUAGUUCACUGUGAUUUGUGGGGGCCUUACAAAACUCCUUCUUCAUGUGGAGCGUAUUAUUUCUUAACAAUAGUAGAUGAUUUUUCUCGAGCUGUUUGGAUCUAUUUAUUGCUUGAUAAAAGAGAAGUUUCACAAACUAUAUUAAGUUUUAUUGCUUUGGUAGAUAGACAAUAUGAGAAGCAAAUUAAAAUAAUUCGCAGUGAUAAUGGAACUGAGUUUACAUGUUUAAAAACAGAAUUUAUCAAGCGUGGGAUCAUUUUCCAAACAUCUUGUGUGGGAACGCCACAACAAAAUGGACGGGUCGAAAGAAAGCACAGACAUAUCCUAAACAUUGCCCGAGCACUGAGAUUUCAAAGCAAUUUGCCUAUUUCUUUCUGGGGUGAGUGUGUUUUAACAGCAGGAUACCUCAUAAAUAGGACUCCAACACCUCUGUUAGAUGGAAAAACCCCAUAUGAGAUGCUAAAUGGGCAGCCACCUUCAUAUGAACAUUUGAAGGUUUUUGGAUCUUUAUGUUAUGCACAUAAUCAAGGAAGGAAAGGUGAUAAGUUUACCAGCCGAAGCAAGAAGUGUGUAUUUGUAGGAUACCCUCCCGGGAAGAAAGGAUGGAAGUUGUUUGAUCUAGACAACAAAAAUUAUUUUGUGUCAAGAGAUGUAGCAUUCUUUGAGAAUGAGUUCCCUUUUGCCUCUAUUGAUAAAAUUUCGAGUGAGCCAACACAAAUUAUCGAAAAUGAGAACUAUGAAACUCAAAGUGCAGUGAGUGAACAUCAGGAGCUACCUUUGGAAGUGGAAAUUUCUGAAUUAAGGGGGGGUACUGAUGAAGAGAAUGUGCAAGAAGUUGGGACAUCACAAGUGCUACAACAAGAUGAUGAACAUGAAGAAAUUAGUGAAGAAGAUCUUGGUCGAGGUAAACGCGUGAAGAAUCCCUCUGUAAAGCUGAAUGGUUAUGUGACAUAUAAUGUACAAAAAAUGGUUAUGAGCCCAUCUACGAGUUCACUCCCUCUACAGCCGAAAUCAGGUGCGCCCUAUCCCAUAAUGCAUUAUGUGAGUUGUGAUAAUUUUUCAGUGCAGCACCGCAGGUUUCUUGCUGCUGUAAGUGCAGAGAAAGAGCCGAAAAAUUAUUCUACGGCCGUUAAAGAUCCUAGAUGGCGUACAGCUAUGCAGCAGGAGAUACAAGCGCUUGAAGAUAAUCACACAUGGACUAUAUGCUCUCUCCCAGCAAAUAAAAAGGCCUUGGGGUGUAAAUGGGUAUACAAGAUCAAGCAUCGUUCCGAUGGGACCGUAGAACGGUUUAAAGCUCGACUCGUGAUCCUUGGAAAUCAUCAAGUGGAGGGGAUAGAUUACAAUGAAACAUUCGCUCCUGUAGCUAAAAUGGUUACAGUUCGAAUUGUGCUAGCAGUUGCUGCAGCCAAGAAGUGGGAACUCCAUCAAAUGGAUGUUCAUAACGCCUUCUUACACGGAGAAUUGCAAGAGGAGGUGUUCAUGAAACUGCCCCCUGGUUUUCGUCCCUCUCAACCAGAGAUGGUAUGCAAGCUUGGGAAGUCACUGUACGGAUUAAAACAAGCUCCCCGUUGUUGGUUUGCUAAGCUUUCCUCAGCCCUCAAACAAUACGGAUUUCAUCAAUCAUAUUCUGAUUACUCUUUGUUUACCUUGUUUGAUAAAACUGUGCAGCUUGUGGUUUUAGUUUACGUUGAUGAUUUGAUCAUUUGUGGAAAUAAUCAUGAUUCGAUUGAACGGUUCAAGGAAUACUUGAGUCGUUGUUUCCAUAUGAAAGAUUUAGGAUUGUUGAAAUAUUUCUUGGGGGUGGAAGUGGCGAGAUCGCCUUCUGGGAUUUUUCUCUGCCAAAGAAAGUAUGCUUUGGAUAUUAUUAGUGAAGCCGGGCUACUUGGAGCAAAGCCUAUGCCGACUCCACUCGAGCAGAACCAUAAUCUCAGUCUUGCUCAAGGGGAGUUUCUUGAAAAUCCUGAAAGGUACCGUAGGCUUGUUGGACGCCUUAUCUAUCUUUGUUUUACUCGACCUGAGUUGUCGUAUAGUGUCCAUAUUCUCUCUCAGUUUAUGCAGCAACCACGAGAAGACCAUUGGACUGCUGCGCUAAGGGUGGUGCGGUAUCUUAAAGGGAAUCCAGGCCAAGGUAUAUUUCUUGACAGUACAAGUGAUAUGAAGCUGCACGGGUGGUGUGAUGCUGACUGGGCAGCUUGCCCUAUCACUCGCAGAUCACUCACAGGUUGGGUCAUCUUCUUGGGGAACUCGCCUAUCUCUUGGAAGACCAAGAAGCAGCAAGUUGUGUCUCGGUCAUCUGCUGAAUCCGAAUACCGUUCGAUGGCUAAUACAACUUGCGAGUUAAAGUGGGUGAAGAGUAUUCUUUGCAGUCUAGGUAUCUCUCAUUCUAUGCCUAUGCAACUCUAUUGUGAUAGUCAGUCUGCGCUUCACAUUGCAAAGAAUCCCGUCUUCCAUGAACGUACCAAACACAUUGAAGUGGACUGUCAUUUCGUUCGUAAUGAAAUACUUCAUGGUCAGCUUCAACCUUCUUAUGUUUCCACUCAUGCUCAACUCGCAGACAUACUUACUAAAGCAUUGGGUCGUGCUCCAUUUCAAUUCCUACUUGCCAAGUUGGGCAUUCGAAAUCUUCAUGCUCCUACUUGAGGGGGGGUAAAAGAGAAUCACAUCAUUUUAGCAGAUUCUGAUUUAGUAUGUUUAAGAGAUAGCAGAUCAGAGUUUGACUUCAUAUAACCCUCUUUCUGUACAUAUUGCCUUAUAUAGUUUAUUGUAUUUAAGUCCUAGUUUAUUGUCAUUAAUUCUCCUUUGUUGUUUGGGAUCAGCUAGGCUUGACUUUAGGGAUUUUGAUAGGAAAACUCUGUAUAUAUGUAACACUGAUUUACAAUGAAAGAUAUGACAGUGAAACACUUUGGUUCCUGUCUUUAUAAUUUACAGCCAUAGCUGUUCUCUAUAAUUGCUCUACAAUUCCCAGUAGUUAAAUUUAUUUACCUGGAGUUGAUGAAAUUUGAGCAAGUAAACAGUGGAUUCUACAUACAUUGGAUUGCUUUCUACAUAUCUAAAAUAACAAUCAAAAUGUCAGUGAGCAUAAAUAUUGUUUAAUUAUUACAAAUUUCAUAAAUGAAUGUUGUUUAGUACUUACGAGAUGCAUUCAUCAAGCCUUUUGAGAAGUGGGAGGAAGUUUACGAUUCCAACAUUCAUAUUUGAAGAAUAAAAAUUGGUAGCAACCUGCACAUGACGAUUUAAAGAAACCACAUACAUCAUCUAUAAAUUCAUAAGUAUGUGAAGUUUUCAGUUUGCAUUCGCAAAUUUUUAACUGCGUAUCUUACUCACCAUAACUCAUUACAAGGUAUAGUUAAAGCUAACCACAUUUUAGUGUCAUUUUAUUCACCAUAAACACAUGAGAAGAAUCUUUGCAAUAUGCAAUAAUCUUAUAUGUUCCCUGCAUUUCAAUUUUAAAUAAUGCUUUAUCCUUCCAGAUUGAGUACAACUUCAUACUUUAGUUUUGUAGAUUAAAAUACACUAAAAUGCACAUAGCUAUGUAGAUUAAAAUGACAUUGAUAAUGAUAUCCAGUAGUUGUAAAGACUUCAUUAGUAAGUUUAACUCAAGUUUAAAAAUUCUUGUAACUUCACAAGUUAAUAACUAAAACUCUUAAGCAUCAUAACUCAAUUAUUCCCUUUCCUUUAAUUUUUUGUAAUGGCUGUAUUCUCUUUCCUUGUCUUACCCAGAAUUGCAAAACACACCCACGACGACCUUAUGAACAGUCACAAAACAACCUUACAAAUAUGUAACGACACAAUCGACUUUCUCUAAUUCUUCAAUCUAUAGAGCUUGCAAUAAGAGAAGUUGAUAUGAGAAAUUCAAUGGGUUCAGUUCAGCACACAAAGAAUAUUUGUUAUUUGAAAAUAAAAAACCGCAUGAGAAUGUUAUGGAUCUUCUUCGGUUCCUCCUUCUGCUGCACUAUUGAAGAUUGAAGAUGUUGUAUUAAGGUGUUUUUGGAUCUGGGUACAGCACAAUUUUGUUGAGAAUAAUAAAAAAAAAAAAAAAAAAAAAUUAGACUUAUUUAACCGGUUGCCGGUUUAAGAAAUUAAAAAUGAAAUGACGCGUCCGUAACUGAAUGAGCGACUGCCCCUAACAUUACUCUAUUUAUUAUUCAAUGGUUAGGAUUUCAUCGGACCUUCUAGUCAUUAGAGAGGAUUCAUUCCUGUCCUUUAACCAUAGGGUGCUUAGUAUUUUGGUAUUUAAGUUGAUGGUAUCACGUGGUAAUGGCUCAGGAUAAGAUAUUUUGUUUGACUCAUCAUCAAACAAAACAAAUUCAAAUUGAUUCACUGCAUUAUUAUUUUUGGUUUGUUAUGUACUGCUCUGACGUUAUUUGAUGGUAUCACGUGCUUUUUUUCUUCUUCUUCUGUUUGCUCUGUUAAAAAAAGUUCUAUUAUUACGUGAGUGGUUAGCUAGAUCAUAUUUAGAAGGACCACCGAUAAACACCAAAAAAUAAAAAAUAUAAUCGAUGUUUAAUUUUUUAUUUAUUUAUUAAAAAAGACAAUUGUUCAUUCGAAUCUAUGGAAAUACAUGAAAAAACACAAAUUCAACCAAGGAAGACGGAAUUUACUAUUAAAACACGUAUAUUUGAUAGUGGUUCCGGAUGUAGAAAACUAAAGUUUGUGUUGAGGUUUAAAGGAGACGAUAAGCAUAAAGGAAUAAAGAUAAAGUUGAAACAAGAAGGCACAUGUUUAAGAAAAUGCAGAUGUUCCAUUCAGGUUGAGUGGUUUUUUUAGUGCAUAAAAAAUAUGGAGUCUUGGUUUUGUUUCACGAUUGCAUAAUCAUGAGAUGCAGUCAAAGUUAGAAGGUCAUAUUUUGGUGUGUCGUUUAAAUAUUUUGUCUACUUUAAAAGAUAGACGGAAAGACAACAGUUCCAAAGCAAGUUUACAAUCUACGUCAAAGAUAAAAAAGACCAUAAGGGUGUGUUUGGUUUGCAAAACAACAAGUACUGGACAGAACAGUACAAGAUAGAACAGUACAACACAAGGCAGAACAGCACAAAACAAAUUUUUUAUGGCAUUGAGUAAUUUUUUGUUUUAUACGAUUUUUGAGGGACAAAAUGCUAUUUUGGUAUUUUAGACAACUUGUACGUGAGACAAAAAGUUGUGUUGUGGUUUGGUGAGGGACAAAAAUAUGAGUUUUUGUCCUAUCUUUUACCUCCAGUUUGUCCUAUACCUGAAACAGUUUUAUAAAUCAAACACUGGACAACUACAGUUGUUAUGUUUUGUCCUUCAUUUUUUAGCAAAUCAAACGCACCCUAAGAGAUUGGAGAAAAUGAAGCAAAUUGUUGAAGUGUUUGAAGAAAACAACUAAGCUUUCAGGUAUAAAUGUUUGGGGAGUCAAAAAUUGUUCAAGACAUGUUUUUGGUACAUCCUAAACAUGUGAACUUGUUUAACACUUUUUCUACUCUUUUGCUAAUGCAUUUCAUUUAUUUCCUUCGAUCACUAUUAUAAUAAAAAAGCAUUUAUAAGAUUUAUUGAAUUACUUAUAUAUCCAGUAUUAUAGAUUAAAUACGUCAGUUAUUCUAUUAAUAAAAAAUGGUUUUUUUCUUAUAAUAGUGAAGGUAAUGAGUAUAAAAUAUCAAUUACUGAGAUGUAUUGUUUGAGAUAGUUUGCAUUAGUCAUAUAACUCAAUACCCAAAACACCUGACUCACAUUUUGUCAGCGGUAGUCAAGGUUUUACAACUCAAGAGUUUACCUCAACUCGUUUUGCUUAGGUAAACUCCACUCUUAAACUCGAUUCGAGAAUUCGUACGAGUUUACCUAAAAUUAAAAUUAUAUAAAAUUUAUUAUAUGCAUGACAUAUAUAAGUUAAUAUAAUAUUGUAAAUAGGUUAAUAGUGCAAAAUAUGACUUAAUUACAAAGGAAAAUUAUAUGAAACUUCUAUAAUGAAACGUUAUGCUCAACUUAGCAUCAAAAUACAAAAAUUAACGCACAUAAUUAUAAGUUUCAUAAGUCUCUAAGUUUAAGUCAUCCAUAAAACCAUCCAAAAAAGCAAGUUUCACAAGUUUAUAAAGUUGUUAAUAAAACUAGAGAAAUGCUAGCAACACUCUCUUUUGGACACUCUCUAACACUCACUCUUUUAUUGGAUAAAAUCAAUGUAUGUCCCACCAUUUUAUGUGGGUUCCAUUUCCAAAGUAUACGACCCACAUUGUUUUAACCCAAUAAGAGAAUGAGUGUUAGAGAGAGUGUCCAAAAGGGAUUGUUGCUAGCAAUCCUCAUAAAACUAUCCAAAAAAUAAACUGGCUAAUUUCUUCAAAAAGUCAUCAAACACCACCACCGCAACCCUAACCAACAUCGCAAUCACCGGCGUUGCAAUCGGAAUUUCCCCCAUCGAAAUCGCAACCCUAACUAAUAUGUGCUCUCAUGUUCAUGGUUUGAGAACUCAGAUAAGAAAAAAAAAAAGAAACGUUUCAUUUCAGGAAGCUAGCAAUGUGUUACUGUAAAAGUAACUAUUUGAUAAACGUUUCAGUCUCUGGGCUUUUAGAAUCGAAAUUGGGUUUUGAAAAAAACUUAGCCCAAAAAAAUGGGCCAAUUUUUACUUUUUUUUUAGAUUUAAACUCGUAAAACUCGGUCAAGUUUACACGAGUUUAUCGAGUGUACGUUAACUUGGUCAAACUUGUCAAACUUUCCGAUUUUACCAUAAACAGAGUUUACCUCCGAGUUAACACGAUUUUGGUACCUAAAAACAUAAAUUCGAUAAACUCGGCGAGUUACCACUCAAUUUGCGGAACAUUGCCGGUAGUACAAUAGUUAAAUUGGCAUAUUGGAUUCAAUAAUUCGAUAUGACAUUAACUUGGAGCAUUAGUCUCGGGUCUGUCCAGAGAUUGUGUCCCAUCUCAACUUCUAUGGUUUUUUCUUCAUGAAAUUCUUGCGGAAAAAAAUUCUGUUUUAAUUAGGCAUGGCAACAAAACUCAUACCCUCACGGUUACCCACAAAAAUCAAACUCAAUUUGACGGGCUUUCUCCGUUUUGACUGAGUUUGGGUAUGGGUUUGGGUCUUCCCCGAUUUUAAAACACGGGUACAAGACGGGUAACGGGGAUAUAGGUACCCAUGCUCAAACCCAUCCUGAAUGUAGAAAAUCAAUUUAUUACCCAUUUUAUAUAAACAGAAACCCAAACCCUAAAUCAUUUCACUCACACAAUUAGAGUCUCAGACUUUAAAAUGACACUCACUUAUCAUAGUUCUCUUCUUUCUCCUUCCAUGCCUCACACUCUCGGCCUCUCUCUUCUCCUUCACUAUAGCCAUCCAUUUCCAUAAUCUUUUUGCUGGAUAAUGCAUUACAACAUUGCGCUCGGGGAUGCAAAAUACUUUUAUUUCUAUCAACAACAGAAAACUUUCCGGGGAUGGGAUGGGGCAGGAAUAUCCGAACCCGUCGGGGACGGGGAUGAGAUUCGAUUUCUCAUCCCCGCUGGAUAUGGGUAGGGUAACAGGUAAGUAUAUGAGAGUAGAGUAUGGGGACGGGGAAGGUAAAACCCGUCCCCACCCCCGCCUCAUUGCCAUGCCUAAUUUUAAUAAAGCACUUUCAUAUAAAAAUAAUCAAUUUUUUACCUUAUGAGUUGAUGUAUGUAAGAUUCUUUAACUUACUUAUCUAUAGUAGAAAAACAAUUGGUACAUGAAAUAUAAUCACUAUUGUCUAUGAAUAUUUCAACGUUAUCAUUUUUUUUUUGUCAUGCCAUAUUGCAUAUUUGUAUAAGCUUCGAUGUUCACAAUUCAUUUUCUUAAAUUAUGAAGUUUGCAUUUCAGAUAUAUCAUAAAAUAAGUCCAUCACAAUAAAAGGUACAAUCAUAGUAGUGUUUAUUAAUGAAAAUGAUAACAAUCAAACAAACAUUGCAUAAAAACAUGACCAUACAAAGGGAAAUAUGAGGGAAAUGGAUUCCUUCUCAUCUUUUAUUCAAAGCAAGAAACAACAAAACAACCAUGACAUUUUCUAGAUGGAGACACUGUUGGGAAUGCCUCUGAAAGUCAAUCCUGGCUCACUUGAAGGAUAGAGCACAGUGUAUGGCAUCUUCACUGGCCCAUUCCUGUUUCUCAAUGAUUCAUCGUUGUUCCUUUCAAUGAGCUUUUGCUCAAUUUCAGCCAACUUCUUUCCAAACUUCUUGAAGGCCUCUACUGGCUCUGAAUCGUAAGUCCAAAGAUCACCUUCGAUUCUGUGUCCAAUGUAUUGCUCAUCAGAAACAUGUGUUGACAAUUGCUCCAUAACAGAUAUGUUCACAACGGUAUCCGUUUUUGGUGUGAUUGUUCUCAAAUAAGCCUUCUCGUAAUCCUUAGCAAGCUCGUCAUACUCAGGGGUUCCUUUCUCAGGCAUGAAUCUUCUGCUUUUAGUUGGUCGGUUAACAAUGUAUCCACCGUACGGAUAUUGUCCAAAAUUAACAGCUGCAUGAAGUGCUGAAGCAAUCCAUAUGAGGGUGGUGCAAGUUUCAAUCAACUCUGUACGAGUUUCCAAUUUAACCCACUUAUCAGUCUUCGAGUCACCAUGACCCACUUCUACAAGUUCUUUCCAAAAUGCUUUGAGUUCCUCAUCAUCUUUAACAUCUUUAUCUGACUUGUAGUAGAAAUUGACAUAUUCAUCAACCCAUGACUUAAUAGCAGCCCAUAUCUCUAGUCCAUCAACAGCAUAUGGAUAAUCCUCUAUCAGAAGACGCAGACCAUGUGGAGAUUUUGGAUCCUUAACAGCCACACCUCUAGAUAACAAGCAAGGAAGAUAAUAUUAACAUACAAAAAUUUAAGUGAUAUUAAUAACUAUUUCGAACUUAUUAAUUUAAGUUGGCUAGAAUUUGUUAAUAGAUAGUUAGCUUAUUAAUUUCGUAGUUUCUUUGUUCAUUCUCUAUUUCUCUAUGGAUACAAAACAAAACUCUUGCAUCUAAACUGACAUCUCAUGGGUGUAAAAGAUUAUUUUUGAGAUCAAUGUCUUUCUAAAAAUGGACUAGACGACGAUGUAAUAAUUUGUAAGGUCACCUUUUGAUUAGAUCAUUAGGUAGUCCUUGAUCUUGGAAAACCCAAUCCUUGUAAACUUCAGAAGACAAUUCCAUUGAAUAACUUCCAAACAAGUAUGUUGACUCUAUAAUACCCCCUGCUUUGAUCAAGGUAUCUCGCGCAUUGGCAUUUAUGUUCAUUGUGUUACGAUAGUGUGGAAGUAAAAGUUUAUGAAUAGGGUGAACCACACUAAGAUGCCUAUUUGUUGCUAUGAUGAAUGGCUCAACAACAGCAUGAGUGUUCAACCUGUCACACAUGUAGAUAUAUAUUCAUAAAAUUACUCGGAUAUAUCAAAUAUUAGUGUUUGAUUGUAGAAAAAAUGAUUAAUGAAAUUCAUACCAGUGGCUGAUAAGUUGGUGAUAGCAUGCGUCAUUCACAACAGCGUAAGCCUUGGCAAGGUGCCAAAUUGAAGCAUCAACACCUUCACUUGCAGGCGUGUAAAUAGUAGUAACAGUACCAUCACCAGCAGGAUGUGGCACAUGUAGUUCAAUGGAUAUUGGCUUCAAAGUUCCAUCAUCUUGCAAAGAGAGAAGGGUCGUUGAGGCAUAGGCCUUUGCGGCGCCAUUUGCAUUUACUUUCCUCAAAUAUGGUAAGAUUGCAUCUUGGUAAUCAACUACGUAUAAUCUAAGGUCCUUGAUAGUCUGUUAGACAGAAUAAAAUUUAGCCAUUAUGGUUCCUUUGAAGAAAAAAAUGAAUUCAACAUAAAAAUAAUAGUAAAAACAUUAAUUCUUCCGAGUAACAUUGAAAUGUAACACUCUUUACCUGUUCUACACUGACUCCAUCCUGCAUGUAUGGCUCGAAGUGUUUUUUGUUUAUUGUGGUUGUAUUCUACAUUUGACAUAGCAAGCAAUGAGGUUAGUUAUCAAUUAUAAAUUUAGCAUGAAAAUUGAACAUGGUAGUCUUUUUUAUUUAUUUCUUUUGUACUUGCUUAAAAAUAUUUAACUAUUAAGUUUAAUUACCCCAACUUUUUUGAUGACGUUUGGAUUCACACCAGCAAUCAUCUCCCUUGCAAAUUCCUCAUCAGUCAUCCAUGCAGUGCGAUCCUCUACUCAUAGUAAGAAAUUUUCAAAAGAUUCAUGAGCUUUCUUUAUAUGAUUGUGUAUAUAAUUAAAUAUAUUGUUAGGACUAGGAAUUUCCGACUAAUAUUUACCUUGAAUCACUAGUGGUGUUGAAAACUUUGGAUGUUCACCAGCGAAAAGCGAGAGCACGUCAUCAAAGGAGUUAAACUCUACUUGAUCAUUUUGUAAUCUUACUAGCGAUCUUAAUUGAGGUGUCUCAUAUUGAGAUAUUGAUUUGAUGGUGUUAACAACAAAGUCUGACGAUUUCGGAGGGAUAAUUAAUUCAUCUCUUGGAAUGUAAAAAUAGUUACUCCGACUCUCAGUCUCUGGAUCUGUUCAUUAUAGUAACAAAAUAUGUUUUGUCGAAAUAAGUAAAAAUAUAUAUCACAACAAAAAAUUGCAAACAGACACAAGUGUUUGGAGUCUCACAUUUCUCGAGGUGUUUUCUGCCAGUUCUUCCCCUUCGAGGGUAAGGCAAGGCAGUUGAUCCCCCAAGAACUGGACGAUACAAGCAAGGAUUUUGGUCUGGUUGACCCAAAUCAUUGUAGACAUCAUAAUCAUAUAUUCUGUCCCAUUCCUUACGCUCUCCAGUUCCAUCUCCUCUUAAAGUAUUCAAUUCUUCUUGUCUGUAGUACAGUAAUGGAGCUGGUGUUUCCCUUAGAAGGUAUGCCUACAAAAUUUUAACCAUUGGGUGCUGUCAAGUUUUUGAAAAAAGAAAAAUAUACAUUUAAAAAGUUACAUGAAAAUGAUAAAAUGGUUUGAGCUCAGGUACGUGAGUUCAACUUCCUCUACAAACAUUUUUAAUAACUAAUCGUUAAUAUUUGUCGCUCGAAAAAAAUAUUGAACAAGAUAUAUGUUGGAUAGAAUUGAUAUCAUUACCUUGUUGGCAAAGAAAAUGCGUUCAGUUUGGUACUUUUCAGCAUUGUAAAUCCAUGAGUUGCAAAUAAAGUUUGUGGUUUCAUGGCUUUCAACAUCUUCAAGGGUCAAACUCACAAGGAAGAUUUCAUCUUGCGUAAAAUUCUUAACAUAGAAAGCUCCUGGAAUUCCCAUGUGAUUGGGAUCCCAUUCAAAAUGAAUACUGAAAGCAUUUUGUAUGUCUCCCAAAUUUGGUAUGGAAGUAACAAAACCAUCCAUAAACGUUUCCUUUCCCACUUUUCCUUUUCCAGUAGCUAUGUUAAAAAUGUCAAAUAUUAGUUUCUCAGUUUCACAAAUGAUGAUGAUUCUCAACUAAUUAGUUUUCAAAUAUUAAUUUUUUUUUACAACUAAUUUUUUUUUUCGCCUAUACAAAAUUUGUCAUCCAUGUGCACGUUAUUGUAUAUAGUUAUAUAAAGAAAUUAUUACCAUCAGCUUUGGAAGCACUAAUCAACUUGAAACCCACAGAAGUGUCCAACAAGGUAGGACGAACGGUAUCACCUUCAUUCUCAACAACAGUAUUACCACCAAUAACUUUGUAGUUCAAUGCAUUCUUUUUCAUCAAAACCACAGUUCCCUUCAGCUUUGUGACCAUGUUCAAUGAAGUCAUCUUUGAUGCUUAAAUGUAUUACACUAUCUUUGGCUAAUGAAAGAAAUGUUUGUGUCUUGUAACCAUGGGGAUGCUUGGUAUUUAUACUACUUGAUGGGAUCAUUUAGGUUUUUGUUUUUUUGAAAAAUGCUAACUUUGGGCCCAGGGGCGGAGCCAUAAAUUAAAUAAUGGGGGGACCAAGUUUAAAAAAUAUACUCUAGUUAAACAAAAAAAAGUUCAAAUCUACUAAAUAUAUGAGAAAUUUAAGUUACAUUUGAUGUUAAUAUUGUGAGAAGAUAGAAAAAUUAGAUUCAUUUGUGCAUAUAAUAUAAGACUUCAAAUAAAAAUGCUAAUGAUGGAGGGACCACAUUGACAUUUCUAAUGAAAUAACAACAUAUAUAGCAAUAUAUUAGGAGCAUAAAAAAAUUUAUAAGAAAAUUUGGGGGACCAUGGCCUCCCCUGGCCACCCAAGUCCCUCCGCCCCUGCUUGUGCACUUAGGGCACAUGUUAAGAAUUCUGUUAAUAGAAAUUAUGUAUAAAAAAUUGUGUUAAUUUACUGCUCAAAAUGUUUAAUAUUAAUUUUUUACAAUAAAUUCUUACCAUUAAUUGAAUGACAUUAAUGUUUAACAUGUGUCAUAAGGACACAAAUUAGCAUGACCCUUGUUUUUUUACUAAAAUAUGAUAUUCAUUCAAAUUGAUAGAGUAUAAUAGAAAUAAGGGGUAAUAGUCAUUUUGGUCAUGAAUGUGUAACAAGUAGCAAUAAUGGUCCUCAAUGUAUCGAAAUUUCAAAAUAGUUCAUGAUUGUGCACUUUAUUAGUCAAAAUAGUUCCUAACAUUAAAAUAGUUCUUUAAUAUUAUCAUAUUAGUUCUUCAAUAUACUUACAUAUUGUUGUAUGAGACUUUAUAAGUACUUAGUUAUUCCUUCAAAAAAAAAAGUGCUUAGUUAUUGUUAUUUCAGUCAAUAUAUGACAAAAGUUAUUGUGAAUAUUGAGAGAUUAUUUUAGCGUCAAAGACUAUUUCGAUUAACAAAGUGCACAAUUUGGAACUGUUUUAAAAUUUUAAUACAUUGAGAGAUUAUUGUGACCACUCGUGACCAAAAUGACCAUUACCCUAGAAAUAAACACAAAUUCAACAUCACUAGAAAAACAAAAAAGAAUAAAUUUGUAAACAAACUCACAUCACUCAAAUUAAUAACAUAAAACAUCAAAAUACAUACAAAUAAUAUGAUAAAAUUAAAUUAUCAAAGUACUUAUGUCUUCAUAUCAACAACUUUAACGCCUAGCUUAUUGAUUAAUCAAAGUUGAAAUGUGGCAAUAUAACCAGAACAAUACCACAACAAUUUAUCUAAAAAAAUAAAAUCCACCACAAUUACAAGAAAUAAAAUACGUCGCACCAAAUUGUUAGCAACUAGUUUCUAUAUCUUUGUUAAUUCACCCACAAGUUGUAUUGAACACAUUUUAAUUAAUGAAGUGAUAUAAUUUUUCUUUCCAAAAAAAAUCGUCGCACCAAGAUGACAAUGUCACAUUAAAACGACGAAAUCAAAAACAAAAAAAAAAACCUAAUCUAUGUGAAAAUUAUUAGUUUUUAUUUUUCGUGAUGUCCGGGGUUCGAACACCGGACCUCGCAUAAUUAUGCAUCGUCCUUACCAACUGAUAUAAGCUCAGAAGGACAUUAUUUUUUUUUUAUGGUCGCUGGGGUUUAAACUCCGGACAUUGCAUAUAUUAUGUUUUGUCCCUAUCAACUGAGGUAAGUUCACGAGGACACGGGGACAUUAAUGUCUAUUAAAAGAGAGAGCAAUAUAAUUUUUUUUGUACAAAUAAUACCUAAAAUCAAUCUUCUUCCAUCAACAAAGAAGAAGAAAGAAAAAACUUAGACUAUUACUUUUCCCAACUUAUAUUUUACUAGCGAGUCCUGUGAUUUUUUCAAAAAUGCUCCUGUGAUUAUCAGAUUUUAAAAUUCGAACUGAGUUUUUUCUUUAUUAUAGGGUGAAAAAAAUGAGUCUUUGUCCAACUCGGAUUUUAUAAUCCAAAAACCUCAAAAAAUAGGACGCGCUACUUAAUUUUUUCUGAUCAUAUAAUCCAAACAACCCUUAAACACCCUUUUUCAAGGAAAAGACAGUGCAAAUUAUAUAAUCUUAAUUGUAUCAGCACCAAUUCCGAACUUUUUUGUAGCAUGGAUAUUCAUUUUAUGGACAAUAUUAAACUUCCUAACUCUCAUUCUUCUGUUUUAGGUCAUUGUUAGCUGUUCGUAGUCAAAAAUCUGAUUUUCGGGCUACUUGAUCGGAUUGUUCUGAAACAUCCCCUGAAAAUCAGAACAAAAUCAAGUAUUAAGACUCCUGUAGAAGAGAUUUCUUACGUGACGCUGCCCCUCAAAAUCCAAAAUUCAAUCAUUUAGACCUAUUUUUUUAUUUUUUAGAAUUUUUCAUAUUCUAAUUAAAAUCUGGAAAAAAAAAAUUGUAUUAAUUUUAUUUAAUUUUUAGAAUUUUUGAUUCUGAUUUCUAAUUAUACAUAAAUAUAUUUUAGAUUAUAAAAUCCGAACGGAUUUUAAAACAAAAUAACUUUUGGCUUCCCUAUUUUUAAUUGGGGCCGGCUAAAUUAUGAAGCUUAUAUAAUUACGUACUCCUUUUUUCUUUCUUUCUAAUAUAGUCAUUUUUUUUUGCUUUUUAUCAAGUGGUCAUUAAUUACUCUGUGUUGCUCUACUGUCAAUUGUAUUAAUACGAGUACGUAGUAGUAGAUCCAAAUCUUCCGGUCACGAGAUACUGUGAUACACUACUGUUCAUGGUCCCACAUUGAGAAAAACUCCCAUUAUAAAAAAAACACGUUAUAAAACAAACACGUUGUGAAAACCGACUACUUUAUUGGAGUACAUUUUUUGGUCACUAUUAUAAAAAAAGUCAAUUUUUUUAAUUCAUUUACUAAUUGAUAUAUGUGAUUUAUAAUAAAGAUUUUAUACAACAUUAAUCGCAUGAAUUUAAAAUAUAGAUUUUUGUUUAUGAUGGUAAUCAGAUGAUAUAUUUACUAGUGCACAAUAAACACGUUUGGAAAGCCUUGUAAAAAGAAAAACGUUAGGAAAGCCAGUUAUUCUAUUCGUUUUGUUUGGGAAGUCCAAUUAUGAAUAGCGUGUACACCGUCGUCUAAAAGAAAAAAUUAAAAACAUCAAAAUGAAUGCAAUCGUUAAUUUUAUAACUUUUACAUGCUAAAGAGUAUUUUUAGGGUAUUGGUUAAGUGGAUAUAAAUAAAAAUAUUGUGUUGUAAAAUGGUGAAGAGUAAUGAAUUUAACAUUUUAAACGUUAAAAUGUUGUUGAAUCUAAUACAAAUAUACUAAUUUUGAUUUCUUUAACAAGUGUCUUAAAGGCAUUUGUUAGCAUAACCUUUUGUACAAAUAUAUCUAUAAAAAUCUGUGAAACAUUAAAUACACUCACUGAUAUUAAAAAGACAAUUGUUAAAUAAGGGAUAAAAAAAUGUUUAAAAUAACAACUUCAACUUAAAAGUUGUGAACUUUUUUUUUGAAAAUUUUCUUAUAUUAAUAACCAGAGGAGUAUGUAAUUAAACUAAAGAGGUUGAACCGUGAGAGACGUUUUAGAGUUAAGGGUUAUGAUCUUAUGACACAUGAAAUUUCUAUAAAUAAUAAAUUUUUAUUGAGAAUAAUUUGGUAAAAAAAUAUUUAUUGAGAAUAAGUUAUUUUAAAAUUUUAAAAAAUAAAUUGACACAAUUUCUGAUAUAUAGUUUCUAUAUUUGGUAUAUUAAAAUUUGCAUUUUUCUAGAGUUAAAACUACUAAAAGGUUUAACUGAUUGAUUGAAAAAAUAUCGAUAAUUUGUAUUGAUAAAACUAUUAUUAGUGGUGAAAAAUGCAAAUGAAUUGGAAAUUGAAUAAUGUUUUGAGUAAAAAAAUAGAAUAAAUGCUUAGUUCAGUAAAAUGUUAUUGAUAAUCAACAAUUUAUAAUUUACAUAAUGGAAUAUAAGUUUGAAUAAAAUUUGCAAAGAUUGGUUUUUUUUUUAUCUAAUAAUGAAAAGUUUGGAUCUGUAUAGUUAAAAACAGUGAAUAGUUAAUAAACUAACUUAUAAAUAAAACAUAUUAGUUUGAUGAUUGAUUUGCAGCAUUUGAAAAAAUUUGUAGUUAAACUAACUUAAAAAUAUGGAAUGACAUAAAAAUGAUAUCUUUAAUUAAUAUUUAAUUUUUUCAAUUAAGAGUGGAGGGGUAAAACUGAGAAAAAUAAUGAUAAUCUUUUUUUUUUUUAGAGCAAAAAUAAUGAUAAUCUUUAAACUUUAAACUACUUGAAUUUACUCAUAAAAAACAAUAUACACUAUUAAAAAUAAGUGAUAAGCUCGUAUGAAAGUGACACUUACGAAACAUGUCAUUUCUAAUCAUAUGAGCUUAUAAGACAUAUGUAUAUCAGCUAUAAGCUCGAAAAUUAGGCUUACCAAACCGACCAUAUAUCACUCUCUUAGAAUGACUUUUUUUUAUAGGGAUUUCUUAGGAGGACUUGAAAUUAUGUUACAAAAAUCUUUAAACAUAUCUAAAACAUGACAAUUCUUUAGGAAGUUUCAAUAAUUCAAUAAAGAUAAAACUGUGAAAUGUAUAUUUUCCUAAUGCAAUAUACAAAUUCAUUAUUAAUGAUCCUAGUUAAAUUGUUCAUUGUAGAGAUUUUUUUUAUUGAAAGUGUCUAAAUUAUGUUUGCAGACCUCUUAUCAGAUGAAUUAAGUAUUCUUGUUUUUUUAGGCUUAUUUGAUCCAUUAAUCUUCUAAAUAAUUUCAUAUUUUCAUUUUGGUCCCACAAUUAAUAAAACUUACAUUUUAGUCCCUCAUUUUUUUCUCCGUUUGCCAAAUAAAUCAUGAAUGUUAAAUUUAACUCCAAAUAACUAUGGUAAACCAACCUUUACAGUGGUCCACCAUAGACCUUAUUAAUUUUUUUAAUUUAAACCAUUUGAUCUGUUUUUAAAAAGGAUGAUCAUUUGAUUACACAAAUGUAUUUUAUCUUACAAUUAUUCAUGUCGGGUUUAAUCUUAAAAUGCCCAGUUUGUGAGAGGAUAUACAUAAAGUUGAAUCUUUGAUGCGUCUUCAUGCUUUGAGGUUAAAUUUUGAUUCCUUUUAUUCAAAUUUUAGUUUAGGCUUUUACUUGAUUUUGGAACGAAAGAAUACAUAAUUGGAAUUUGAAAGAGAGAGGUUAAUCAUGUGAUGUUUAUUUUGAUUUUUGUUUCCGGAAAUUUUUUUUGCUUGUUCAUGAGUGAUGAUGAAGGUAUUGUUGAAUUAUGAAGAAGGGGAAGGAAGAAGAUGAAGAAAAGGAAAUAAAAUUAGGUGUUGUUGAUUCACCGUAAGAUAAAGUAGACUUACAUAAUCCAAUGGUAAGUAUUCUCUUUAUAAAAAUCAAACGGUUUAAAUUAAAAAAUUAAUAAGGUCUACGGUGGACCACAUAGUUAUUUAGGGUUAAACUUAACAGUCAUGAUUUAUUUGACAAACGGAGGAAAAAAUGAGGGACUAAAACGCUUGUUUUAUUAAUUAUGAGACCAAAAUGAAAAAUCUAAAAUUAUUUAGGGGACCAAUAAAUCAAAUAAACUUUUUUUUUACAAGCAAAUAGUCUUGCUUUGAUUAUGUAGUAGUUAUUAAUGAUUUUGCAACAAAAAAUUCUAAGGAAACAAGUCUUGCUUACAAUAUACUAAUAACUUUGAAGUUCGUCUGACAUAACUUUUGGCUUCCAUAACUGUUCUAACACCUUAUUUUCCUUUUCCAUUUGCUUUGAACCCUCAAGAUUCACAAAAGGAUAUCAUAGCCAUAUUCAUAGUUGGCAAAUGAUAUGUGACAAUAGUCAUCUCAGGAAUCCCUUUAUUUGGCUAACUUGAAUCUGAAUUCUCCGAUAGCCUUUUGAAUGGCUUUCUUGAAGACUAUGUAGUUAAUUAGUCAUGAGCGAUUGUAUGAAUUUUUCCACUUACAAUAUUUCUUUUACUUUUCAAUGUUGUCCUUGUUAAUGACAAAAGGAACAAAUGCAACUUGUGGUACUCAAGUUAAGUGUGUGUUUGGUUUGGCGGCAGAGUUAAUUGAUUCUGGUAGAAUUGAGUUUGAUAGAAUUGAUUAUGGUUAAAAGUGAGUUUGAUGUGAAUUGAUUUAUGUUUCGAUACACUCACUUAAAAGUGAUUCUUAUGAGUUGAUGUUGUUUGGAUAAUUUUAAUCAAAAUUGAUUUUGAAUGUGCAAUGACCAAAUUAUCUUUUUAAUUGUUUUUGAAACUAAAUAUCAUAUUUUCUUUUCAGAUAAUUAUUUCUACUUUUCUAAAAUCAUAAGUACAUUUUUAUUGGUUCAUAAAUUCCUUUUAAAAUAAUUUUUUUAACGGAAGUUCCUGUUAAAAUAAUAUUCAUUAAUAAGAGUUAUUUGUAAUAUUUUGUUAUCAAACCAAUUGAAUUAUUAUUUGCUUCGACUCCUACAUAGUUCGAGCUUUUCUAGUUUUAGAAUUAAAAGCAAAAAAAAAAAAAAAAAAAAUGUAAAAGGAAAAUGACUCUACAUGAAUUACAAUGGGCCCAUUCAUCUCUCAUCUCUAACCUGAAGAUUAGAUAACAGUACCAGGCACCAAUAAAAAAAAACGCAGGACAAUAAAGGGUAAAACUGGAAAUAAUAAUGUUACUUCUACAUAAUUGAUUUUUGUGGACGGAAAUGCUACAUAUUGUAGCUUCACCUAAAAUCGAUUGUAAAAGGAACAAUCACAUUUUUAACAUGGGUACCAAACACCUUCCAAAUAUAGUAGAACUACGUUUAUCAGGUGUAAACGUACGUUCAUGGAUGCCAACCGCAGAAUCAAACAGGGACUAAGAUCUUCUCCGUUUAUAACUUUUUUCAUUUGUUUCAUUUGGAGAGAUAAAAACACAAAAAAAGUAAAAAAUAAUUAAUGAUAAUGGGAUCCACUUGGUAAUAAGACCCACCAUCUAUUUUUUGUGUCUAUCUCUUUGCAAAUGACAUCUUCCAUUUAUUUUUAUAAGUGAAAAGGAUCUUUACCCGUGGAACUCAUUUUGGUUCUCCUCUUCGUAUUGUGCCGUGAAUCUUUUGACAUUGUUGAUUUGUCAUCUUUCUCAUAAAAGAUGAGAAAAUUAGAAGUUUUGUCUCCUUUAGGGACGUACGGGACCAUUUUAUCACCCAUAAUAGACAAGGCUUUGUAUACACAUGGGCCUAUUGAUGAGUUAUAAAUUAUCCUAAAAUAUCUUGAGAAUAUUGCUCUUCUUCCAACAAUUUUUGCUCGUUUUCAACUGAACUUUUAAAAAUAUCCCUGCGUAAGUUAACUUACAUAGGUGUUAAACUCUGCGUGACUUAAGUCACGUUGAAAUAUCCCAAUAUUUUCAUCAAUCAUUUCUUUUCCAUAGCAUCAAUGAAUUAAACAAGGAAGAGAACAACAAGUUCUACAGUCCUAAAAUAAUUGAGAAAGAGGAAGAGAGCCAGGUGGUGGACAAAAUAUAAUAAUUCAAUUGUUGAUAUCAUGUUGAAUUCUGUUGCAUAUUAAUAAAAUAUCAAACAGUUGGAAUGUUGGCAUGUGAAGAAUCAUAAAAUAGUUAGAAUUUGAAAGAAAAGUUGUGGCGCAUAUGAGCAUAUAAGCAUAUUGCAUACGAAAGGAGUUGAGAUUAUAUUAGGGUUGUUGUUUUAAUUCAUCGAUGCUAUGAAGAAGAAAUGAUUGAUGAAAAUAGUGGUGUUUUUCAACGCGACUUAAGUCAUCCAUGGUAUAACACCUGCGUGAGUUAAGUCAUGCAGGUUUAACAUCUUUGUGAGUUAACUCACGCAGGGGCAUUUUCGGAAGUUCAGAUGGAAGCGAGCAAAUUUUUUUGGGAGAAGAGCAGUAUUCAUAUCUUGACUAUUAUUUUCCUCAUCCUACUUAUUUCUCGCGCGUUCUAUUCUUUUACGAAAAUGUCUAUGUGAUUUUCGAAAUUUAUAAUCCGAAUUGAGUUUCUUCUUUGUUAUGGGGUGAAAAAAAGAGUUUUUCACCUAUUUCGAUUUUAUAAUUCAAAAACCUCAAAAAAUAGGACGUGUUCCUUGACAGUGCAAUGGCCUCUGCCCAUUAGAUUUAUCAUGUGCAGUGGAAUGGCAGAGCCCGGUUGACCACCACUGCAAGUCUGAUCUUGUGGGUUGUUGCGUAAUGCUUGUUAAGUUGUUAAUUAAAAUUUGUAAACACACUGUUUUGCAGAAGAAAAAAAAAUUAAGCAUGAAAGGAUGAAGAACAGUGAUGGUUAUCGGAUCAGGCUUUGAAAUGUAUAUUUUCCUAUUUCCUAUAGUGAGAAAAACUCCCAUUAUUUAACUACUAGUGCACAAGAAACACGUUGGGGAAUACUCUAAUGUGCAGUUAAAACCCAAGAGGCUCAAACGAGAGAAGCUUGAGUUAAAACUACUAGUAGUAAAAUAUUUAAGGGUUAUACUAACAUGUAUCUUAAAAAUUCCAUAAAUAACAAUUAUUUAUUGAAAAAAUAAUUAAUUUUCAUAUUUUAACAAAAUAAGUUGGCACAAUUUUAAAGCUGAAGUUUCCUAUCGGAUUCUUUAACAUGUAUUCUCUCCGUUUUAAAUUAUAAUAAGAAAAAAAAAACUCUUUUUUUUUGUCCCAAAUUAUAAGCAAAUUGCAUUCAUUUUGCUACCAUUUUCAUUUUCUUUAUAAUUAAUAACCAAUGGAAAUUGUUUUUACAUCUUUUUAGGAAACUUAUUUCAAGAAUAACACAAAAAACUAUACUACAAAUUACUAUAUUUUAGAUUUCUUAAUAAGUGUAAAAUAAAUCUUUUUUCUUAUAAUUUGAAACUGAGAGAGUACCCUUAGCAUUCCCAAUGUUCAAUUAAUUGAAAAAAAAACGGAAAUGAUAACUUGUAACAUUAAGAUACACAAUAAGAAAUCUAAUAUAGAAAUAAAAUCUUGAAAAUUGUGUUUCUUUAUUUUAAAAGUUUAAAUUUUAAUCUUAGAUUUAUAAAACUAUUAUAAUUACAACUAUUAGUGGUAAAAAAAAAUGUAAAUGAAUUGAAAAUUGAAUACUUCUUAUGGUCUCAAUUAUAAACCACAUACAUUAUUUAUUAAAUAAAUCUAAAAUAUGAAAAGUUGUUUAUAAUUGAGACGGAAUGGAGGACACGUUUUGAGUGAAAAAAAAUACUCCAUCCUAUCAUAAAACAAGAUCUGAAUCUUGGAUAAAUUGAACCUAAGGUUCACCAAAAAGAUUUGUAAGUAAACUCCACAAUGAAAAGGUAAGGCUCUGCAAAAAUAAAAGUGCACCAAAAUUCAGGCAAGUCUUUAGAUUCUUAUAAUACAAUAUUGAUAAGGAAAAUGCUGAAAAGCACGAUAAGGAUUGUCGUCACAUUUGCACGAACGGUUUUAUAAAUGUCAUUUGGUUAUUUUUCCUAAUUUUUAUUUUGCACAAAAUGACAAAUCUUGCCUCUGCUGGAUCUUUCUCAUGAGAAAUCACAAAAAAACACCUCAUUCAAUGAUGGUUCUCCAAAUCAACUUUUGCAUGUGUCUUACCACCCUUGUUGAACGUGGAUCAUGUAUGCUAUUAUUGCUUUGGUAGCAUUGUUUUUUUUUUCACUAUAUAUAUAUAUAUAUAUAUAUAUAUAUAUAUAUAUAUAUAUAUAUAUAUAUAUAUACUAUAUACAUGCAAAAGCAUCCAUAAACUAAAAAACAAAUCCAUUAAUAAAGUAAAUAGGGUGCUAUUGAACAUGUCGUGCGGCUUUUCAUGUGUUGAGUCCUCGUGCGAUAUAGCAGCUCUCUAUUGAUAAUCUAUAACUUCAUUGACUCAUAUCAGAGUUUGUGCUUGUGCUCUCAAUUAUCCCUUUUGAUUAACUAUCUUAUGAAUAAAUAGAACUUCCAACAAUUACAUCUACUAAUUCACUUGCCUCAAUGCUUACAAAUAACUUGAGAAAAACUCACAUCACCGGUUUACAUAUAUUAUUGAACAAUCUAAGGACAUAUAGUACCAUACCCCCAACUUAAAAUUUAGAUGUAAUUGUAUAAAAUCAAUCAAAUUCUGUCAGAACAGUUCAAAACAUUUAAAUAUGUCUUUCGGUUCGAUAUUUCUAAUGUUAUGUUAAUUCUCAAAAUAUUUCAACAUUGACUAUAAACCAAAAAAUAUCAAUCACAAUCGAGUUUGACGACAUUUAUUUGGAUAUAUGUUGAUCUGGACUUAAAUUCAAAACUAUAGGUUCUAUAUUCAAUAUCUAAAAUUAAGAAAUUUGAAAUCUUACAAAUUUCAACAAAAUAAACAAACUGCAGGCAAAUCUGCAGGAAAAGACAUAUGAAAAAUCGCAGGAAAAUCCGCAGCAAUAUAUGUGAAAUUUCCUAAUGAAACAGAAAUAAUAUUUGAUAAUAAUUCCGCAGGUAAAUCCUCAGCAAAAUAAUAGGUACCUGCGGAUGUUCCUGCGGCAUCUAAGAGGUCAUCAUAUAUUGGCAGCAGUUGGUAGAAACCACAUAUUCCAUGGGAUAGCGUGAAACCUUGUUGCUUUUGAACUCGGGGUGGGGUAUUCCCCAUGGCUGCUCCUGGACCAAUUCCACGUGAUUUCUAAUGGGAGUUCUUGCACUACAACAUGAUUAAGAUUUAGUAACAAUUGAAAUUUGUAACUAAAUUAAGAAAAAUGUUACUAAUUAAAUUUAGUAACAUUUGAGCAAUUGUUAGGUAAAGCCCGUGUUAUUAAAAAGCUUCAGUAACAUUUUAUAUCAUAAUUGUAACAGUAAAAAAAUGUUGCAUAUUUAUAUUUUGUAACAUUUUUUGUAUGACCAGUAACACUAAAAAAAUGUCACAUUUAUAUUUUUUGAAAAGUUGUAAAAAAGUGUCGCAAAGUCGUCUAGACUAAAAUUGAGAAUCUAUCGAAUUUGCCUUUGCUUUCACUUCAUUCAUAUUUAAAUUAGCCAACAAUAUUUAAAGAUAAACUUAAUUCAAAUUUACAACUCCAAAUAUUUCCCCAUACAAACAUUUGAAAUUUGAUUUCAUAAUGGAAAUGAAGUAUGCAACACAAUUUCAAUUACAUACUAUAACUAUUAGAAGUUUUCGUCAAAUAAAGCAUGUAAAGGUAAGAAGAACAAUGUGCAAUAAGCCUUCUUUAUGAGGUAUCAAAACUAUAUAUGUAGGUUUUGUUCUAAUUUCCACUAUGAAACGUGCAUUCAAUCAGACUAGCUUCACAAACUGCUCAUCAACAAACCAUAGGCCUUUGGAAUAAUUUACACCGAGGAAAAUAAAUAUUGUGCGAGGAAGGUAUGGUCUUUGGGAAGGUAGAUGAAAAAAUAACUCAAUUGUAGAUCAUGUAUUUGGGAGUUGCACUGAACUUUUGUUACCCUUUGAUGACUUUAUUCACUUCAAGUAUUUCAUUGUUACAAUCUCCCUUGGGGCACUAAUAGUGUACAAACCAGCUUCAGUGCACACACUCCUUAUAUCAGCUCCUAGAAAGAACAAAAUCUAUGUUGCUUAGAAAAGAAAGUAAGUUGCAAAAAUUCCUAAAACCAAAAAAAGUUUUGAUUAGAAAGGAUAUAACUUGAAUACUUAUGUACUUGCAAAAGAUUGAUGGUCAGAAGGUAAAAGCUAAUUUAAAAAUUGCCCAGUUGUUAAGAAGUUCUUACUAGGAGUUAGGGUGAAGCCGAGCUGGAAGCUCAAAAUGGAUAUCCCUUUUAUAAUUCAUUUUUCUUUUGUGUAUCUUGAAUAUUUGUGUCCUGCUCUCUAAGUUAGGAAGCCAAAUUCAAAUUUACGAUCCAAUCGCCCACACCUUAAUAACGCUGGAUCAAAAGUGUGUGGCCUAAAAAUAGUGGACAAAAAGCCAUUAGAUAUAUGAAGAAAAGGACUUGUGAAGCAACCAAUUGGUACUAUUUGAGCUUUAUAUUGAUAAAGUGGAUUUGGAAAUCCAUGUCUUCUCACCAACAUAACCAUUAACUGGUCCUGGUAGAUUUGAACCCACAAGAGUUAGGAUUGGUACAUUAGGUCUUGUUCGAUAUGUUGUUGGAUUAGACAAUAUAGGUGGAUAAUCCAUUCUUGUUGAGUCGAAUAACCUACAAUAGAUCUUUGCAUUCCUCCUAUUGGGCAAAAGAUCGGUUCUCCAGCAUAAGCCAUGUUGUUCUCUUGCACAAAUUGUCAUAAGAUGACACUUGCAACAUUCCAAUUUGUCUUACUACCUUAGGUAAAUAGAACAUUAGACUAAUUAAUUUCACCCUAGUGACUUUGCUCCAUGAUUCUUAGGGGAACGCCUGCCAUCUCUUGCCAAUUUUAAGUUUAUUGGCUCGAAAUAAAAAACAAUGACUAGCAAGACAAAUUACUCAUUAAAACUCAUAAUUAAAAAACAGUGACAAUCUUCAAACUGGAUAGUAAAAGAAAACAAGAAAAACAGUUUGAGUGCAUCCACAUACCACAAUGAACUUUCAAAAUGGAAUAGCAACAUUGAUAUGAGAAAUUUGGAUGUUCAACCCAGCUGAGAUUAUAGGUAAUGGAGCAGGAUUCCUUUGUUGAUUUUUGAAUGACCCCACGUACUUGACUUACUCCUCAGACAAGCCGAAAGUUGUUGGGAGACAUGCACCGUUGUCGUGAGCUUGUUCACAGAAAUCAUGGAUUGUACCAUUUGAUCACAGCAAUGCCACAUCCCUUGCUUCUAACAUCUUGUCUAUGGUUUCUUCUUUGGGGGUAGCUUCUUCGUUGCUUUGUGGACAGUAUUCAUUUAGAGACAUAUUAUCAAUCAGUUCUAUGACUUCCCAAUUAGUUUUGAUCUUCAUGAUACCUCCAGUUGAUGCAUCAUACAAGUUUAGGGUUUCAGCCAUGUAGUGAAAGUCUGCAUGGUAUCUCUAUCUCCGUACACAUGUGACAUGGACACCUUUUCAGAAGAACUUUGAAUCUUUCUCAAGCGCUAUAGAAUGUUUCCCUAUCUUGCAUUUUUAAGCUAGCAAUUUCCUUCUUCCUUGCCAAGUACUUCAUGUUUGGGAAGAAGCGAUCUGAGAAUUCCCUCUUGAAUUGAUCUCAAGUAGAGAUCGUGUCAGUUGGAAGUGAUAUAAGCUAGUCCUUCACUCGUUUAUUUAGACAUUGUACAAACAAACAAAUCAUUUGUUGGAUUUGGAUACACCAUGUGGGUUGAUUGUGUCGCAGGCCUUCACAAAGUGUAAGAGAUGUGCGUUAAAAUCUUCAGACUCCUUUCCUGAAAAUUAGUUGUCCUACAUAGAAUUGAGGACAUGGUUCUUAAUAUCAAACACCACGGGGUUUGCAGGUUGGAACCUGAGAGACAUUUAAUCAUAGUUGGUCUUUUAUAAUCUCCUAGAAUAUUACGAGGAGUUUCGUCUGUCAUUUCUGAAUCGUCAGAUGAGACGUCUUGAAUGGAGAUAGUAGCUUCUUUGUUCGCCUCUUGUUUACCUAACCAAUUGUAUUUUACGAAUGGCCUUUUCGAUUCUUUCAAUGUUUGGAUAAAAAAGAAGGUACAUGAAUCUACACCACGUGGGAGGAAUUUGAACAAAACAAUACUAGAAUAUUUUUAGUAUUUUUAGAAUAAUAAAUAAAUAAAAACAAAUAAAGAAAGUUACUAUUAAAAAAUAAAAACAAAUCUGAAACUGUUUAACACUUUUUCUACCGUUUUGUUAAUGCAUUUCCCUUACUCGCUUCGAUCACUACUAUAAUAAAAAAAAACAGUUUAUACUAUUAUAGACUAAAUAUAUCAGUUAUUCGAUUAAUAAAAAAAUGAUUUUUUUUUUUUUUUUGUUUAUAAUAGUGAUUGUAAUAAGUAUAAAAUAUCAAUUACCGAAAUGUAUUGUUUGAGAUUGUUUGUGUUAGUCAUAUAACUCAAUCCCCAAAACAAAGUGACUCGCAUUUUGUCAGCGCUAAUACAAUAAAAUAAGGGGAAAUUAUAUUGACCUCCCCUAAGGUCUCAUUAAAUGAUACAAACACCCCUCUUAGUUAAAAAUAUACAUUAACCUCUCAUAAGUUUUCGUUAAAUAUGAUGGUGAGAAAAACACAAGAAUGGGGGUUGAAUUGUGUUGGUUUUUUCUUCUUUUUCUCCUAACUGAAAAUACAGAUCAGAAGCAGAUAGAGUUCUACUUCUAAAGAGAAGUUCAGACUAAUUGCAGCGGAUAAAACAGAGAUAGAGAGAGAAGAAAGACACAAGCAAUUUAUACAGGUUCCUUCCACAUACCGAAAGUCAGUCAUGUCCCCCUUGCACUUCCAAGGAGAGUUCACUAUGUAAUAUCUGAUUACAAUUGCUCACUACUAAACUUAGUAAGAGACUUCCUAUGCUCCUGAACACAAUCAAGAGACUUCUAUUGCUCAAGCACAACUGCAAGAGACUUCUUGAUUCAAACAGAAUUACAAGAAAAAUGUUUGAGGUUGAACACUUGAUAUACAAUCAAUGGUGUUCACAAUAUAAAUCAGAUACAGACUCUAAAGACUCUAGAAUUCCUAAGAUAUGAGCUUUGAUAAGAAAUUCUAAGUGAACUUUGAAGUGGAGAACAAUUUCAGCAGAGUUUUGGCUUAGUUAAUUCUUGGUAUUGUUCUUAUAAAACUCUGAGUCUUCACUCCUUUAUAUAGAGGUGUGAAAGAGACGUUGAAUUGCCCGCACAUUCAAAAUAGAGUCGUUUGAAGCUUUUGAUCAAUCACCAAUGAUCCUUUUCCUGAUAUGGUUAUUGUCCUAUGAAGGAUCAAUUUCAAAUGUAUUCCCUUUGAGAAGAAACAUUGUUGCAGGCAAAGUUGUUUUUCUUGUCUUGUAGCAGAGACAAAAACAGAGUAGUGGAGAUAGUGGUUGUACACUUCGUAGAAACGUACUAUGUCAACGCUCUUUGAAGAAUUAGCAUCCAAUGCCUUCCAAAAUAGCCGUUGUAAUACUUUUCCAGUCUUCUGCAAUCUUAGACGAGUUUGAAUCCUUUAAACAGCUUUUGAAGCUUUAAGUUGCAUCUCCUGAUGAACUGCAGCUUCUGGUGAUUCACAACUUCUGAUGAACUUGCUUUUGAUGACGUCAUCACUUCAGGAGCACUUUGUCUUCAGGAGCACUUUAACUUCAGGAGCAGUUUUCUUCAAACGCUUUAAGCUUCCCUUUUUGUUGAUGUAUUUGCUCUUUAUUUGUUCUUCCAAGACCUUUUUAAGAUGUCAAAUUUUUGUCUAUAGUCCUGUACACUUGAACAAAUAUUAGCAUAUCCAAUUGACAAUUUUUAAUACUUUGUUAUCAUCAAAACUCUUAAGGGUUAUUUUUGCUAAACACAUUUUGUUCCAACAAAAUAGACAAACACCUUCCUUCUUCAUUAACAAUGUUUGCUUUCUCUGUUAAAUCACAAAAAUGCCUUAAAUUACUGCACUCACAAUUUAGGGAUUCUUUCGCUUGCUAUCAUCAAGCCACCAAAUAAUAAGAUUCUCCUAUUUUGCAAGCCAUUGCAGCAGCAAAAGAAAGAAUAGAGGAUUCUUAUCAUUUUUUCAACCUUCAACCUUAUCAUUUUUUUGGUCAUGCCAUAUAAUUUGCAUAUUUGUAUUGCUAGCUUGGUAUAAGCUUCGAUUUUCAUAAUUGAUUUUCUUAAAUUAUUUUCAUAUAUCAUAUAAUAAGCCCAUCACAAUAAAAGGUACAACCAUAGUAGUGUUUAUUAAUGAAAAUGAUAACAAUCAAACAAACAUUCCAUAAAAACAUGACCAUACAAAGGGAAAUAUGAGGGAAAUGGAUUCCUUCUCAUCUUUUAUUCAAAGCAAGAAACAACAAAACAACCAUGACAUUUUCUAGAUGGAGACACUGUUGGGAAUGCCUCUGAAAGUCAAUCCUGGCUCACUUGAAGGAUAGAGCACAGUGUAUGGCAUCUUCACAGGCCCAUUCCUGUUUCUCAAUGAUUCAUCGUUGUUCCUUUCAAUGAGCUUUUGCUCAAUUUCAGCCAACUUCUUUCCAAACUUCUUGAAGGCCUCUACUGGCUCUGAAUCGUAAGUCCAAAGAUCACCUUCGAUUCUGUGUCCAAUGUAUUGCUCAUCAGAAACAUGUGAUGACAAUUGCUCCAUAACAGACAUGUUCACACGGGUUUCCAUCAAUGGUGUGAUUGUUCUCAAAUACGCCUUCUCGAAGUCCUGAGCAAGCUCGUCAUACUCAGGGGUUCCUUUCUCAGGCAUGAAUCUUCUACUUUUAGUUGGUCGGUUAACAAUGUAUCCACCGUAAGGAUAUUGUCCAAAAUUAACAGCUGCAUGAAGUGCUGAAGCCAUCCAAAUGAGGGUGGUGCAAGUUUCAAUCAACUCUGCACGAGUUU
rnacentral:lncRNA from 1 species